AACGUGGAGGGGCAUUUUUGGGAACGUUCCACAGUUGGCAUGAGACACUUUGAUGGAGUUAGAUGAAGAGUUGAAAAUGGCAGUGUUGAGUUUGUAGGGUGAAACUGAUAAUUGGGCUAGUGGGCUUUGAGCCAGAGUGUGAGUGAAGGUAGUGUAACUUAAACCGAAUCCAAAUGGAAACACCACUAGACCUUUGUAAAAUCUGUAUGUCCUUCCUGGGUAGUUUCCAGAUGCUCUCAUAGCCAUUAUUGUCAUUGGCAGUUUUGUCACGUAAUCUUGUGGAUACCAUGUCAUUGGUAGUUUACCUCCUAUCAUAAGAGACAUAAACAUAUCUAAUAUUAGUUAACAAGAAAUUAUGAAAUGUGAUUAUGAUAAAAGAAAACAAAUGUGAUUAUGAAGUUACCAAUAUAGAAAAUAAAUCUACUAAAUUUAUUUAAUUAGAUCAAGAACAUACCAGGAUUAGCAGCACCAAAAAUGAUAUCAGCAAUAGCAGCUCCACCCGCUUGACCCGGAUACCCGGCCCAAAUGAUGGCAGCGACACGUGGAUCAUUCUUAGCGAAGGAUACAUCGACGGGUCCACCACUCAUAAGUACUAGAAUGACUGGACCUCUAGAGGCCUGAGCCACACGUGUCACAAGGUUUUGUUGGUAACCCGGUAAGAGCAGCCCGGUUCGAUCUCGUGUCUCUGCCUCUAUCGACUGGUCCAGUCCCAUUACAAGAACUGUUGCGUCUGCUUGACGUGCUGCCGCCUCGGCUGCGCCAAAUCCUUGACUCCCGGCACAAGCCACACCAGCACAACCUUCUUGGUGAAGUGUCUUUGCGUAUCUUGAGAUUCCUUGUAACGGUGACGUAUAGGCGCAUGCUUUCCCUAACAACCCAAAAAUACAUAAACAAAGUUAGUAUUAUAUUAUGUAACUGAUAAUAUUAUGCAAGUUUAGUGGAUUUUCUUGUCUACCUGCAUAGUUUCCAAUCAUGGUCUCAGUGACGUCGGAGUUAGGUCCAAUUACGGCGAUGGUGCGGUGGCGCCUAGGAGAGAGUGGUAGAGACCGGCCAGAGUUUUUGAGAAGAACAAUUCCUUGAUGAGCUGCUUCAAGGGCUAAAUGUUGAUGGGCGGGUGUACAAACAUCUCUAGGCCCAAGAUUGGCGUAUGGUCCAAGAUUUCCAUCAAACAUACCAAGUCUCAUCUGGACCGUUAUGGUAUUAGCAAGUGCUAAAUUUACGUCAUUCUCUGUUAACAAUCCUUUCUUCACCGCUCCUUCUGUAAAUAUCGCCAAAAACGGCCCGCAGUCCAAGUCUAGACCUGCAAUACGACAUGAUGUUUUGUCAUCAAAGUAGUCAACGGUUUGAAACAUCCAUGGAUGGUGGAAAACAACUUACCAGCUUUGAUGGAGGCAGCUGCAGCUUCCUCAGGAGUUGUGGUAUAGUGUUGUUGGUUGAAGAAAACAUCUACAGAGUCACAGUCUGAUACAAUGUACCUGCAUGUAUUUACAUUAAGCUGAUGUAUGAGAAGGGGUCAAAUGAAUAUGAACUGUUGAUUACAAUGACUUUUAAUCUUACCCAUUGAGACGCCAUUGACCACGAAUAGUGUUCUUUAAGAGAUUUUCAUCAGCACAAGUAGGCUUUCCGUUUACUUGAUUGUAAGAGCACAUAACACUUGCGACCUUUCCCUCGUAAACACAUGAUUUGAAUGGCACGUUGUAUGUGUCCUCUAAAUCUUGUUUGGUGACCUAUAUCCAUCAUCAACUUAUUAAUUAAAUAAUUGAACCCAUUAGCUAUCUAAAUUAAUUAGCAACAUCAAUCAUGAGUUUUCUAAUAGACUAUUAUGUUUUGAAUUAUUAUGCUAGAAAACGAAUCUUUUCUUUUGUUAUGAUAUGCUUAGAAGAAGAAAAUAGUUGGUCCACAUGACCAAUAAGGAUAAGAUUCUCCACCACAACUACAGCAUACGAAUACGACUAUGCACAUGCCACAUCACUGAAAGUCACGCUGCCUAUUGGCUUAGCUGGUAUAUAAUGUUAAACCAGUGUUUUGUUUGUCUGACUGUGACACGCAUACAUAUUACUAUAUAAACACAUUUUGCCUACUUUAUACUAAAUUCAGUUCAGUGGAUGAAAAGUCUUUUGCAAGAUAACGAAGUGACGCAUAUUAUACGGAACUAUAAUUAGAAUAGAGAUUGAAACAUAUCUAGAUAUGAGCUAUUUUCUGAAUUUAACGAAUCUGAUCAUGAAAUGAGAUAAAAGACGAUAAGCCUUCCAAGAAAACGAAUCCAGUCACAUCCAAGUCGUUUUUAGAUGGAGGCUGGAGCUUUAAAUAACAGAAAACGAUAUAAAUAGAGCUUUCUAAUUUUAGAACGUAAAUUUACAUUUUUCAGCAAAAAAAAUCAAAUAUUUUGUUUUCAUUUUCAUAUUUUGAAAACACCACAGAAAUUUGAAAAUAUAUUAAAUUAAAUUUUUUAUAAGAUGUAAGAAAAAGAUUGACUCACGAGUUCUCUUCUAUUCCCACAAAAUUUAAUUAGAAUAUCUUACAUUUAAGAAGUAAUUGGCAUUCUUCGACCAACAAAAGAAGUUAAGCAUUUAUAUCUAACCAAUUAUAUAAGCGUUUCAUUAAAGAUUUUUACAUUUUCAGUUGUAAAAAUAUAUAUUUGAAAUUAAACAUGCAAUUAAAACUUCAAAACACGCAUAAAUAUAUAACAUAGAUAGUGUAUAACAGUAUAAGAUUUAUACCUUGGCGUUGACAUGAAAACGAAUAUACAUUUGAAAUUAAACAUGCAGUCAAAACUUCAAAACACACAUAAAUAUGUAAUAUAGAUAGUGUAUAAUAGUAUAAGAUUUAUACCUUGGCGUUGAAAUGAAAACGGUCGACCCCAUUCCAGUUAUCAAGAUCAUAAGCAGUGUAAUGCUUGCAACAUGCGGCGACUUUGAGGCGGUUGCCGGCGCCGUUUCCCUGAAGUCCCCGGACGUAGCUGGCGGCGUAUUUUCCGGCGACAACAGGAUCUUCUCCGGGAGUUUCCUGGCCUCGGCCCCAACGUGGGUCCCUCAGUAUAUUCACAUUUGGGCUCCAAUACGUCAAACCGGCCACGCCUCCAUUGUACAUAGCUCUUGCCUCAUCAGACACCACCUAUUAUUUAUUUUAAAUCAUGGUAAUUCUAAUUAAUAUAUUCCUUUUUAGUAAUCCUAAUUAAGAUAUUCCUACAUACACAUUUGCUUUGUUUUAUUAAGAGAAAUAUAAAUUAUCCGUAUAUACAUGUUUUUUUAUCCGCUGGUUAUAGCUAGCUUGCCCAUCAUGACCAUAUUAAUUAUUAAAUAUCGCAGAUAGUAUAAAAGUAUACUACGCGUAUAAGAUAUAAAACCUUUAUCAAAAGUAAAUUUCUGUUUAAUACAAUAUAUUAUUAUUAUUUUGGUUUAGAAUUUUCUUUCUAACCUUACAUGUCUGACUCACUCAUGUCGCAGUCAGAUAAAAAACAUGUGAAUUAUAAAAUUCAAAGAAAUAAAUAAAAUAUAUAAGUUGACAAAAAAAAUAUAAACAUAGAUCAUCCCGCUCUAUAAAAGUCAGUCUAGUGUACCCGCUAUACGAUGUUGAUGUCGAUGUUGUUUUUUCACGUAAAGAAAUCAUAAAAUUUAGAACUCUCAAUGUUAAAAAAAAAAAAAAAAAAUUCUCAUUUUCUAAGAUAUAUCUUCUUUAAUUAGCAUUAUAUUUUUUAAUAAGAAAUUAGCAUAGUAUUUCUAAUACUCACCCGUCCGAUCUCUUCCCAUAGAGACUGAUUGAAAGAAGCUGCGGUGGUGAUGACCUGAGGGAAGCUGGUGGCACCGGGAAAUGCACCACCGAACUUAGCACCGGGACCAACGUCAGAAACUCCGUGGAGAGCCUCGGACCACCACUCAUAGCCUCCAAUACCGAGGCGUGGCACAGCGGCGGCAUUGUUGACGAGGAGGCGGAUCUUCUCCUGCAACGUGAGCCGUCCGAUCAAAUCUUGAACCCUCGCGUGGACCGGUACAUUGACGCGACAGAACCGGAGUGUUCGGGUUAACCCGUUUGCCGGGUCGCAUGCAAACAGUGGCCGUAGUGACUCUGAUGAGUGAACCAAGCAUAAGAGGAAUACAAGUACACCUACGACUUUGUUGCCGGUUAAUAAUGAAUUAUUAUUACAAAACAUCUUAUAUAUAUCUGUGUUGUAUAUGUGUGUGUUUAUAUGUAUAACUUGUGAUGUUUGUGUGUUUUUAGUUUCAUGGGAAAGAAAGUGAAUGGGGAUAUUUAUAGAGAAGUUUCUUUGGCAAAAUUGGUGACAAAGGAUAAGCCGUAAGCGACUCUUUGUAACAUGAAUAAGAUAAAAGAUAAAACAAUCAAGUUGGUCAGGUUACGGAAAAGAGAUAUAUAUAUAUAUAUCAGACUUUUCUUUUCUUUUUGGUAUAUAAUUUAAAACAAAAAUUUAUUAGUUCUUUCUGAAAGAAACAUAUUAACUGUUACUUUUUUCUUGUAACUGUAAUAUUUAAUAGUUAAUUGUUCUUCUUUUUCUUAAACUUCAAUUAGUUUUUUCUUUCUUCAGCAUAUAUAAUUUCUACAUAUUCUAAAAAAAUACCACAAUUUCUACGUUUUCUCCGUGACCAUUAUACUAGCUCGAAGUCUAGAACAAUGAUAUGAUAUUAAUGUUAGUAAUAUUCACAUUUUAAUCAAAGAAAAUUAUCAUAGUCAUGUAGAUUAUCAAAUUUCUGAUAGAUAAAUAUCCUCCAAUCAUUUUUUGCACACCAUUAUACAGCUUACAUGUGACUUUAAAUUUAAUGGAGGAAUCUUAAUACUCUUAUUUUAUCAGCCAUUGUCUACCGAAUGACAAAUUAAAAACUAUGUUUUUUUAUAAACUUAUGCAUAACUACAUAACAGUUUAUAUUAUUGAUAGGAUCAGAGACUUUCCACUUCAACAAGACAGCAACAAGAGACGUACCUCACCAUUUGGUUUGAUAGAGUUCAACGCUAAGCAAAUGGAACUACUCAAAAAUCUGCUCGCUUCACAUCUGUUUCAUUCCUUAUAUGUAAUAUUCUCAGGCUAUCAUUUUCCAUCCUUCUAGGUCUGUAAAACAAUCUAACUUUAUUCAGAAAUGGUAUCGUAAUUUAGUUAAAAAAAAAAAAAAAAAGUAUGUUUAUUAUUUUUUGAUAAAAUUAUGUAUAACUAUAUAAGAAUUUAUAUUAUUGAUAGGACUACCAUUUAUAUUAUUGGUAAAAACUAUGUUUAACUAUACAAUAAUUUAUAUUAUUGAUGGACUACACAUACAAAAUACUAGUAUCUAUAUAAAAGUACUAACUGUUUAACUAUAUAAUAAUUUAUAAAUUAACAACUAUUUAUAUUAUUGAUAUAUACUCUGCCAAGUUAAUUCCGAAGUAUCUUGGGAUAUACACUAUCAGUGCUUUUUUAAUAAAUUAGUUUGUUAAAAACUUAAAAUAUAUGUAAAGAAUUAUUGUUCCCCGGUGGAAAAGCUAAGGUUGGUAGCACGUAAUAUUAUAUACAUACGAUUUGUUGCAUAGGCAUGGGAACAAAAGCCACACCAACAAGGGCAUGGCCACACGAAACGAUGACCUCGGAAGAAAAUGGUUAAAAUAGAAAGAGAAAUACAAAACAAUGUAUAUAGAACCGUAUACACAUUUAGUUGUAGGUAUGAAAAUUAAAUUUAAAAAUGAAACGUAAGACCUAAAAAGCUGAGAGACACGGAGAGAAGGUUGUCACGGGUGCCGACUCUCCACCAAAUCAUAGUCAUUCAGCAUCUAGUCAUGUUGCCCACACUCUCUUUCCGGGUUGUUAUUGAUUAUUGGUCUCUUUUUCCUUUGAACUUUUUAGGCAUUGAUCAAUAAUAAUAAAAAUUGACUCAUCAACUUAAACUACGCUUGUUUUGUUUCUUGGAUUAUACUUGCGGUGUAGCUAAUACAAGUAGACAACCAACUACGUAGCAGUUGUAAUGAACACAAUAUACAGCAAACUAUUUUUUAACUUGUAAUUGUUUGGGAUUAUUUAAAACGUACUUAUUUUGUUUAUGACUAACUAAAUGUUUAUUCGUUGAUUGACAUGCUAACAAGAUGAGCGUUAACGAUAGAUUGAUGGUUGAUAGCUCAUUCAAUAGUCAACUCAUACUCCAUAUGUUCGUAAAAGUAGAAUGUUUUACAGAAUUUUGAUGUUGCAAUAUAUAAUAUGUUUUCAUUUUUCUAGGUAACUUUUACUUUAUUAAAAACUGUGUAUCCAAUCAUAGUUUAAUAGUCUAUUUUGUAAUUGGUUAAAUACCAUUAAUUUAUAGUUUUAAUGAUACUUUCUAGACAAAAAGUAAUUUUCUUAAUAUGUAUGUUUUUACCUAAAUAUCGUAUAUUUAGGAACAGAGGAAGUAUUAUUUUAAGAAAGUCAUGUUUUUGAAAACAAUGGUUAGAAAACACAUUUAUACACAAAUUAAUCAAUCAAGGUGUAUCAAAUUGUUAGUCCCACUGCAUCAAUAUCGCUGUACAAAGUGGCUCCUUUGAUGAUUAUUGUUGUUGUUGCUUAUAUAACCAAAAUGAUAUGUAUGCAUGCAACCAUUCCCUAUUUAUAAGUAUAUGCAAUCAUUCAACCAAAAUGAGUGUUUUGAAACAUCAUAUAUAUUUAUAUCUCGUACGUAAAUUAUAAGCAGUUUAGUGUAGACACAUAGUUAUAUGUUGUUUUUCUAUAUAAGUUACCCAAUAUUUUAUAAUAAUUUGGACUUGAUACAAACAUAUAGGCUAUAUAAUUCAUUUGUGAACAUAGAGAUAGGAUAUAUAUAAUCUAAAUGGAGACAGAGUAUUGUACUUCUCCUUUUCAUAUAAAUGUACUUACCAUAUUUGUAUAUUAUUUUUUGCUUCAGAACUAUCUUACUCCCAAAAAUUUCGUCUUAUUUUUACCUAAUGAAUCAAAACAACGUGUCGCACACGGUUGGUAAGGUUAAGUGCUACGGGAAGAAAAAAACUGACUUGUGUUUUAAGUUUUAACAACUUCAGAAUAAUAAAUAAUAAAAGGAAUCUGAAAUGGGAUUGGUGGAAUGAUUUUAACUGUGUAGAGUUCACAAGUGGUCUGAGCAACCAAAAAAGCUUCACACACACGUGAUGCCCAACAAAAAAACACUCUCUCGUGAGUCUUCAAGCUUCAUUUUACUUUGGUUAUUUAUUUUCUUCCAGAAGUAGCAGUUAAUACCUUUUGUAUAAAUGUACAAUUUACAAAUCAGGAGUUUGGCUUCUUUCUGAAGGAUAAACAUUACAGCUAUAAAUAUUAAACUUUAUUUUCUGAAAACUAAAAAUGCACAAACACUAACUAGAACUUGACUCCACAUACAUAUAAGAUUAUGGAUUAUAAAUUCCAUUGAAGUUAUAGUUUAACUACGUACCAAAGUUUCUAGUUAAUAAAACCCAUAAACAUGAAAUGAUGGAGAAAUAAAUAAAAAACUAUAUAAAGUACAUAAAGAAAUGCGCCGGUGGGUGAUGAAAGUUAUAAAACUAAUGGACGGCGAUAUAUCAAAUCAUACCUCACGACAGUAAAUGAUUAACUCCUUCAACAGAACAAAAAGAUAACCCAUGAUUUAGCAGUUAAUACAUGUAAAUAACAAAGUAAAUAAAGCUGAGUAUAUUAACCUUUGUGAUAUAUGAAACUUCAGAUGACAAAAAAAAAAAAAAUUCUGAAAGGUGGAUUACGCAGUCGUCUAGAUAUCUAAAUUUCGUAUACCAGUAAUACCAUCACGAUUAUCUAACAAUAAAAUAAUAUAAAUAAGUAUUUUAUUAUUUUAUAGCAGAUAUAUGUAGGGGCGUAGGGCAUACCGCAUACCUACAUAUUUACCAAAACAAUACGGUUCUAAUCGUGUGUCAAUGUGUGUAUAUAUCUAAGUUGGUUAUUGGGUGAUGUGAGGGGUCGUUUUAAUAUACUUUUAUAAAAUAUAUUAUAAUAUUUUGAAUACUAUAAAAACUAGUAAAAAUAAAUAAAAAGAAUUCAAUAUGAUUCGUCAAGCUAAGUAACGAGAGUUUAUGACCGAGUGGAACACUGGUUCGAUCCACGGGUCGGAUCUGUGUGGCAUGUUUCUGGGCUGUCCAUUCUUAGCUGAGAAUUAUUUGUCUGGUUUGAGCGAAGGCUCGAAUCAGGUGGGUGUUAAAGUGGAAGGGUAAUGUGUCAGGCUGUUUCACAGAGCAGCGACUACUUCUUGCUCUCUGCAGUGGACAGAUAACGGCUCGGCGCCACUCAAACUCGCCAAUAUGGCCUGCUGGUUCGUUUUCAGUUGAACCACCAUUUUAAUAAAAAAAAAUGAUUCGAUGGGUCCGUUUCCAUUAACUUCCUUCCCUGUAAUGAUUAAGACAUUUAUUUGCCAUGUCAGCAUCACAAUCCACGUCAAUUCGUGUUAAUCCACCCCAACAAAUCAUUUUCUUUCAGAAAAUAGUACCCAUGACAGAUUCGUAUCUAUUUCAGCAAACAUCAUUCACUCGUACCCAAGAUAAAUGACUCGUUCAUAUCUCAAAGGAAAAAAGAAUUGACACUUAGAUGAACUAUACACCAUGUAGUCUACACUACAUAUCUAGAUAAAACUACACUAACUAUAUAAUUCACAUAAUAACAUCAUCGUUAUAUAUCAGACUUGUAAUCCGAUAACUUCUAAUUAUGUUAUUGGUUAUAUAAUGUUGCAUUUAAAUGUUUUAUCUAGGUGUUUUUUUUAAUCUUUUGUAUGUGUGUUUGUUAUUGUCUGUUUUAAAAAGUUUGGUUAACGGACUUUUCAUUAGAUGUUGAAUUCUAAAUCUCAUACACUUUUCGGUUAUCGAAAUCAUGUUUUUAGUGAUAGUUCAUGGAUGUCGUUAUGUGAAUUAUAUAAUUCGUAUAGUUUUUGAUAUAUAUACUUUUAACUAGAUAUGUAGCUGUGGUAGUGUAUCAUUUGUGUAGUUAGUAAUCAUUUUUUUUUAAUCAUAAACUUGAGACUGGCCGGAAUAUUAUACCAACAAAAAUAUUUGGAAUUUAUACUAACGAGUCAAAAAAUUGUUGAAUAUAUCUCACCAACCAAUACAUAUAUCGCAACAUAUACAGAAAAAUGUUUGAGGAGACUAAUCUUUCUCAAAUCCGAUAAUUCAUUCAGUGGUUAUAUAUAAAAGUAUUCGAAACUCAAUACGAAUUAUUGAUUGAUGUCUGUUACAUGAUAUGCAACGAGCAAUAUAGAUGACUAGAUUUGGAGGAUAUACAACUCAUCUUUAUCCAUUCACAAACAAUAGCAUUUAUGAUGAAUUAGUAAUAUCUAUAGACAAACUUAUACAACUUGAAAUAAAUUUAUGAUAAUAGUAUAUAUGUGAAUCACAAAAUAACAGAAAAAGAAAAAGAUAGUUUCAGGAUAUAACGGUUUGUGGUUCGCUUGGAGCCACUGCCAACUAACAAUAUCUUUAUCUAUGUCCCUGUUAUUGUAUAGGAUUAAAUUGGCAACGUAACGUGUCUUUGAUGCAAGAAUGCGUCUUCUUGUUUCCAACCUUCCAAUGAUAAUACACAGUUCUAUAUGUCUCUAUCUUAACUACUCAUUCCUUUUUCGGAUUGUGUUACACUCUAUCCACACAACUCAUCGCAUUUAAUCAUAUUAUCUAUAUAUUGAUUUUUAUGUGCAUCAAAAUUGUAUUUUUUUCUAAAAUCUUUGAGAUCAUAUACUAAGUUAUAUAGUUUAUGAAAAAAGUAUACUGAUCGAUAAUUCGAUAUUGACAUUUAUGAUUUCUAUAGAAGGUAGUAUUCCCCGCCCCCCCCCUGAAAACUAUAGUUUAAUAUAACUUUUAAGGAAAAAAUAACUGAAAGACAAAAGAGAUAAGGCUAAGGAUGGGCCCGAGAUAAGCCUAAUUUGAUGACAAAUCUUAAAUUAUGAUCCAAUCCAUAAGACAUCAAAAGAUUUGUCGUUUGGGUAAACAUCGGUUGCAUGGUCAUUGCUUUCAAACACAUCCGGUCCUAAUUAUUUGAUGGUGUCUUCCUUUUACACGAUACGUCAUAAUCUAUAUAUGAUAUUUAUAAGUUCGCAAAAACAAUUCAAAACAAUACAAAUUAAGAAAACACUAUAGUAUUUUGAUGAAGUUUAAGGAAAAGGGGAAUUAAAUCACCAAGAGGAUUAUUCUUGAAGGGUUACUCAUAUGUUAAACAACUAUUUUAUGAUGAUUCAUGGAAGAUUUUAUCAUUUAUAACAGAUAUAUAAAAACCAAAUGAAAAGUAAAAAAUUAUGAAUAAUUUUUUUAGAAAAGGACAGUAGCAUAGUUAAUGAACUACAUCACAAGAUUCACAUAUACAGUAUUAUUUACAAAAUGAAAAAUAGUGUUGAAACUUGCUUCUCAUUUAAUAUAUGGUUUUAUUUCACAGUCAAUUGCGGAAAACACUAAUGGGCUUAAUUUAAAGCGGGCUCCAUUACAAAAGCCUAUAUACCCAUUAACUAGAAAAGGCCUGUUGGGUAUAGAGAGAAGUCUUUUUUAUAGUUUGGUGAUCCACAUUAAUUGUAUUUUAAUCAAAUUAUUUAACUUAAUUAAUCUAGGUUUGUUUGGGGUUUGUUUAGCACUAAUCAAUCUAUCAUGAUAUAUUCCGUUUUUUCCUUAUAUACCUUAAGGAUAGUUGAUAACUUGAUAUAUAAGGAUUUAAAAUCGAUGCUUAAUAUUUCUGCUUAAUUUUGUUUGUUUUUCCCACUUGGUCUUCACUGCGUUAGGAAGAAGCUUGUGCGCAGGAACGGAACAAUAAUAGACGAAAAAAAAAAGAAAACACAAUCGAUUCCAUACAAUUACAAGUGAGGAGAGAGAAACUAGAGAGAGAAGAAAUAUCAAUAAGCUUUCUUUGGUCAACGUUUAGUCAACAGGCCGUUACAAGUUUCUUCUGUUGAUUUUCUCUCUCGCUCGUCACCUCCUCAACAAACUUCAUCUCCCGCUUCUCCUCUACUCCCUCUUAUACUCUCAAGAAUCGCCACCGUACUGACUUCACCGUCUCGAUUCGAGAUCUACGGCGGGGGGAAAAGGUAGCUAUGGCCGCCCCGGGAGACGCGCAAUCCAACACUAGUUCGACGCAGGUGUGCUCUCUUUCUUUUCGUUCGUUAGCCUGUGCGGGAGAGAUAACUGAGAAAAUGAGAAUCUGCGUGUGUGCUCGUAGAUUCGUGACUAGCUACUACGUAUCUUGGUUCUUCGAUUCUUAGUUGUUUCGUAGUUACGCAGCGAUUGCGAUUUGGUUCGUAUCGUAGUUACGCAGCGACUGCGAUUCUGAAUCUGAGAAUCUCGAAGAUGAUAUUCACUGGAUUUGCGUUCUGUUUGACUAUAACUGAUAGCAAAUGUUCAGUCUAUAAGUUUCAUGAGCUCACAUUUACAGUACUUGUCGCUAUUGUUCAGAGAGUGAAGGUUUAUUGCUUGGACAAAGAUGGUAAAUGGGAUGAUCGAGGAACUGGACUCGUCAGUUUGGACUAUGUGGAGGUUUCUUCUAUAUCUCCCCUGCUCUCAGGAUUCUACAGUGUAGAGACUUGUAGCUUAAUGGAAAUGAUUCACAAUGCAGAGAUCGGAAGAACUUGGUCUAUAUGUGGUUGAUGAAGAUGAUCAUGAGACGUUGCUCGUUCACCGGAUCAGCACUGAUGAUAUCUACAGGAAGCAAGAAGGUAGCCGUUUAUGUUUUAUUAACUAUUCCUUGAGUUUGGAUAAGUGAUAUCUGUGUCAAUGUACAGACACUAUUAUCUCAUGGAGAGAGCCAGAGGGCUCAACAGAAUUGGCUUUGAGCUUUCAAGAGACUGCGGGAUGCUCUCAUAUAUGGUAAGUGAAUUUCCUUUUGGACGAGCUUCCAUUUUGGAGAUCAUUCUCUUGACUGCAAAAAUGGUGCUUCAUCGUAUUCAGGAAUCAUAUAUGCACUAUGCAACGGAAUCUACAUUUCAGUUCUCUUAACAGUAAGAGUUUUUCCUGCCCGUAUGUGUAGUAUUUGUUCAACUCUUGUACUAGUCUGAUUUUCUUCUUAUCACAUGCUUUCUCAUUUUCUCAUAUGUAUUCUGUUAAAUGUGUCAUAAGUCUGAGUUUGAAGUUUGCAUUUUUUCUGUAAUAGUAGUUCAAGAGGUUCACCUGCAUAGAGUUAUCAGAUUUUGUGCACCAUCUGUCAAAAUUUGGACUUUAAAGUAUUUGGAAAUAAAUAAAGGAACACUGUAUAUUUUUAUGAAUCUGUCACGAAUUUUGUGCUUGACAAUAAUAUCAUCUUUGCUUGAACAGUGAGCACUGAGCUGAGGGAGCUCCCUGAUGUCGAUAUUUCUAAUCUUCCCCAAAUACUCGAGGUUCUAAGAUAAUACUCAUCUUGUGAUUUCUUUGUAUUGUGGUCAGUUAAGAUGCUUUGCUCUUCUUUACAUUUCUCAUUGGUGUUGAUAACUGCAACAAAACAGCCCUAAUUGUAAUAUCUACUGUAAGGGUUGAGACUUUAUUUAUUUUUUCCCUUGAUUACCUAUCGGAUGCCUACAAUUGUAUGUUAUCAUCCUUAACUAUACCGUCAGUGUGUGUUUUCUAUCUGUGGAAGUUUCUUGUGUUAAGCAGUACCAUGAAUGUCCCGAAUUGGCAUUCUAGGUCUCUACUUUGUCGAUAAUUUCAAGUAUUUUGUUUCCGUCUUCCCUGCAGAUUGUUACUGAAAGUGGCAUUAAAGGUCAGAUGCGGUUAGCCGGACUUAUGUUGAAGGAUGUAAGUAUUUUGUGCCUUCCUAAGCUCUACGUUUUUUUUGGUAAGAUAUUUUGCUUAACCUUCUUUCUUUCCUGAUACUCGAUGCAGGUUAAGUUCUUUGACAAUUUGAUGAAUGUAUUUGAAAUGUGUGAGGACUUGGAAAAACUUGAUUGCCUUCACAUGAUGUUCAACAUUGUCAAGGGCAUCAGUUAGGAUUCGCAUACACUUUGUUCUAUAUUUUUUGAAAACUACAUUUUCUUAUAUGUAAAAAGACAUUUUACCCUCAUUUUGAUUUAAAUUAAAAAAAAAAGAACCAAAUUUAAAUCAAAAUGAUUUAUGUGUGUUUUAGGUUUCGUGUGUAUUUUUGUUGCUCAUGUUUAAAAAUUUAUUAAAAUCCAUAUAUAACUUAAUGAAUCAUAAAGACUUAAAUCAUAUAAGUUAUAAACCAAAAUAUGCAUACAUCCUUAUUAAGUGAAUUAUAUAGAUCAGGUGCGUCAUAUACAUUUUUUUAGUAAUGUUCCUUUGACUAAAAUUGUUAUACUUUAUACAUAUGAUGGUACAUGAAAGAAGAACUUUAUGCAGCAUUGGAAAUUAGGCAUUGGAAAUACACGGAUGUUUGAUGAAUUCAGGGACUAAUAUUCCUACGGAAUGCUGAUUUGAUAAAUUUUGUACUCUUCGUUUUUGCAACUUAAUAUUUGGAUCUUAUGUUGCAAGGAGAAGGUAAUAUAUAAAUAAUGCGUAGUAUAGAAAAGUAUAUGACACGAUUACAAAAGUAUAUUACAAUAGCUUUCAAUUAUCUGAAUGGAUAAUUUAGGCAUUUUAUAUAUACAAAAGGGUGGUUUUCAAAGAAAUUAAAUAGUAGUGUAGUUUUCAAAUUUGAAUCUCAUAUAAAUGUAUUUUCCCAAAUUUUCUCUAAAACCAAUCAAGUUGGUCAGGUUACGGAAAAGAGAUUUUACAUCUGACUUUUCUUUUAUUGUUGGUAAAUAAUAUAAAAAUAAAUAUUUAAUGGUUUGUUAUUGUUCUUUUUAGAGCAUCAAUUCAUUAGUUUUUUCUGUCUUCAACAUAAUUUCUACGCUUACUCCGUGACCAUAUACUAGCUAGAACAAUACUCGAUUUGAUUAUAGAAUUGUAAUUUCAUAAUAUCCCACUAUAAUGUCAUCGUAGCUUAAAGAUAUCACAUUCGUCAGAAAGAACAUGCUCGAUUGCAAAUAAAAAUUUAUGGCUGAAGUUCAUAUAUAUACACAUAAACCGAAAAUUAUUUGAUUAUUUACUUAAUGUUUUACUUUUAUUAUUAAAAAAGAAAACAAAUUAUGUAAAUGAAGUUGCCUCUAGAACCUGAAGGUUUAAUUUUUUUUUCCUGAUUUGUUUUAAUCUUCUAUCUGAACAUCCACUGUAUGUAUGUACAGUCAUGUCCAUGCAUGCUUGGAUCCGUCUGCCACCGCAGUCAAGCUAUUAGUUACUGGCUUACUGCUACAGCCAAUACAACACUAUUAUCGCUAAGGCAAUGGUAUAUUGGUAUAUCGAAACUCAUAGUAUUUUCACAUCUUUGUAAAAUUUACGACAUAUGUAUACCAGGUUUAUUUUUAUUUUUUGGAUUAAAAUACCAGGUUUAUUUACUACCAAAAUGCUAAUAGAUCACUUUCAUCGUUAUCUUCUUCUUCUUUUUUUAAAGAUAAUUUUCAUCGUUACCGCACAUUUAUUCCUACCUGCAGUGAUUUUAUUAUGGUUAGUGGACAAAUACGUAGUAAGUGCAUCAUUUAGACUAUGAUUCUUAUGUUAGUAAAAUUCACGUUUUAAUCAAAGAAUACUGUCAUUGUCAUGUACUCAUGUGGUUUAUUUAAAUUCUAAGGAUAAAUAUCCUCCAGUAACCACUUUUUGCAGACCAUUAUAAAUCUUACAAGUUACAAAUGACUUUAAAUUCAAUACUCUUAUUUUAUCAGCCAUUUUCCACCGAAUAACAAAUUGAAAAAUAUGUAUAUUAUUGAUCGGACUACACAUACAAACUUCUCUUUCCGGAUUGUCACGGGUGUCUGUCUACUCUCCACCAAAUAAUAGUCAUUGAGCAUCUAGUCAGGUUGCCCACACUUCUCUUUCCGGAUUGUUAUUGAUUAUUGGUCUCUUUACUUCAACUUUUCUUUGAACAUUUUAGACAUUGGUCAAUAUAUAAUAAUAAUAAUUGACCCACCAACUUGAACUACGCUUGUUUUGUUUCUUGGAUUAUAUUAUACUUACGGUCUAGCUAAUACAACCAACUAUGUACUGAUCUUUUGAUGAACACAAUAUACAAGAAACUAUUUUCUAACUUGUAAUUGUUUUGGAUUAUUUAGACGUAAUUGUUUUUGAUUAACUAAGGAUGUAUUCUUGAAGAAGAAGUAGCAUUCGUUGAUUGACAUGCAGCAACAUGAGCGUUAAAGAUAAAUUGAUAGUUCAUUCUAUAGCCGAUUCAUUUUAUCUUAAGAAAAUCAUGUUUCAGAAAAGAGAAGUUUAAAAUGAUGAUUUAUACACAAGUUUUAAUCAAAGGUGUACCAAAUUGUUGUUCCUAUUGAUCCCUGCAAAAAAAAAAUCGUUAUAGUUUAUUUGCAUUUACAAAUACAUAACCAAAAUGACAUAUAUGCAAUCAUUCAAUUAAAAUGAGUUUUUUCUUUCUUUCAAAACAGCAUAUUAUCUUGUUCUCGUAUAUAAACAUAUGAAUUGCCUAAUGUAACUAAAGUAUAUAUGAAAAUUUUGAAUAGUAAAAACUAAUAAAAAUUUGUGUAUUCUCUAUCAUAUUUGUUUAAUUUUAAAUCAGCAAAAUAAAUUAAACAACUAUAUUUACUAUAAAAUAAAAAUUUAAAAUUUUCUUUUUAUGUUAUAUUUUGGUUUUCUUAAACGAUUAUAAAUUACUAAAAUUAUAAAUUAUUAAAAUUAUAAAUUACUAAAACUAUUAAUCCCACAAUAAAAUUUUUGUUAUCAGUGAUUAAUUUUUUUUUAUAAACACAAAUGAUCAAAAACUAUAUGAGUAGAAAACAUCAUUUAAUAUAUAUAUAUAUAUAUAUAUAUCAAUUUUAAAAUACAAUAUUUAUACGUUACUAUUAUUUAAAUUUAAUAUAUAUAUAUAUAUAUAAAUUUUAAAAUACAAUAUGUAUAUGUUACUUUUUGAGCUCUUCCCAAAAAUGGCAACGGGACAACUGUUUUCUCGGACCACACAAGCUCUGUUCUACAACUAUAAGCAGCUCCAUGUUCAACGAAUGCUCGAUUUCUGAUUUCCUCUGUGGUACAUUGACAAACUUUACAGUGGUUUGGUUUGGAUCAAUAUGAGUUUUUGAGAUGAUUUGCUUGUACAGGACGUGAAACGCCUUCUGUAAAAAAAAAAAAAAAAAAAAAAAACGCCUUCUGUUGCUGGAAUCAUCAACCCUGGCUCUGAAGGGUUUCAGAAGCUCUUCUUCGGACAGGAGGAGAUCGCUAUCCCUGUCCAUGCCGCGUAAGUAUUAUAUAGAAUCUGAGAGAAACUUUACUAUAUGUUUUUGAACUUGUUUUUUAUGAAUGGGAAGCUGAACAAAAAGUGGUUCGCCAGCUUGUGUGGAGCAUCCACUCCCAAAUUGCCAUUCACCAAAACAAAAUAAUUGUGUGAGUACAACUAUCAAAAUAAUAAUAUAAAAUUCUGAUCCACAAACAGUCUAAUUUAAAGAGCAAAUAUGAAGAUCCGCUAGGAACAGUAUAAACACUCCUCAUUUGAAGUGUUUUGUGCGGUCUAUCUAUAUUUUUUGUUUUAUUUAUAUUCUAAAAUAUUAUAAAAUUCUAGUUGUGUAAGAAUUUUGUUAUAUAAGCUAAAUCUAUUACAUAAUUUUAUGUUUUAUAUUAAGUUCAUUAUAUUAUUUUCUAUGAUAUUUUAUUUAUUUGAUUUAAAAGUUUUAUAUGUCGGUUCACUAGGGACGGACAACCGACAUGUGGGCCGAUAACGUAGGCUGCUAACAUAUAACUAGUCUGGAUCCACUUCGAUGGGAGCCAUGAUUUCUCUGUAUAAUUUAAUUUUUUUUUUUAAUUAUGUAAAAUUGCAAAUUUAAAUUAGUUUCAGUCAUAUAAGUGUCGAAAAAAUCAGUCUUACACAAAAUAAGAACUUAUAUAAUAUAUUAAAUAUUCGUAUUCAAAAUUCUAUUCUAAUUUAUGUUUUUAUUUUUAAUUCUAAAAUCUACGUGUACGAAACCGGCAAACUUUUGAAUAAUUUAGAUGGUACCCAAACCUAAAUUGAAACACGGAAAUAUCCAAACAAAAAUUUAUUAAUAUACGAAUGAAAUUUAAAUCUCUAACCUGGAAACUUGAAAUUCGAGUAGAACAGAACCGAAUCUAAAUGGGUAUCCAAACGCCCACUCUAAUUAUAUUACUUUAUCAAAAACAUAAUUAUUUUUAAUUCAUUUAAAGUUAGAUAUAAAUUUUAUUUUACAACUCAAUCUAUAUAUAUAUAUAUAUGUGUGUGUGUGUGUGUGUUUAAAAUAAUUUGUAUUAUAUUUUGAAUAAAAUUUAUAUAACUUAUUUUUUUAAAAUAAAUACUUUGAAUUAUAAAAUUACAUAAUAAUAUAAAUUAUUUUAAAUAUAUACAGUAUUUUGAACCAUUUUUUAUCCACUUUCACCAUUCAUACAUAUGUUUUAGACCGCUAGAUCCGCUUGAUCCACUCUUGUACUGCUAGAUCUGCUCGAUCCGCUCUUGUUUCACUCGAUCCGCUUGAUCCGCUAGAUACGCAACGCUAGAUCCGCUCUUUCCAUUCAAAGCCUUUGUUUAUACAACAGCAUUGAGGCAGCCUGUGUUGCUCUAAAAACCGCGGAUGUAUUCAUCAACUUCGCAUCUUUUAGGAGGUUUGUAUUAACAAAACUUACCAUUGUCUCUUUGUGAUACUUUUGUUGAUCGGUUCGGAUUUUGGUUAGUUUGGUUCAGAAUUUUGGUUAACUUAUUGCUCGGUUUAAGUUUGAAGUUUUAAUUUUAGAACUUAUUUUAGAAUUUUUAGAAUUUUUUAAUUUUUAUUUUCUUUUUUAAAUUUGACAUUUUAAUUUUAGAUCUUAUUUUAUUUUCAAGUUUGAAAUUUUAAUUUUAAUUUUUUUUGAAUUUUUUAGAUUUUUUUUUUUUUUUUUUUUACAAUUUUUUUCUAAUCUCAUUCGAUUUUUUUGUAUUAUUAUUUUUUUAUUUAAAAAAAAAGAAACCGACACGUUAUUAUUUUAACCUAUAAAAUAAAUAGUACCGGUCGUAUAUGAAAAAAAAACAUCUCUAAAGAUUUAUUAUGAUAAAAAUGCAACUUUGAAGAUUUAAAGUGAUAGUCAAAAAACUUCAAUAUUUAAAGUGCUAGAAAAUUACACUUUCGGUGUUUAAAAUGUGAUUUUCUCUAUCUAAAUUGGUUAUUGGGUGACGUGAGUGGCUGUUUUUCAUACUUUUAUCAAUUAUAUUAUAAUGUUUUGAAUACUAUAAAAACUAAGAAAAUAAAAUAAAAUAGAAUUCAUAUGAUUCGAUGGGUCUGUUUCUGUUAAAUUCCUUCUCUGUAAUCGGUGUUUUGAAACUCGACCCGAACCCGCGGUUGAACCGGUAAAUCCGGUGAUCCAGAAAAAAUCUGGUUUGGGUUUUGUGAAAAACCCAAAAUUUAGAAACCCGCAAAAAACUACUCAAACUCAGAACUUGAUACCGGUUGAACCACCGAUUAAAUCAAUAAAUAACUUUUACUUUUUUUUUUUUAGUUUUUAGAUAAAAAGUUAGGUUUUCCUUUUUCAGUUUUAUAUUUUUAUUAGAUUUUCAUGAAGAUUUCAUUAUGCCACCAGAAAAAAAAUGAAAUGAACAAUGAUAGAGAGAAUCAAAAUUAGCUGAUAUGAUUUGAUGUUAAUUUAUUUCUGUUAUUGACAAUUUAUUACAAUGAUCUUUUAUUUUUGGUUUAUUUUGAAUUUGAAGUUUAUUUAUCAUUCACAUUAGACAUUAAUAUUUUCAAUCUCAAGUUCCAACUUUUUAAAAUUUUCAUCUCUAUUUUGAUUUUCUUCAUUCAAAAUAUAUUUGUUUUCUUUUAAAAGCUUAAAGUAUGAAUGAUUAUGUUCACUUAUUUAAAUAUUUAUGAAUAUUAUAUCUUGAUUUUUUAGAUGUCAUAACUCUUAUUUUGUUACAAAAAUUUUUAAAUAGUCUAAAUAAUUUUUUGAUAUCUUUUUAUGUCAAAGGAAAAUAAAAAUAUAAAAACUAAAAUUUAGUAAUUUUAAAUACUUUUUAAACAUAAAAUAUAUACAUAUCCAAACUAUUAUUUUAUGUUUUAAAAACAUUUAAAAAAUAUUAAACUUUAGUUUUUAUAUAUUUAUAAGUAAAAUAUUAUUAUAUAAUAAAAUUAAUUUAUUUAUUAAUCUGCAGUUCAUCCGCAGUCGAUCCAGUGAUCCGGUAAGUCGUUCGGUGGGGGUUUAAAAACAUUGUCUGUAAUUGAUUAUGACAUUUAUUUGCCAUGUCAGUAUCGCAAUCCACGUCAAUUCGUGCUAAUCGACCCAAACAAAUCAUUUUCGUUCAGAAAAUAGUACCCAAGACGGAUUCGUAUCUAGUUCAUUUUUUUUUUGGUAAAAUUUUUAAAAAAGGUGUUUUCACCUCUUUGCCGGGAACCCAAGCAAUGUAAAUAAUCCUUCCCAGCGCGAAUGACUCUCGUUUAUAUCUUAAAGUUUCAGACUGGCCAGAAUAUUAUAUGAAGACUUGUACUAACGAGUAAAAAACAUUUUGAAUAGAUCUAACCACACAAUACAUAUAUGGCCAUAUAUAAAACUAUGUUUUGAAGAGGCUAAUCUUUCUCAAAUUUGAUAAUUCAAUCGGUGGUUACACAUAAAAGUUAAUAUUUCGAAACUCAACAUGACUUUUUGAUUGAUGCACGUUACAUGAUAUGCAGCGAUAUAGAUGACUAGAUGUGGUUGAUAUAGAGUUCAUCUUUAUCCAUACAAAAACAAUAGCAUUGAUGAAUGAGUAAUAUCUAUAUAUCUGAAAUAAAUUUAAGAUAUUAUAUAUGUGAAUUACAAAAUAACGAAAAUGAAAAAGAUAGUUUCAGGAUAAAAAGGUUUGUGGUUUGCUUGGAGCCACCGAGCCACUGCCAACUAACAAUAUCUGUUUAUAUACAUUCCCCUGUUCAUAUGCUCGUAUAUGCAUGCACAUCUCUUCAUAUAAAGCCAUUCUCACACGUAUUAUUGUAUAGGAUUAAUGUGUUGAUUAAAUUGGCAACGUAGCGUGUCUUUGAUGCAAGAAUGCGUCUACUUGUUUCCAACCUUCCAAUGAUAUUACACUCUAUCCACACAACUCAUCGCAUUUAAUCAUACUAUCUAUAUAUUUUACAAGCAUCAAAAUUGUAGUUUUUUUUUCUAAAAUCUUUGAGCUCAUAUACUAAGUUAUAGUUAUAAAACGAGUAUACUGAUCGGUGUUGCCAUUGCCAUUUGUGCUUUAUCUAUAGAAGUUUAAUACAGUUGUUUAGGAAAAAAUAAUUGUAAGGCUGGACCAAAUAAGCCUAAUUUGAUGACGAAACGUAAAUUAUGAUCCUAUCCAUAAGCCAUCAAAAAGACCUACAUGAUAUAGUGCUUCUUUAUUCUGUUUGCUUAAUACUUAAUCAAUAGCGCAAUCUUAUAAACAUUUGAAAGAACUAACCUGGAGGAUUUUAGUAAAACAAAAAUGACUAUAAUCGUUCAAAAGCCAGAGUUGCAUAUAAGAUACAGAUAUAUCACAAUAAAAAUUUACAUGUUGGAGAAUUUAGAGAAAUAGGUCUGGUCAUCAACUUGGAUGAAUUUAGCCUCGUUUAACUAUUGGAUUACGUCUCACUUUCACAAAGUUGCUCGUCUAUUAUUUGUGUCAUGAAAAUAUUAACAAAAAUAUUUGCAUUAACAAAAGAAAUCUAAUCUAUUAGGCUACAUGAGCUCAUAACGAAAAAGACAACGACCAAAUCCCAAAUAGAACCAUGGUUCCUUAACAUUACGUUCAUAUAACAAAAAGAAAACAAAUAUCAUGAUUAUUCAACAAGUGAUAGCAUAAGGAAAACAUAAACAUGGUUUUCAGCGAAGUUUUAAGUAAAUCUUAAAGGAGGGUGAUGACACAACAUGUCAUAAAUAAAAUUUUGGUUCAUCAUAUGGAGCUAAUCAAAUGUCCUUCCAAUGCAUAUUUCAACAAUAAAAGGCAUUUUGACAAAAAAGCGAUCAUAUAGAUGAACCACAUCGUCUUUCUCCAUACGUUCCAAUAUCAACCCGGCUACAUUAUCACCAUUUAUGCCACUGCUUAAUAAACACAAAAUUAGUAUAAAUUUUAUCAUUAACUUUUAUAUGAAUAAGAAGUAAUUAAGGUGGAAAAUUUACCUGUCAUCAUCAACCAAGUCAUAAGACAAACCAGACUCAUCUGGGAAAUUAACUACACUCCUGAAACUUUUAAAAGUUUGAUCAUCAACACCAGCCUGCAAACAACGUCAAGAUAGAAAUUAGUAAGGUUCAACAAUAAAAAAAUACUUAAAUUUCAAAUAAAAAUUACCAAAUAGACAGGAAUGGUUGCAACAAAGUCAUAUAGCUUUAUCAGGAGAUCUUUAGGCUUAUGGUCAGGAGACACAACGUAGAUAUAGAAUCCUAGGUUAUAUAUAUCACAACCUACUCGAUAACCAAGCCCCUGUGUUAGCCUGUAGAAAACAUAGUAACCAUAGCCUUUAAGAGAAGCUUAGCAAACCCGAAAAUCAAAAAAAUAGACACAAAUCAGUAAAUUUACCUCAGAUCGAAAAAUACUUUCUCAGUAACCAUAACCUUUAGAAGAUGUAAAAAUACCGUCACGUUUUCAGCAUUGUAGACUUCGGACUUUUCAUCACACACCAUUUGGAAAUAAACCUGUUGACACACAAUUCAUAAGUAAAAUAAUAACAAAAUCAAACAAACAUAGGAAUUUAUUUUACCUUGGCCAAGCAAUUUGUUUCUGUCUCUGUUUUUGGGUUGGCAAAGACUUGAUAAGAGUAAUCCUGACGUAACACUCUCUUAGUCUGAAAUACCCUUUGGAUUUUAAAAUCUCCAUGUUAGAAUCGGGUUUAUUAUGGGCUUCCAACUUAAAACCAAUUGGCAAUUAGUGGAUUGGCCCUAACCCUUUAUAUAUUACUUAAUGUCCCAUUGAUUUUCCAAUGUGGGAUACAUAUCCCUUAAUACCCCUCCUCAGAAACUUUUUAAGACAGUUAUACUCGGUCGAGCGAGUCAAUUACGACCUAUAUACCCGGUCGGGUAGGGUUAAUAUUAAUUAGGGGUUUAACUUAUUAGGAUCUGGGAUCUGAGCUAAGAUCUUACCAAAAUUUCUUCUAAAUCAAACUCAUCAACGUUUGAUCUAAUUCUUCUUCUACUUCUAAAUUCAUCGUUCUAGAUGUCUAUUACUACUACUCCUACUUCCGCAACUACAGGCGUUCCUCCGGAGCUAUCUCCUUAUCACCUCCAUCCAUCCUAUAACCCCGGGGUUCUUAUCACAUCUGUUCUUCUCACUCAUGAAAAUUACCAGGAGUGGUCGACAGAGCUUCGGAAUUCUUUACAAGCUAAGCAGAAACUUGGCUUUAUUGAUGGAACAAUAUCAAAACCAUCGGAGGAUAGUCCUGAUUUAGCACGGUGGCUGGCAGCAAAUUCAAUGAUCGUCGGAUGGAUUCGUACGUCGAUUGAUUCAAAAGUUCGUUCGACGGUGGCACACGUACCGGAUGCUCAUAAACUAUGGGAAUCUUUGAGACUGCGUUUCUCUGUCAAGAAUGGGACUAGAGUUCAUCAACUCCAGGAUGCUAUUACUAACUGCAAGCAGGAUGGACAAUCAGUUCUGGAAUACUACGGCAGGCUCACGAAACUAUGGGAGGAACUCCAGAAUCUCAAAACCAUACGUACGUGUACCUGUGCUGCGGCUGCUGAUAUUGAAAAAGACAAAGAAGAUGCUCGAGUUCACAAGUUCCUCUUCGGGCUAGAUGACUCACGCUUUAUGUCUAUUAGGUCACGGAUCACAGACGAGGAUCCUUUACCUGAUCUUAACCUAGUCUACUCCAGAGUAGUUCGUGAGGAGCAGAACAUGAUCACAACUCGAUCUACAGAACAACGAACCGAUGCUUUAGGCUUCUCUGCUAAAAACGAGACCUCAAAGGAUCUGUCGUUGUCGGUCAAUAACUCUACACCUUCGCGCUCUAGGGAUCCAGCUCGUACGUGCACACAUUGUGGCAGGCCAGGGCAUGAUAUUUCUGAGUGCUUUCUAGUACAUGGGUUUCCCGAAUGGUAUCUUGAGAGACAAAACAACUCUACCUCGGGUACUCGUGGUGGACGUGGAGGACGUUCCAACUCAAACAGAGGCCGUGGCGGACGCGGUCGAGCAAAUGCAACUCAUGCAUCAACUUCUAUCAAUGCUGAUCAGAUUGCUUCUUUGAUCACGCUUCUACAAAACCAGCAGAGCAACCUCUCGUCCGAACGUUUGUCUGGUAAAACUACACUCACUGACGUUAUUAUUGACACAGGUGCAUCGCACCACAUGACCGGCGAUCUCGCCCUACUACAUGACGUACAUGACAUAGCUACUUCAUCAGUUCUAUGCCCUAAUGGUCGUAACUCUCCGGCCACUAAACAGGGAACUUUGCGACUUAGCAAAGAUUACAUGUUGCAUGAUGUCCUAUACGUGCCCGACUUUCAUUGCACUCUCAUCAGUGUUUCCAAAUUAUUAAAGCAAACGGGGUGUAUCGCGAUAUUUACUGAUACAUUAUGUGUUUUACAGGACCGUUUUUCGAGGACUCUGAUUGGAGCAGGUGAAGAACGUGAGGGGGUGUACUACUUUACGGGAGUCAAAGUUGCACGAGUUCAUGGGGCUACAAAGUCUUCAGAUUCUUCAGUUCUGUGGCAUCGUCGUCUUGGGCAUCCGUCAUACAAAAUUCUAUCUUCAUUACCGGCUUUUAAAUCCCUUAUUAUAGAUUUUUCUGAUUCUAGUCAAUGUGAUAUUUGUUUUCAAGCUAAGCAAACUCGACGGGUUUUUCCCGAUAGCCUUAAUAAAGCUUCUGCACCGUUUGAACUUAUUCAUUGUGAUGUUUGGGGACCAUAUCGCACACCAGCAUCAUGUGGUGCCGUAUACUUUCUUACCAUCGUUGAUGAUUUCUCUCGCGCAGUAUGGACGUAUUUGAUGCUUGAAAAAUCAGAAGUUGCUACUUUACUUAAGAACUUUUGUGCCAUGUCGGAAAGGCAAUUCGGACGUCCCGUUCGAAUGAUUCGCACGGAUAAUGGAACAGAGUUUACAGUCCUUCGGAAAUAUUUUCAGGAGCAGGGGAUUGUACAUCAAACUUCUUGCAUUGAUACACCACAACAAAAUGCUCGUGUGGAACGGAAACACAUGCAUAUACUUAAUGUGGCUCGUGCUUGCCUCUUCCAAGCACACCUUCCUUCCACGUUUUGGGGAGAAAGUAUUUUAGCAGCUGCUCAUCUUAUUAACCGUACUCCUACAAAAGUUUUAGAUGGCAAAACGCCAUAUGAAGUGCUUCACGGUAAACCUCCAGUCUUUGAUCAACUUCGCGUUUUUGGAUGUCUUGCAUAUGCACAUAGGCGUGCGCGAGAUAAAGAUAAAUUUGGGGCUAGGAGUCGCAAGUGUUUGUUUGUUGGUUACCCCUUUGGCAAGAAAGCAUGGAGACUCUAUGAUCCAGAAACAAAUGAAUUCUUCAUAAGCCGCGAUGUUCUUUUCUUCGAAGACAAGUUUCCAGGGCUUCCUGAUACAGAGUAUGUUACACCACCAGUUAUGCAAGAGGACGUAAUAGACGAUUGGCUACUCCCGACGGUGACAUCUAGGGGGAGCACGCCAGCAUCGCCACCUAUUCCCUCUCUUGUGCCAACAGACUCGUCCAUUCCAUCUACAACAACUCAAAAUCCUACAAACGCUUCUCCUACUACUGAGACUCUACCUUCAUCGACGUCUCCUACUUCUAUACCUUCUGAUCCACUGCCUUUGUCUCCAACUACAUCUCCGACUCAGGCUGUGUUACCUACGACAUCAACGUCAGAAUCAGAACAGCCUGACCACACUAAAUCUCCAGGUCUAUUGGAAGUACUUGGUCGUGGUCAUCGUGCUAAAAAGCCGUCCAUUCUACUCAAAAAUUUUGUUGCUCAUACUACAGAAUCUACAAACCCCUCUCACGUUCUAUCUUCUUCUGAUCAGAGUUCUCUUCCACCGGUCUCAGGUAAGACACUGUAUCCUAUCGCUGACUACUUGUCUUCCUCUGUUUUUUCAGAGAAACAUCAGGCUUUUCUUGCUCAGAUCACCUCGGAUUAUGUUCCUGCAACCUUUAAUGAAGCUAUCCUUGAUGAACGCUUCAAAGGUGCUAUGAAAACCGAGGUCACUGCCUUAGAAGACAAUCAUACUUGGGACGUCACUACUUUACCCCCGGGGAAGAAGGCCAUUAGCUGCCAAUGGCUUUAUUCCAACAAAUAUCGAGCUGAUGGUACAAUAGAGCGACCCAAAGCUCGACUGGUGGCGCAUGGAAAUAGACAAAAGGAAGGUCGAGACUACAAAGAUACAUUUGCUCCUGUCGCAAAGAUGAAUACUGUUCGUUUUCUACUUAAGUUAGCAGCAGCAAAGCGUUGGGAGGUACAUCAGAUGGAUGUUCACAAUGCAUUUUUACAUGGGGACUUAGAGGAGGAAAUCUACAUGGAAUUACCACCAGGCUUCCGAUCUUCUGAUCCAUCCAAAGUCUGCAGGCUUCGCAAAUCACUCUAUGGUUUGAAACAAUCUCCUAGGUGUUGGUUUUCAAAGCUCAGUACUACACUUCUUGCCUUUGGUUUUACUCAGAGUUAUGAAGACUAUUCUCUUUUCUCACUUAUCCAAGGAAAUAUAUGUCUUCACAUACUCGUCUAUGUCGAUGACUUCAUUAUUGCAGGCAACGAUAUUUCUACGAUUCAGCGGUUUAAAACCUACCUUAACAAGCACUUUAAGAUGAAAGAUUUGGGAAAAAUCAAGUACUUCCUUGGUCUCGAAGUUGCUAGAGGACCUGAGGGUAUUUUUGUGUCACAGAGAAAAUAUGCUUUAGACAUUGUUGCAGAAUGUGGUCUCCUCGGUGCUAAACCAUCUCCUGUCCCUACGGAGCUUAAUCACAAGCUUCCAUUGUCUAAAAGCCCGUGGCUUACUGAUCCCGGCAAAUAUAGACGCCUAGUUGGUCGUCUCAUCUAUUUGACGUUUACUCGGCCUGAGCUAAGUUAUAUUGUUCAUCUCCUUUCUCAGUUUAUGCAAAGGCCUCGCGAAGAUCAUUGGCUGGCGGCCUUGAGGGUUGUACGUUACUUGAAAGGGACUCCGGACCAGGGUAUUAUGCUAUCCUCUUCGUGUGAUUUGCAGCUUACUGCUUACUGCGAUGCUGAUUGGUCUGCCUGUCCUAUUACACGCCGGUCAUUGAGUGCCUAUGUGGUUCUCCUCGGUGAUUCUCUUGUCUCUUGGAAGACAAAGAAGCAGCGUACUGUCUCGCGUUCAUCUGCUGAAGCAGAAUACCGGUCUAUGGCUGAUACUACGUGUGAGCUAAAGUGGCUUAAACGCCUGUUGGCUCAAUUUGGUUUCUCUCAUCCUCAACCAAUGCGUAUGUUUUGUGACAGUCAAUCGGCCAUUUACAUCGCCAAGAACCCUGUCUUCCAUGAAAGGACAAAACACGUUGAGAAUGACUGUCAUACAGUACGUGAUGCUGUUCAAUCCAAGCUUCUCACGACAGAACAUAUCUCUACUAAGCAUCAACCUGCGGAUCUCCUCACCAAGGCAUUACCUACGCCUACAUUUGAUUACUUAUUGUCCAAGUUAGGCAUUCGGACACCGUCAUUGCCAACUUGAGGGGGAGUAUUGGGAUUAGGAUAAAUAUAAAGUUUCCUAUAUUGUUGGGAUUUAGACGAUCUAUGUAUUUCCUUUUCCUAGCUAGGUUAUGCUAAAGAUGUUGUAUAUAAACACCUCUUGGUGAAUGAAUAAAGGACACACAAUUCUACAUUAUAUUCAUUAUACUCCAAAGGGUUGAAACAAAUUUGUAAUUUGUUUGCAGUCUUCUUUAGACACACUUCCAGAAAAAACAGCAACAACUCGUGCCUGCAAAAAAAAAAAAAAAAAAAUGAAGUGUCAAACUUGAAAGGAUAAAAAUACUUUAAAAUUUUUACCUCAGAUCGCAUGGCAGGUAGGAGGCGCCUGAGGUUGUCAAAAGUAAUAUACUUCAUGACUCCAUACUUAUCUUCCAUGGUAAAAGGUACUAGGAAAACAGCCUCAGAUAAGAGGCAAUGUGCAUGAUGAAUCAGAUCACGAGAAUUAACGUAGAAAUCUCUCUUCAUUCUCUCAGUGAUAAUCUGAAAUAGGAUAAAAAAAAUGAGACAAAAUGGUUUUGAAACUAUAGCGGUAUUGGUGAGGCUCAAAAGAUACCUGAAAGCAAUCAGGAGUAGGCUCAAACGAUUUAAAUUUAUCCCAGAUAGAAGCAACAAGGUAUUUAAACCUUUGAGGAUGGCCAUAGAGUUCCAACACAAUGGUGUUGUCAUCUCCAAUCGAUAAUGCAGUGGAAAUGUACCCUUCUCCGGCCUAAGUAACAUAUAUAACAGUUACUAUAACUAGAAAAAGAGACAGAAGAGGAAAAGAAGAAACAGGUUUACCUUAAAUAAAAGAGAGCUAAGCUCAACUUUGAUGAUCUCGAAGUAGAUUCUGGUUAUCAUGUGUGGUAUAACACCUUGACCAGGAUCCAAGUAAAUGUUUAGCGAAGCUUUACCCAAUACGCCCUUGUUCUCUUUGUAGAAACAUUUGUCAGCAAUGCUUUUAAAAGAACUCCCCACAAUUUCCUCUUCAAGAACUUCCAAUAGAGAGGUCGUUGGCAUCAAUUCAUUCCUGAAUGGCAAGUGUAGCCCAGGAUCUGUUUCUUCAGGAAUCUCCCAUCGUUGCAAGUAAGAAUGGGGAACAUUCUCUUCUUUGAAUGUGAAAGAGAAAAAUGGUUCUCUUUCCCCUAAUUUAUAUAAAAACAAAAUCAGUACACAAAAUAAGCACUAAAACAAGUGAACAGACUAAAAUACCUUUUUCUGUGAAAGCUUUUGAAAGAAAGUCAAUCCUCAUAUUUUUCGUACUGAAAUUACGAAGCAUUUCCUUGAUGUCUUCGAAAUCACCAAAGUCAUAGCCAAAAUCAAGAGAGAUCGCAUGUGAAACAGGAAACUUGAGCAUAUUAACUGGAAAAAAAAGAAGCAAAAUCAGAAGAUGAAUAACAAAAAAGAAUAGUUCUGAAUUAUUGACAAACACCUGCAAGAGCCAGAGAAAACUGGGAAGGAUCACAAAGCUGGUUGCUAUCAAAAUCCAAGCACUGAAACCUCAUAUUCAUUGAAGAUCUGAACUCUUCAAUGAGUGAUGGAAGAGAUGGAGGAGGAUCCAUAGAUUUCAAAAGAUUAAGGUACUGGUACACAUACGAUACCAUAUCAUAUUUCUGCAAUUUAAAACAACAAAAGUGUGUUAAAAGCAUGUAAUAAAUGCAUUAUUAACGGUAGACAAUAUACAUACAUGUUCCCAGCCGCGAUCUGUGAUAUCCAUGGAGAUCACAAAAAGUUGACCUGCUAAUGUAGAGCAAUAGGAAGAACUAUCAACAUCAGAAAACUUUGAUUCAUGACCCGACCAAACAUGAAGCGAUGUUAUCCAUAGCUUCGACUUGAAGAAAGAGGAAAGGGAACCCUGACUCUCUGCCAAAAAAAAAAAACAUUAAGAAACUAUUCAAUUGGUUAAGUCCCAAAAAGAAUAAAAUGAUUCAAAGAAACUAACCGUCACAUAAAAGUCGUAGUAUAAACAUCUCUGGCCUUUUAUUAACAUGUGUCCUAGACACAGGAGGAAGGAUCCAACUAAUCUUCAUACUUUGAGAACCCUCCAAGGACUCAAGAAAAUAUGAAACGCCAUGCUUCCACAAGCUAUGCUUCCACCGAUGUGUAUCAUACUCUGGAAAUGCUAAGUUAAUCUCUUGACCUCUUGGAAGUUCUGAAAAGUAUUUCCUGACCCAUCUUUCAAGUUUAUCUACAGGAUCUAUAAAAAUAAAAACAAAGGUUAGAUAACAUAGUUUAGAAGAGAGGAAAAAUCAAGUAGAAAGGUUUAUACCUGCACCAAUAACGACAAGCUUCAUGCAAGAAGCUACAAAGUGCUUAACAUAUAGCUCCAGGGCAGCAUCACGAAUACUUUUCGGUUCAUGAUUUGACAAAGAACGUUUGUUGCCCAUAGUGAAUCGAUGAAAAGGGUGAUCCACGUGAGUUGUAUGGGCAAACAGCUGUUCCAAACGAGCUUCAUCUCUAAAUUUCCAACCUAACCACUCUAGUAAAAUAUAGACACACAAAAAGUAAAGCAUUAGUUGAUGAAAAAGAAAAAAAAACAAGACUGAAAAUAGAUUUAUAAUGUACCUUGAUUGAUGGUGUUAAUCUCGCUUUUUAUGUCUUCAACGUCCAUGGGAGGGGAAAUGAAACUUUUAGCAAACCUAAAAUACAAAAUAAGAAGAAUUAACUAUAGAAAUUAAACGAUGAAGAAACUUAAAUAAAGCAAAUAACUAACCUCUUCAAACCAGCCUGAAAAUUUGGCGUACCGAUCUCAAAAGAGAAACCCGAGUGUUCCAUAUCUGUGAUAGCAAAAACUCGUUCACCAUUCAUCAUCACAAAACUUUGAAACUGAAACACAAAAAAAAGGAUUCAAUAUUUAUUAAACAAAACAAACUCACAUCAUUUUCAGUUGAUCCCCUUGACAACAUGUGCUCAAUCAAAUGAGCAAUUCCCAUCAUAUCUGGAGGGUCAUUAAUACUCCCAAAUCUAACAGUCAUAGCAGCAGUUGAGCUCAUAGCAGAAGAGUCCGAUAUGAGCAGAACGGUGAGUCCAUUUCUAAGAACAAUAGACUUGUAAACCUUCUGGCUCUUGUCAGGACGGAUUAUAUAGGCAUCAUUCUCUUCAUCAUUAUCUUCAUCGUGAUUGCCAUCUUCCUCGUCAUCGUACUGGACAAGCUGAGCAUCGUAAUAAUCAGAAUCGGAAUCAUCGUAAUGAUCUUGCAAAUCUUCAUAAUAAUCAUCAGGAGGAUAGUCCAUCCAAUUGUUUUGUUCAAACUCUUGAUACUUCCUCUUCCUCAGAAAGCGCAACUUGUAAAGGAAACCCAUCUAUCAAAGAAAAAAAAAACAGAUAAGAUGAAUCGAUAGAUAGGAAAGAGAGUCGAAAUCUAAAAGAUAUAGAGAAAUACUUACACUGUGAAGGUCAAUCGACGGACAAAACGCAGAAUGGAGAAAUCUCUUCACUGAAUCAAGUAACCCUAGAAAGAGAGGUCCAGACGAAAAGGGGAAAAAUUGGGAGAGCGAAAUAAAUAAUAAGAACAAUUUAAGUAAGAACCAACCGGGACAAUACGGAAAAAAAAAAAUCAAAAGCGCAUACUAAAUGAGAAAGUUAAUCUAUGCUAUAGACAUUAAAAUCGCAUACUAAAUCAAAUGUUUCUUUUUUUUUUGAAAAUGUUUCCCUAUAUAGUAAAUGGUUUCUCACAUUAAUUUUUGAAAUGAAAAAACUAAUGUUUUGUUUGAAUUCAGAACGAGCUUAACAAAUUUUGCAAACUUUAAAACAAUUAUGAUUCCAGAAUGAGCUUAAAACAUUUUCUAAGCUUUUAAGCAAUUAAAGGCAUGUAUCCGGUAUCUGCAAAUAACAAACGGAAAUAAGAUUUUAAUCGAAUGUUAGACUGAGCUAAACAAAUCUAAAUUAUAUACUAUUGUCAAUAAGAAAUGCUAAAUUACACUAAAAUGAUGGAAGAUUCAGAAAAAAAAAGGGGGUAAAAAUAUCUCAUAUUUAUAGACAUAAUUAAAAGCACGAAUGCAUUAAUUUUGUAAGCUUAUAACAUUAUAAGCUUGAAUCAAAUAUAGGUUUAAUAAAAAACCAAUCACUGGAACACUUAAUCCAUGAUCGAUAAAUAACAAACCAAUUUCCAGAAUACUGGAUCUGAGAUUUCCCAUCAAAAUUAAAACAAAAGAUUGCAAUUCACAGAUAUAACCUAAGACAGAGAUAUUAAAGAAUAAUAUUCUAUAGAACAUGAUGAGAACGAUAAAAGAUAGAACUCUAAUACGAGAUAUGAUGAACAAAACAAUCUAAAGAGGAGGAUGAAAAGAGAGGAAGUUUGAAGAAAACGCUUCAUGAUAUAUUUUGAUAUGAAAAAUAAGUGGGGAAGAAGUGGGGCGUUUUAUAAAGAAGAAAGGUGAGGGAUUAGAUUAGGUCAAGGGGUAAUUAAUGUUCUAAGAUAUUCUAUUAACAAUUAGUUAAUUCUCCGCGUGUCAUGCAUUCAACUCUUACCUAAUAUUCAAAUGUUACCAUUAUUAAUAAAAUAAAUUUAUGUUUUUUAAUGGUAAGUAAAUAUAAAAUAUUGAAGAGGCAUUGCACACGGUUCUAUUUCGAAGAAUAUGUUAAGAAUUAAAUUAGUUUUCAAAUCUUUACCUAAACAUCUAAAUCACUUUUACAUACCAUUUUUUAAUAUCACUUCGUAUGAAGAGAGAUAUGUUUAUUAAUGGUAAAUAGAUAUACAAUAUUGAAGAGGCAUUUAAAGCACACGGUUCUUGUUUCGGAGUAUAUAGUAACAAUGAGAUUAAUUUUCAAAUAUGUUCCUAAACGUCUGUAAAUCACAUUUACUUACCAUUGUUUAAAAAAAAAAAUUAGAAUUGUCUUUUAUCCAAUAUUCUUAAAAUUCUCUCCUUUGCUUGACAAGUGGGUUACAUGCAGAGAGGAAACGGUCGAAAAUGAAUGUGUGGCCACACACUAGUUCCCAAAAAAUAAUAAUUUACUCUUGUCUAAUAAGUGGCUCAUGUGUCGGCAACUACACAGUUUAUCGGGACCAUUUACGUUACCCAAUUACGUUGAGAAACAUAUAAUUUAUUGAUUCUGUAAAAUAAUUUCAUUCCUUAUAACGGAGACAGAUAUCUUAACAAAUUUUUAUUGACGAUCAGCGAAAUUAUCUCUUUAGAAACUUCACAAUACUAGUAUAUUUUUAUCAACAUAUUUAGAAAAAUAGAACAGUUUGAAUUUUUAUUUGUCAUACUAGAACUUAUGAUAUUUUGAACAAUUCUGAAAUUUUUUAAAAAAACAUAAUUUACCUUUUUUUAUGGAAAAAAUAAUAAAUUAAAUUUUAAAAAUAUUUUAAAAAUAUGAAAACUAUUAAAAACAUAAGUAUGACAAUAUAUAUGUUUAAAUUUUUCUUUAUAAAAAAAGUAGAAUCAUAUUUUAUUUUAUUUUUUAUCUACAAUUAGAAUAUUUAUUCUGGUCAUCUACUUAGUCUAAAAAUCGGAUACUAAGUUUUAUACAUAGAUAUAUCAUGGAUAUAUAACAUAAACUAGUAUUUCUUAUAUAUAUUCUAACACAGUAUUUCAAAACGUUAUAAUCAAGAAAGAAGUCUACAGUAUACCUACAGGUUGAUAACGAUAUAUAGCCACAACACAGUAAUAUACUUUAUCUAUAUUUUGUGCCAUAACAUGUUAUGCCUUUUAUCUUAUGUGGCGCUUAAAAAAAGAAUAUGUUUCUCAUCUACUCUACUGUGAUAUGUGUUAGCUAGAAUAUAUAUUCUAGGCAAAUCCAGAAAGUAUGGAAACUUCCAUAUUCGAUUAAAAAUGUUUUAUAAAUCUAAACUAAAUCUACCCUAAAUCUCUCAUAGAAUAUUUGCUCGCACGUUUUUCUCCUCCUCCCACAUAUUUUUCUUUUCGUUCUUUGUGUUUAUCUCUUCUUCGUCGACAUAAUCAUUUCUUCUCUCUAUCAAUACGGCAUGAUUAUAAUCUAUGUUAAAUCAAGUGUAUAGAGUCUAGCGACAUUUUCUCUAUUUUGGUAGGACAGCCCAGAAGAGUAUAAACAAAUCGCUUAAGAAAUUUAACAUAUCGUAAUCAUAAUAGAGGUUUUCAUUGGCUCAUUUUCAGGGUUUGAGAUCAGUAAUCAUGUUCUUGAUUAUCAAUAUCUUUUCAAAAUUAAAUCUCUAAGCAACAAUUGCAAAUCAGAUGAGAAUACCAAAAAGUUAACAUUAAAGUUUCUUGGAUUUAAUGGUGGUUGAAGUUUCUUUCUUCUUUCCCUCUGUUGAUUUCUUCAUUUCACAAUUUUAGCUUUCACCUUUACACAAGCCUUCACCAAAAGAUCAACUGACUCUAAGUUGUGAAACCUCAAACUUUUUUUUCCUUCUGAUUAUUCCUAAAAGAUUCUUGUGUGAUGCCAUUUGCAGCAAGAGACGCUCGAGUCUGUCCCUAUUAGUCUUCUUAUCCUUUCAAACAGCUAUCAGAAUGUGUCUUUCAUGUUCUUUAAGCAUUACAUCUAAGUUUCUUCCUGCAGUAGUUAAUGGCAUGAGAUGUUUAUUCUCUCUGUUUUUUUCACUGUCACCCUAACACAUGGCAAAGAAAAAAAGAAAUUGAUUAGCCCACAAAAGUUUCACUGCAAAUCUAAGACAGUUAUGGUUAAGAUCAGUGUCGUGCGAAGAGUUUUAGGGGCUUAAGACAAGUUUUAAAAAUAAAUUUAUUUACAACCGUAAUGAAAAUAAUUUUCUAAUAUGAUAUAUUAUUUUCACCAAAUACACAAGUCUGUAAAAGAAUAAGUUUAUAACGUAAAUAUGUUAUAUUAUGUCAUAUAGAAAAAAAUACAUAAAUUCAAAAAGUGAAUUAAUUAAUUUUCGUAGAAAUGUUUUUUUUAAAAAUAAGUCUAAACCACUAUAUUAUAAAUUAUUUUAAAUUUUGGGGCCCUAAAAACAGUCAUAUUAAUCGGAGGCCUGAAGCGAAUGUCUUUUUCAAUACACUGUAGACACGCCUCUGGUUAAGAUGUUCUUACCAGUGGAUUCUUUUUCUUUUAUUAAAUCUUUGGGUUUAACCAGAAAAAUGCGGUGACCCAUUACCAUCUUUUGUUAUUAAACCACCAUUGAUUUGCUAUAGGAAAAUAAGAUGCAUCUCUGGCAGCUACCGAGUCUGAGAACUUUGUCAACUGGGCGGAUCCACGUUGAACAAAAGACCGUUGCAUCAUCAGUUCUUUACUUAAAGAAGGAGACUGAUUCUCAUUAUAACACUCUUCAGUGUUGCAUCUUCAUUAGGAUUGAACUUUUCAAUCAUGCUUGUCUGGUUAUUCUCCCCUUCACAUUUCUUUUACAAACAAGAGCAUAAACCGAAAAGUGAAGAUUCCAUGAAUACAAACAUACAAUAUAUAUAUUAUGCUAGAAUGAUUAUACAUACUUGUAUUGAUGCUAGUAACUCGACAUUGGCAUCUGAAUCAGGCACAACUUUAGAUUUUCUAGAUAUUUGUUUUGACUCAUUCUGUUUACUGCAUUUCUUUCUGGUAAGAGGAAAAUUUGAUGCAUCAGUGUUCAUUAAGACAUAAAAGAACCAUGUUUAUGCAAAAUCUGGAUCUUACCAUCUUGGUUCCUCUUUUCGAAGCUUCACGUAAAUUACCUUUUUUUAUUGUGUCUAAAAACAAAGAGGAGUAAGACAAAAAUGAGAUUAAAAACGAAAAUAUUAAUGAUUUUCAAUGAAAUGAAGAAACAAGGAUUCUCCACUUACCCUAAAUCGCCAUUGAUACAUGUUGAAGGUAGGGAGGAAAUGAGGAAUAAAGUGAAGAACAAAUUAGGGUAAAACGAGAAAAAGAAAUUGAAAAGAAGAUUAUGAGUUUUAGCCAAUGAAGAACAGUGAAUCACCAUUGAAGAGAGGAAGGAGAUAGGUGGAGAAGAUAAGAAGGUAAUUAGGUCUACGGAUUGGUAUUUACCUGUUAUCAAUUCUAGCUUUUUUAUUUUAUAAAAUUACAUUAAGAAAUCUAAUUGAAAUAUCUAAAUAUAAUUAAUAAAAUAUAAUUGAGAUUAAUUUGAGGGUAUAAUGGUAUUUACGGAAAUUAAAAUCUUAAUAUGACAAAAGAUGUAGAUAAAGUUUUAUAGAGAUAAAUAUGAGUUGAAAGUAUCGUUUUUUCCAAUUUUCCUUUAUUUUUAUGAUCAUAAUUUUUAUCGUCUAGCUUUUUCCUCAAUACCGGACACUUUAUUUUUUAUCAUAAGUCUUGAUUGCUAUUUCUAGAAACUUACUUAUUAAUAUUGUAAUGUUCUGUUUUUGACUUUUGAGAAAAUGUCUAUAUGCAGCUUCGAAUUUUAGAAACUUUAAAAAAUAUUAUAUUAUCAGACAUUUUUAUUCCCUUAUAUUUUUUGACAUUCUUAUACCUAUUAUAUCGAUUUUUUGUAUAUAUAACUAAAGAUGAAUUUAUUAUAUAGGAAUGGUUUAUACUUUAUAUAUAAAUAAUUAAGAAUUGCCUGUAAAUAUCAGUUUGCUAAGGUGUGGUGACCAACUCUACAAAUCCUUCCAUUAGUGUACGUGAUCAAGAAGCCAAAAAUAGUGGUGGAACAACGAGCCAGUUCUUACGAUCAGCUUUGUGGGAAUUUAUGUAAUCAACACCUUCCUCUGCCAGUUAUGGUUCUCUCAACCGGGCCUUCGUGUAUGUCUUGUGCGUAGCUUCGGCUACAUUAGGUUCAAUAAGCGUCAGUGCAGAACCAGUCCUAGCCAGGGGCGGAUCUAGUUGUAUAGAAGGUGGGGCACGUGCCCCAUACUAAAUUUUUUAAAUUUUGUUUGUAACAUAAUUUUGAGUAAUUAAAACUAGCAUAUUUGGUUAAAUGAGGUAAAUGGUGCCACACACUUCACGCUUGACCAUAUUUUUCACCCAUCUUUUAUCUUAUUUAUUUGUUGUUGUCAAAUUUAGCGUGUGCAGUUACUCUUUCUUUCUCAAAUAUUUAAUUUCAUAUUUCAACUUUUCUCGUUUGUUUCUUAAAUUUUAUUAAAGUAGUUUUAUGUGUCUAAUUUGUUCAGCUUUGCACUGUAAAUAUCAAUUUUGAAUUUCCAAUUACUUAUUUUGUACUCCUUCUAUUUCUAGAAAAUAAAUAUUUUCUGGUUUAUACAUAUUAAAAACAUUAAAAUCUGAUAAUAAAUAUAGUAUUAUAUUUAAUUAACUAUUCAGUGAUACAAUUAAUUAUCUAAGAGUUUAUAAUUUGCUAUUAUUAACUCAUAUAAAAUGUAUUGAAAGCUUAAAAUGAUAUAUCUUUUAAAAAUAAACUUUCUAACUUUUGUAAACAAUUUCGGAAAAUAACGAAUAUUUAAUUAGUUAAAAUAUUUACUGUAAAAAUAUUAUAUUUUAUAAUUUCAUAAAACUGUCAAAUUAUUUUAAAUAAAAUAUAUAUUUGUGCUCCAUAUAAAAUAUAUUUCUAGAUCCGCCCCUGGUCCUAGCGUAACUGAGGGUACAAAGUUAAAAUGAAAAGAAUUGCUGAAAACUGUUUGUUGAACCAGGGAGGAUCGAACAUAACUCAUUUUGAUGUGACAUACAUUGUUUCUAGCAUUAGAGCAUGUUUAUCCCUUGAUCCUUAAGUGUGUUUCUUAGUGAUUAUUUAAUAUUUUAAUUGUACUUAAGUGGAGUUAAGAACCAUAGUUAAGAAACUCCCAUUUGGAGCGGUCCAAUGGGAGUUUCUUAAUUAGGGGUUCUUAAGAAAUUUUUUUUUUUUUAAAGAUAAAAUUUAUUUAUUAAUUUAAACAUAUUAAAAGAUAACAUUUAAAAUAUAGAUUUUUUUUGAAAAAAACAUAAAAAUAAAGACUAGUACAAUAAUCGAGAAUAAUUUGGAAAAACAUCAGAGUUCAGUAGUUGUCUCCCUCGCCUUUUUCACGCUUUCUUGCGAUAUGAACUCUUUUUUUCUUCUAUUUCUUUCGACUUCUUGAUCACCAUAAUUAAUGGUCAAAUUCUCCAUUGUUUGAUCAAAAUAUUAAUCAAAAUAUUGAUCAAAAUAAUUAUCAAAACUUUCAUCAUCUACUCCCUCAAAAGUGUUAUGAGAAGAAGAAGCCAUAGAAUUUAUAUUCUUAAUCGGGACUGUUUUAAAAAGGGUUUGUGUUUUGUAGAAAGGGUUUGUAGAAGGGGUACGGUUUGUGUUUUGCGUUUUGCGUUUUGUAGAAAGGGUUUGUGGUGAUCAAGGAGAUUAGAAAAAGAGAGAUGAAUUUUGAUGACUUGAUAUGAGUUUUGAUGACUUGAUAUGAGCAAUGAGAUGAUUUAUAUAGAGCAAGAGAGAUAUGAGUUUUGAUGACUUGAUACAAUGAGUUUGACAAACACCAUCUCGUGACACAAAAAACACAAACACUCUUUGUCUUCUUUAUACAAAACCAUCUCAGGCACGCAUAAACACCACCAUCUCAUGACCUCUCUUGCAAAUCCAACAACAACUCCUGUGACCUCUCUAGCUAAUCCGACAUAACUCUCGUGACUUCUCUUGAGUAACGACACCAUCUCGUGACCUCUCUUGCUCGCAUAACCGAGACCAAGGCUUGUGACUUCUUUGUCUCGUAACCGCACAGAAACAAAUAUAACAUUUCACUUAACAUUUCACAUAUAACUUUUUAAUAAAACAGAAAGCUCACAUAGUAAACUUGAAACAUACAUUAAACAGAGCAGCUAACAGAAACAGCAAACACAAACAGCUAACAACUUUUUAAUAAAACAGAAAGAUCACAUAACUUUUUAAUAAAACAGAACAGCUAACAGAACAGAUCGCAUAAUAUAACAUAAACUUGAAACAUACAUGAACAUGAAAUUAAACAUAGAGAGGAUUGACUGUCGACCUCAACCCUGUAAAAUUAUCAACACAAGAAGACUAAAACAUCACUUAAAAGACUCACACUUCCCUCUCAAGAUGAACUUAAAGAACAUGACUACAAAAGAGUUAGUUUGUUACCAUUAUGUCUGGUAGAGACGAAGCCAAUACAGAAAGAUGUUCCUUGGCGUCCUGUUGAAUUGAAAACGAUCAUUAAAACAAAGUAUACACAUAUCUAACCAGAAAACACAUAAAGAGUAAAAGCUAAAGGAUCGUUGAUCCAAGUCAGAAUGCAAAACUAACAAAAAACUUUUCUUUUCUUCUUUCCUUAGAAACUAGAUGAUGAAACGAGAGAGAUUGAUUCAGUAUUAAUGCAAAAUCAGUAGAUUACGUCAAGAGCAAAAACAGAACCGAACUGCUUUGGUUUUGCUUGCGAAGAAGAGAAACUGAAACAUCACUUAUCUGUGGGUUUCCAUGCUUCCUCUGUCACGGAGAAGAGGAGAAGACGAGAGCAAAGACGGAGGAUCGGUGGUGGUGGUGGAGGAUCGUUGAUGGUAAAGGAUCGGUGCGAUCCUUUCUCAGUCGUGACUGAGAACACGAAGGGGAAACAGAGAUGAAAAAGAAAAAAAAAAUGAUUCUGGUGAAAAGAAAAUAGAACAAAAAAAUAUACUUUGCCUAAAAUGGUGACACGUGGGUUGAAAAACUCUCUAAUAAUCGGUCACAAAAGUCACCCAUUAAGGAUCAAUAAUGUAUCUUUUCCUUUAUUUUGAUUUAAUUAAAUGCCAUUAAAACACUAAGAAACCCAUUAAGGAUUGCCGAUUAUCAUGGUCUUAGACUACACAAGUUUUUUGUUAAUUUGUGGCCGAUUUGAUACUUAUAGUUGGAAGCCCAUGCGUCGUCAACUUGAGUCCAACAGCACUACGUCAGUGAUUACGGACAAAGUCCCAUCCAUAGUAUAGAAAUGUAAAAGAAACAUGUUUAUGGUUUAAUCAGUUACGGACAAAGUCUCCAUAAUAAAGAAGCGUAUAAUAAACACGUGACUGAAGCCAUUGGUCAAAAAUAAAUACUCCCUCUGUUUUUCAAUAUAAGUCGUUUUAGAGAAAUUUUUUUGUUAUAAAUUAUAUGUCGUUUUCGAUUUUUUAUGUAACAUUUAUUAAUAAUUAAUAUUGUCUGACCAAUGAUAAUAUAUCUUCUAUUUUUCUAUUGGUUGAAUUGUGGUUAGGUAAAUAAUUAAUGAUGUUUUUGCUUCAAAAAUAUAAGAAAUUAAUGAUUUUCUUAAUCUAUGUGCAUAGUUUUAAAACGACUUAUAUUAAAAACGGAGGGAAUAAAUAAUAAGCACGUGACUGCUUUUGUGUACCAUCUUAGCUUAUGAAAGAGAGGAUGUGCGUAGUAGUAGUCCAGUAGAUGACAUCACCAAAGUUUAUUUCUGAGUUAAAAAAAAAAAGUUAUGUUUUUUUAUUUGCUCUUGUAAUGUUUGUUAUAUUCUGAAAAAGAAAAAAAAGUUUGUGAGGUACAUGAAAUUUACUCUAAUACUAGAUCUUGAUCCGCGCCCCCGUGCGGAUGUUGGAUUUAACUUGCGUUCAAUGUAAAUUUAUAACCUAUUAAUAUUGUAAAAUGUCCAUUUAUAUUUUUAUGUUUUAUAAAAUAUAUUUAGAGUAAAAUAUAUUAUAUUAUAAUAUAGAUGUUUGAUAAUAAUUUUUUAUCUAUACGUAAUAUUAUAUUUAUAAUUUUAUAACUUGAUGCAAUUUGAUGUAAUUGUAAUAUUCAUAUAUUAACAUAUUGAUUUUUUUGUUUACUUAUUUAAAAAUGAUUUAAUUUUUUUUAUAGUAGGUUUUUAUGAAUUAUUAUUGAUUUUAUGAUAUUUGUUUUUUUUGAAAAUUGUAUUGUAGCAGAUUAAUAUAUAUUAUAUAUUACAGUUUCUGUUUUUAUUUUCAGCAAAAAGAAAUAACAAUUCAUUGUAAUUAAUUUUUUUUAAGUGAAGUGGCAGAUUUGUAAAUAAGAAAGAAAUGUAAUGGCUAAAUAUGUAAAUAAAAAAAAAUAUUUAAUAUGUUAUUUGUGUUUCCAAACAAUUCUCAUUUAAUCUGCUAUCCAAGUUUUCCAAUGACAGAAUCUGUAAAUGAGCAAGAAAUACAAAGACUAAAUAUGUAAAUAAAUAAAAAAAUUUAAUCUGCUAUCCUUGUUUCCAAACAAUUUUCAUUCAAUCUAUUAUCUAAGUUUCCAAAUAGUACCAAAAGGUACUUUAGUUUUAAUAAUAUAGAUAGUGAAAACCAUCCGAUAUACGAGAAUGCGGCAACAAUUACACCACGUUUAUGUUAAUACAUGCCACAUAUACAAAGUAAACGAUUAUAUGGUGAUAACAUCACAAUCGUGUUUAAUUGAUUUUAAACUAAGCUAAUAAGGUCAAUCUGUAAUUUAUAUAUUAAAAUUAACUCCGAUUUACUAAACUCAACCCGACCCAACUCCCGACCCGUGUCGGCUUAAGUCUUUUCUUUGGAUUCCCAAUUUGAAAUUAGGGUUCAUAACAAAAAAAUAUUGAUUUCAAAGAGAUGCAAUGGAGAGGGUCUUUAAUACUUUUAUCUUCUCCGCUCAGAAGGAGACCCUUGUUUUUUCGACUGUUCUUUCUUGUAAACGGCCCCAACUAGUGCUGCACAAGAACCAAAUUUGCAAAUUCCAUUUAUUAACUCCAUUGCAACGAAGAUAUUGGAACAAAGCCAAAUGUAUGUUAUGUACAUUAAGAGUUAGAAAGUCUAGUGAGAAAGAGAGAAGGAACCUUCACAUAACGCUUCUCUUAGAAGGUAAGAUCUCAUUUGGUCUGCCAGAAAAAAAAAAGAUAUGUGAGGAAAGUGAAAUGUCAAAUUCUCAUUGUCAAGAACUUGGUCCAAGAAAAUAAUAUUUUUCUCUUUGAUUUGCAUAAACCCAGCUUUGAGUUUGCACUCCCACUUGUUCUUACGCUUCUUCACCUAUUAAAGAAAACUACCUCUGUAUUGCAUCUCUUUGAAAUUGAUUUUUUUUUUUGGUUAUGAACCAUAAUUUUCGAAUUGGGGAUCCAAACAACAGAUUUAAUUCAACACGGUUCGGGUAAAAGAAUUGGGUAGGAUCGAAUCGAAUUUAGUAAAUCAGAUUUAACUUUAAUAUAUUACAGAUUAACCCCAUUAACUUAGCUUAAAAUCAAUUAAACAUGUUUGUGAUAUUGCCACUAUAUAAUCAUUUACUUUGUAUAUGUGACAUGUAUUAACAUAAAUGUGGUGUAGUUGUGGACACAUUGUUAUACAUUAGAUGGUUUACACCAUAUUACAGUAAACUUCGUGUAGGUGACAAACUUUUUUCCUCCGAAAAAAUAAGAAGACAUCUUCUUUACGUCAAUAUAAUCUUCUUUUGAAGGCGCAUUCACUGGUUUACCAUGUUGUUAGGAGAAGAAGCAAGCAAAGAUUUUACAAAUUAUGGGAAACAGAAAAAAGAGAGCUCUGUUCACUACGAGAAUUGUGCUCUAUUUACCAUAUGCAUUUGUAAUUUGCAAAAAAAAAAAAAGAUGAAAUAAUCCAUAUGGGCAAGAACACAGUUUGUGUGGUAUUCUGAAAGGUUCAAAGACUUAUUUAGCGACUAUGCAAAUCGAUAUUUUUCUCAUUACUCAUUUGGUACUGAUCAUUAUUUUCUAAUACAUUAUAUAUUUAAAAUUUGCAUGCUCAACUCUUUUCGUAGACGAGUAAGAAAAAUAACAUAUAUAUGGACAUUUCCAAACAAUAUGACAUUUACUUGAUAUAGAAAACCAUGAAUUAAUUAUUUUUUGUUCUUCUUAAUUCCAUUGGUAUUGCAUAUUCAUAUCCACUCCAAAAAGGCUAAAGAUUUUAUUUUCUGAUUUUAUAGCUUGACAAUUCUCUAGUUUCCACCUAUAAUGCAUAUAUACAGUAUGAAGAGACAAUGCUAAAUGUUUUGGGGGAGUUGACAUCUCAUGUUUUUAUAGGUUUUUAGUAUCUCAUUUUUGUUCAUAUAAGUAAUUUUAGAUUACAUUUAGAUGUUUAUAUUGCAUUUUUACACACAUUUGCAUAUAAUAAGGGCUAGAUUGCACAAUCGGAAGUUUGAGGCUAAAUCAAGAGAAUAUUCUAGAAAAUUACAAAGCUUCGGGUCUAAAUGAAAAUAAGGAAAAGAUGAGGGGCCACUAUGAAAUUAGUAGGAUGUCUAGAAUGGCGCAGUUGAAAGAUUUGGGGUAAUUUAAGAGGAUGUUUCUGUAAACUAGAUAGUCUUGGGUCUAAAGAGAAAGAAAGCAAAAUUUUGAGAACUGAAAAUGAAAAUAUGGAGAAACAAGCCAUUGUUGUUGUUCGACCUCGAGCCUGCGGCGUAGGAGACGGCUUGGAACUUGGAAGGUACUCUCACAGUGUCUUGGAGCUUUGAUUACGGUAUAUUGCGUGGAGGAGAGCUCCGACUUGGAGCCGCGGCGGAUGACUUGACGACGACAUGUGGAGUUUAAACCGGUGCCACCUCCAUGUAGAGCCGCGGAGGAAGAAGACAGAGGCGGGUGGAGCUUCUGUAAGAGCAUCUCCAAUGUAUUACUCCAAAUUUUACUUCAAAAUGGUGUAACUCCAAAAUGGAGUUGGAUUUUACUCCAAUGUAUUACUCCAUUUUUUACUCCAAACAAAAAGAUUCUUUUUUCAUUUAGUUGAUAAUUGUUAUUAGUACAUUCAACUUAUAAAAAAUUAACAAUUAACCUAACUAUUUUAUGUUUACAAAAUUUCUAUAAUAAUAUAUUUUAUUUAAAUUAAAUAUUUAUCAUUAAAAAUACAACUAGAGAUUAUCUUCCAAUUUCAAUUCGUGCAGAUUUUAUCAUAUGCAAUUUUUCUAAAUCAAAAAUAUUUUUAUGCAUUAAAAGAACAUAAAAAAAAAUAAAGUUUUGUUUUGUAAUUUGAAUUAUGUAUUGGGUCCUAUUGUUUGUUUGUGCAUAUAUCAAGUUCAACAAGUACAAAUGUUAUCAAUCAAAAUUUUGACCCACAAAAUUAAAAAAACUCAUCUAUUCCGUUUGAAUAAUACUUCACCGCUUUUGGUAGUUUUGAAAACAAUUUACCGAAUUAAUUAUUAAAUUACUUAUUUAUAUUACAUUAUAUUUUUUUUUUUUUAUUUUUAGUUUUGAUUUUUAUGAGUUUAUGCAUAUUUUUUGUAAACUAUAAAGUAGUAAUCUUUUGUAGAGUAUUAUAUUUUUUUAUGUUAUUAUGUUAUUUUAAGUAUGAAAUAAAAACAUUAAAAAUCAAAAGGACCAUUUCAUAAAUAUAAAAAGUUCAACUCCAAAAUGGAGUAGUGGGUAAGAUUACUCCAUAAAUGGAGUAACCCUAGCUUUUUUUUUUGUCAAAUAAGAGCUUCCAUUUACUUAAAUCAAAUCCAUAUUACAUAACUAAACGAGCAAGGCUUGCUCUUGCCAAAGAGUCUGCCUUAGAAUUUUCUAAACGAGGCACAAAAGAGUAAGAUAAUGGACAGAAGAGAGUGGCAAGGUUCCUUAUAUCAGUAAGGAUACCUGCGAUCUCAUUCAAAUCCCGCCCUUCACAAAGGGUAGAGAUGAGGACCUGAGAGUCCGAGUAAAUGUGGAGACAGGGAAGGCAAAGGUCUUUGGCCUGGUUGAUUGCAUCUCGCAUAGCUAGUGCUUCUGCUAUAAGCGCUGAGCCUACAAAUCUUCUGUUGGACGUACCGCGACACAGAACUGCGCCCUCUUCAUUCUUGAUAAUCCAGCCCAUUCCUCCUGUUUUUGAUGAUUCCUGCCAAGCUCCAUCGAUCCAACAAGAGAACAAAUGUUGACUUCUACUAAUACCUUGGGGGCCUUUCUUUUGCUCCUUCUUCUUUCCUAAGAUGGCGUCCUCCCACACUCGAGCUUCAGCAACUGCCUUUGAGAUGAUAUCUUCCGCGUGAAAAGCUUUUCCUUCAAACACAAGCUUGUUUCUUGCCGUCCAGAGAUUCCACAAGAGCCAGGGAACAAGUGGAGAUGAGACAACUCCUAGCGGGGGGAGAGCUGUUCGAUACACUUGAGCAGAAUACCAGUCUGAGAAGACUAUUAGAGAAGCUGGAUCUACAGUAGGAGUAACUAGUGGGACUUUAGACCAGAACUGAACUGCAAAAGGACAGGAGGAGAACAAGUGUUGAAUGGAUUCCAACUCUCCACAUCUUUUGCAGUUAAGUGCCGACUGUAUUCCUCUGAUCGCGAGCAAAGAUCCAACCGGGAUCGCAUUAUGCAGUACCCUCCACAGAAAGUGUUGAAUCUUUGGUGGCACCUGCAACUUCCAUACCAUCUUUUUCCAAUCAAACUGAUCCUGUUGGACGAUCAGCUUUUCUUCAGCUAUCUUCUUAUACCCUGACUUAGCUGAGUAAAGUCCUGAUGGAUCAGGUAACCAGACUUGUCGAUCCCAUUGUUUCCUAGAGCUUGGGAUGAGUAGUCGGAUUUUUUCCUCAUAGAGAGGUAAGUGUAGGCGAAUUUUCUCCAGGUCCCACUCGUUUGAUUGCGAGUGUAACAGGUCUGCCACCAACAGGUUUUGGUUGGCUAGGGUUGGUGGACCUAUUGGAGUUUCUGGCUUUGACGGGGAGAGCCAAGGGUCUGACCAAACUUUAAUGUUUUCUCCAUUACCAACAAGGUAACCCAAACCUUUUUCCAGCACCGCUUUCCCCGCCAUCACGCUUGUCCAGCCGUGAGAUGCCCCUGUUUUCACACUACUCUCUAGAAAGGAGCAGUCUGGAAAAUAUUUUCCUUUGAGGACUUUAGUAAGCAGAGAAUCCGGAUUGUGCAUGAUCCUCCAGCCUAGCUUUGCCAAUAGCGAAUCGUUGUAGUCCACAAAAUUUUUAAAGCCUAGACCUCCCAAGUAUUUCGGCUGCGCCAUUAUGUUCCAAGCUACCCAUGCUAUCUUAUGCACAUCUGGUGAACUAUCCCACCAAAACCGAGUUAAAAUGGACUGGAUUCUUUUACAGAGGGAAAUUGGAAUUUUGAAACUGGUCAUGGAGAAGGUAGGGAGCGCCGUGAGCACAGAUUGGAGCAUUACAUGCUUUCCCGCACCCGAGAGGAACCGAGUUGUCCAAGAAUGAGCUCGCUGUCUAAUCUUAUCUACCAUCCCAGUAAAGAUAUCCUUCUUGCAUCUACCAAAAGUCUCUGGGAGGCCCAAAUACUUGCCCAUUCCCCCUUCUCUGGAAAUACCCAGCGUGGCCGUCACUCUAGCUUUGAUGAUCUCCGGUGUUUUAGCUGAGAAGGUAAUGGUAGACUUAUCCUGAUUAAUGCACUGGCCUGAGCUUAGCUCAUAACGCUUCAAGAUCUCACUCAAAGCUCGACAGUUCCUUUCAUUUGUUAUACAAAAGAUCAUAGUAUCGUCAGCGAAGAGGAGAUGGUUGAUAUGAGGGCUUCUCUGAGCAACUUGAAGGCCAAGGAGUCUUCCAUUCUCCUGUGCGAUUCGGCACAAACCAGACAGUACCUCCGUACACAGGAUGAAGAGAUAGGGAGAGAGCGGAUCUCCUUGUCUAAGACCCCUUGAGGGAACCGUCUUUCCUUGAGGAGCUCCGUUAAUGAGAAACGAAUAAGUCACCGUGGUGACACAUUCCAUGAUCCAUCUUAUACAAACGUCUCUAAACCCCAUCUUACUCAGGACCUUCUCCAAAAAUCCCCACUCAAUGCGAUCGUACGCCUUGCUCAUGUCGGUUUUGAUGACCAUAGAACAUCUUUUUGCUGCUCCUGAAGUCUUUAGAUAGUGGAGAGUCUCAUGGGUGAUCAGCACAUUAUCUGAAAUGGCUCUACCUGGUACGAAGGCCGUUUGAUGUACCGAAAUCAGACUCGGGAGGAACUGUUGUAGACGUUGAGUAAGCAGCUUCGCUAUAAUCUUAUACCUCACGGUACAAAGGGCAAUAGGCCUGUAUUCCGCCGCUGUCUUUGGAGCUUCUGUCUUCGGGAUCAAGCACACAUGUGUCUCAUUUAUCUGCGGGAUCAUCUUACCCGUGAUAAAGAAAGUCCGAAUAUCUCGGUAAAUAUCUGGUCCCAACAGACUCCAGAACGACUGGUAAAAGCUUGCAGAGAAGCCAUCUGCCCCCGGUGCCUUUCCUCCAUUGAUAGAGAAGAGUGAGAUUCGAACUUCCUCCAUGUCUGGAAUUCUACAGAGAGUGUCAUUCAUCUCCUCUGUCACUCCUCUGUAUAUUGUUUCCUCCACUGUACUGAAGUCAUCUUCCCCAUUAGAAGAGAAUAAUUGUUGAUAGAAUCUCUCAAACACCUUGCCUACAUCUUCUUCUUCGUACUUUGGGACCCCUUCUGCAUCUUCAAUUGUUGUAAUACAAUUUCUAGCCUUUCUCGCCUUUGUAACCGCGUGGAAAAAGGCACUGUUUCUGUCUCCUUCUUGCAACCAGAGAAUUCUACUUCUCUGCCUCCAGAAGAGCUCUUCCUCCUUGUAAGCCUUACUUAACGCUUCCGUAAGGACUAGGAUUCUACUUGUAUCUGGUGCUGCCGCUGAGAGUUCCUUUUCCAGUUCCUGUUGGUUAAGGAGCAUCGCCUUUGUGCAUAUCUCUUUUUGGAUCUUUGACCAUUUUAUGAUCUCUUGUCGGCAUCUUGAAAUCUUAACUUCCACUGGUUCCUCUAUUCCCUUUCUCCAUGCUUCUUCAAUGACUUUCCGAGCUUCUUCAUUAUCAUUAAGCCUCCUAUCGUAUCUAAACGGUCUCCUUAGCUAUUACUCCAUUUUGGAGUUGAAUAUGGAGUGGGGUUGAAGAAGAUUUUACUCCAUAAUUGAGUUUGAAGUAAAAAAUGGAGUAGGGUUGGAGAUGCCCUAAGUCUGUUCAUGUUCAUAACCACUUACUUUCGUUUAUAAACUUUCGGACUACAGAAAAGAAUAGAUACACCAACUAAUUAUACUAAUUAAUUUUAGCAAAAAAAAAAAAUAAUUAUACUAAUUAAUGUCAAUAAUAUACUCAUAAUUCAUAAAGACAGUGUACGUAAGGCAACUUUUUUUCUCUAUAUACUUGAUUAAUAUGAUUCUUAUUGCUCUUUUUUUUUGGGUCUAAUUCUUAUUGCUCUUUUAUUGUUCAAUCUCGAUCUUUUCACAAGUCUAACUAUUUCAAAACAUGUUUUCUAUUGAUUUAGGCAUUUAGCUUUGAUAUUCCAAGUUCUUGAUGCAAAUGUUAGUCCUCCAUCGGUUUAGCCUUGAGGUGCAUAUUGACCUCUGCUUCACUACAACGAACAUGCUUAAUUCACAAAAAGAAUAAUACACUUGAUAUAAUUUCCCUUGAUUAUUUGCAUCUGAGCCUUUAUUGACCAUAACAUAAAUGUAUAUGAUAUAAUAAACUUAAUACUUAGCGAUCUCACUAAAUUAAUACUCGGCGAUCUCAUUAAAUAAGAUUUUCUUUAAAUGGCGCAAGCUUGAUUUAUAUUAUGAUCCAACAUAAUCAUUUUUUUUAAAUGUAAGAUAUACCAUUAGUCCGUAUUAUAUAAACAUCAACUUAAAUCAAAGUUUGCUAUAUAUUAUGGCCUAAGUAUUGCAUGCUUUUGCUAUAAGUCAGAAAAUAAUAAUUUUUUUAAGUGUUGGUUUUUUUUAUUAAUAACAAAAAGACGUUUCUAUUCAAAAUUGUUUUGUUAAUAAAAGAAAAGAAAAUAUUGUUCGGUUUUUAAGCCUUCCUCACCUGUAAAAAUUUAUAUAAAGAAUAAUAUACAAAUUAAAUUGUUUUGGUUUUACCAAACAAACUUAUAUAUCAAAUAUUUUCCUUACAAUACAAUUCUUUAUACUUAAAUUAUGAAAUUUAUAUUGAAGAUUAAGAAAAAGCUUUGGCACGUGUCUAAUUGUUUUUUGUAGUAUAAGAAAACAUUAAUAAUGAUCUUUCUUAUUAGUUAAUAAUAUAUAUCACGUUAACCUAACUUUCAUCUUAUACAAAAUAUUGGUUGCAAACAAAUAAUCAUCAUCUUUCUAUAUUUUAGCCUCCAGUAUAAUAAUAGACAGACUGCAAAAUUUUAUGUUGCCUUAAUAUGACCUAUAAUCAAACUAUACUUCAAAUUAUAAGCCUAACUCAAUUUGUAAUUCUCUUUUUAAUAUUUUAUUUUUUCAUCUUAUGUCAAAAAGAAAGUAAAAAUCUGAUAUUCUGAAACUAGUGUAACUUCAAAAUAAAAAAUAUAUAAAUUUUAUUUAAUGAUAAGUUAGUAAAAAAAAAUAUCCAAAUGUAUCGACUAACAUAUAGAUGAUUAUAUAAACAAUAAAAAAUGCAUACAUAUAAAAACAAUUCGAUCAUAUAUAAAUCUUAAAUUUAUCAUUAUGAUAUGUUUAAUAUUUUAAUAAUAUAAUUCAAUAUGCACAUCUUAUCCUAGUAUUUUAGUAAGACAAAUGGUAAUUUUUUAGAGGAAUGAAGCUAAAUUUUAAUUUUAAUUAACAUAUUAUAAAGUUGGUCCGAUUCAACUCUCCAAAUGAUAUAAAGCUAUCUACACAUGUAACAGAAAAUUAAGGUUUGAUAAUGAAUUGACUGGCAGAUACAUUAGAAAUAAUUAUUAUGUCGAAAACUGCGAUCGAUCGAAACCAAUACAAAUUAAAUUUUAUUAUUAACAUUAGUUAAAGGCAUCUGUGUCAAUAAGGUUUUACCAAAAUUUUCAAUAUUAAUUAGUAACUAAACGUAUACCUGAAUUUUAAACUUCAAGAAUCUUAGCAAAUCUGUUAUAUUUAUUGCAUUUAAGUAUAUUUAUUGCAUUUACAUGUUGAUUUGCAUACAACAGGGGGUAGAGUGCACAAUUGCAAAUUUGAGGCUGAAUUCGCAGAACAAUCUGCAGAUUAAUAAGUUUGAGGUCAGAAAAGAAAUUCUACAAAUGAUGGAGGACGGGAUGCAAAUAUUCUUCGAUCGAGCUGCAAUUUGAUCCGCGACGGCAAGGCUUGAUAGGACGACGCCGAAGCUAGCUUGGCAAGACACAACGCGGAGUUUUUCGUGUCCAUGGAUUCCGGUGAGAGCAUGCUGACUUGUAGCCAGUGCCGGCCUUGAAUAUUUACAGACCGGAAGCAAAGUUAUAAAAAUAAGGCCCAUUCAUACGUAGAAAUAUUAAUAUAUAUAUAUAUAUAUAUAUAUUAAAAUCUAUGUGUAUGAAGAAAAUGGUAUUGUAGUAAAUCGAACUCGUCACCUUGCAUUCCAGAAUAACCACUAGACUAGCUAAGGAAUUUUAUAAGUAAUUGGCUGCAAAAUAAGUUUAGAAAUCGAAGGCCGGAAGCUCAAGCUUCCACCGCUUCCGGUCAGGGCCGCUACUGCUUGUAGCUGUGAUGGAGACGGCGGCGUGAGGAGCAGAGUGCGAAGAAGCAGCGGAAGAGACAUGGCUGAGGAGAUGAUUUGAACAGAAGAAUUAAGCUUCAUGCCGGAGCGGAAGACAAUAGCGGUGGAGAAGGAGUCGAUCCGGGGGUGGUGAUCGGAGCAUGAGCUCAGCGGAUUAUAUAAUAUUUUAAAGCUACUUUUGAUAUGAUAAAAAAAAACAUUUGAUAUAAUAUCUAGUAAUGGAUUUAUGCUACCAACCUAUAUUUUAAAGCUAUGAUUUAUAUAAGAUGCUCUAAAAUUGUUUUAAAUAGGACUAUAUUAAAAUGAGUGAAAUUGGCUCAAAAUCUUAAAAGAAGUUAUUAAUUAAGUAAGGGUACCCAUUAAGUAACUACCCAUGAAACAAAUUGUGUGGGGUUUAAUAUUCAACUUGGAAAAUUGCAAUUACAAAACAGUCUUUUUUGGGUUAUAGGAAAUGUUUUUAAGUAUAGGGCUACAGGUAGAUUAAAAAGUGAAAAGAAUGUGGAAACAAUAAUAUGGGGAAUUAAUAAUGAUUGGAUUGCCAAAUGAGAAGCUUGGUCAUUCUGACACAAGGAGUCUGAAAAAAAGGGAAAUCACAGCAAUGAGUCCUUGCAUGCAAAAAAAUUGCAGAGGGAGAGAUGCAAAAAAUUCGUGAUACAAUGUUUUAUAGAUAGUUCAACAUUUACAAGCUAUUAAAGUGUCUGCAAUCUAACGUUAAAUUUGGAUAUAUUACAUAAUCUGGUUUGAUAUUAUGUUUUACAGAUUGUUCAACACUAAUAAUACUAUUAUAUGUGAUUUAUUAUUUGUUAUGUGUUAUGUAUAUGAUAUAUAAUGGAUAAUUGUUACACAUUUUUAGAUAUGUUAGCUAUAUAACAGUAAACUAGCUGUUUUAUGGUGCAGUAACAAAAUUUAAAAUAUUUUUAACAGAUAAAUAUAAAUUUUAUUUUAAAAUAAAAUUUUAUUAAUAUUGUAAAUUUUCUUUUUUGCAUCAGUAUUUUAAUAUAAAUUUGAUUUAAUUAAACAUAAAAAUUAUAUUUAAGAAUAUGCAUGUAUAUAUUUGAAAUUAUAAUCUUAGAUAUAUUUUUCUAUCAAUUUAUUUUAAUUAAAACUAUUUAAUUUUUUUUGUAAAAGUUGCACAAUUACCAAAAAUUAAAAUUAAACAAUAUUUAUAAAAUUUGUAGAUAUAUAAGAAAAUAAUGAUUUUACGAUUAAUGUUUUUUCUAAAAAAAUUGUAUACAUUUUUAAAAUUUUAGUAGUAAAAUUGUAUAAUUUAAAAAUGUAUAAUUAAUUAUAUUUCAAAAUUUAUAAUGUCAUAUUUGAAUAUAUUUAUUUUAAUGAUGAUUUAUGAGUUAUUCCCAUAUUCUAAAAAAAUUUCCAAAAAUAUAAAUUGACAUUAAAUAUAAUAUAUGAGUUAUUACCAUAUUUUAAAAAGUUUACCAAAAUAUAAAUUAACAUUAAAUGCAAUUGUCCAUGUCAUAUUAAGCUAUAAAACAUGUCAUCAAUUUCAGUAGCCAUGUCAUAUUUGUUUUGUGAAAUUGAUUGUAUAUAAAUGACAUGUGGCAAAAUCACUUCGCAAAUAUAGUCUAGUGAAAAAAAUUCCAAAAAUAUAAAUUGACAUUAAAUGUAAUAUAUGAGUUAUUACCAUAUUUUAAAAAGUUUACCAAAAAUAUAAAUUAACAUUAAAUGCAAUUGUUCAUUUCAUAUUAAGCUAUAAGACAUGUCAUCAAUUUCAGUAGCCAUGUCAUAUUUGUUUUGUGAAAUUGAUUGUAUAAAAGACAUGGCAAAAUUACUUUGCAAAUAUAGUCUAGGGGAUCUCAUAAAGUAAUCUAAAAUAUCAAUAAAAAUUAAAAUAAAAUUUAUGUUAAUAUGUAAGUUGGAAGGUUACUAAAGAACCUUAAAUAUUAAAAGAUAAUGUAAAUGUAUGAUAAAAUUAAUUGUUAUAUGCUAAUAAAUUAUGGUAGCAGUCUAAAAAAGAACAUUCAAACGUAUACUCAAAAUUAUACAUGGCUAAAAUCUUUAUUGUAUCAAAUUAAAUUGUUAGAUACUUUCAAUAUUAUAUUUAGCGCGUAAAAAAAAUUAUUAACAAGUUAUACAACGAUAAAAAUAUAUAAAUUCUAAGCAUGACCUAGUUUUUAAGCUUUUUAAGCUUUUACGUGUACUAGGGCCUUUUCCGGACUACGCCCGGAUUAAUUUUCUAUAACAUUUUUAUAAUACUCAGAUCUUAUGGAUCAAAAGACAAUUAGAUGUCUAUCAAAUACAAAACUUGUUUAAUGGUAACUUGAAAACAAUUUAGUUUACGCCUUUGUAUUUGUUUGUCAUCUAAAACAUAGAGUGGUGAAAGAUCUAACUAACUUCAUAGCCAAAAAUGAGUUUAAAAUUUUGAUACAUGAACCUUUCACUAAUUAUUUACACAUAAUUUUCUUGGCAUCACUUGUGAAGAAAUAAAUUGUAAAAAAAAUGUUAGAAAAUAUGUCUACGAUAAUUCUCAAAUUCUAUAUACCUUUUGAAUUUCAAAAAUAAAUUAUAUCAUGUGCUCCUCCUUCAAACAGCAAACACCACCGGGUUAAAACUAAACAUCUUUUUUUUAGAUUUAUUUACGUGAAUCAGUGUUACAAUUAUAUUUUUUUGGCAACACCAAUAUAUUGUCAAGUAUAUAUGUAUGAAUACAACUUCAAUAAGUUAAAUCAGGUCAUAUCUCAUAUUUACUGUAUCUUUUUAAAAAUUAUUUUUCUUGUAUAUAUAUUUUACGGUAUAGAUUGCAAUAAUAUGAUUAGGAUAUAUGUUAAAAGGUUAAAGUUAUCCCUAUAUGUUACUAAACAUAGAAAUGUAGACAUGUUAUAUUAGAUUUUUUAAAUUUUCAAAAGUUUUGAUAUGAUAAACAAAAAUUAAGUUGAAUAUAACAUUUCAAAAAGAGUAGUUUGUUUCUUAAUCCACCUUGAGACAUUUUCUGCCAUCUUAAAAAAUAUUGUUUUGUAUUUCUGUGAACCUUUUAAAAAAAAAUGUUUAAAUCUUUUUAUUUUAAAUGUUUUGAAUAAUAUUUAACCAAUGCAAUUUUUGUUUUGAUUUGGAAGUAUUGCAGAUACAAAGGUCACCAGAAACUUAUCGCCAAAAACUUAUCGCUAAUCUUAAUUGUUAGGGAAAUUAGAGUGCCACAAUAUAAACAUAACCCAACCCUUUCGAUCAUUUGAUCUUCUUACGGUAGUUUAAAAAAACAAUUGGGAAUUGAUUGAAAAACAUAGAUACUAUACAAAGCGGAGAUUCUCUGAAGUUACUUUACUUCCUUCACAUGACCUAUGAACAUAGAGUUCCAGCAUCUUCGUACUCGUGUGAAUCUAUCAAAUCUUUUACGUGGCAUAUUUAAUCUUACCAUUUAUGAAUUCUCAUGAGGCUGAACUUUAAUUAUCAAGAUUCUUUUAAAAUGUUAACAGAGUUGAUAUAUGAAUUGAGAUGUCUGAGAAUGAUCCUAUUGGAAAUUGAAAUAUACGAAUUGAGAUGCCCUUUACACGUAAGUGUUUCUAGGCCGUUGCUUAGCACUAAAGAAUAUUAAAAGUAAAAGACGGAAAGUUUAAAUUCUAGAUAAGACCUUUUUUUUUUUGAACAACUUUCUAGAUAAGAUCAAAAUCAAGAUUUUAGACAAAAAUCAAGAUUUAUAUAAAAUCAAUCCUAAUUUGAAUAUAUUAUAUAGUUUCAUGUGUUGUCAAAAAAAAAAAAAAAAAUUAUAUAGUUUCAUGUCUUUGUGUUUAAUAUUAUCUUUGGUUGUUGCUUGUUUUGGUAAAUCUAAAGUUUGACUAAUUUAAUGAAAAAUUGAUGCAGAUGUUGCGUAUGUUCGCGAACUUGAUCUCCUUCUUCCAAACAUAUCCUCAUGUGUAUCCUGCUCGUGAACUUGAUCUCUUUCUUCUCACCGUCCACCAUGAUAUGCUUCUCCAAGUUAAACCACCUGCUGUUCACCGGCCUGUGGUCAAACCUCCUGUCCAAAUGCUGCAACGGGAUCGCGCAUCUCCCUAAGACCUCGUCCUUGUUAGGAGCAACUCUGUCUUCAACGCUUAAAAUCAACGGCUCCUCGAAAGGCUCAGCUGCUACAAACAUCAGAUCCUUGUUCCACAUGGGGUUAAUAGUCCUGCUUUGAGAUACUCUAGUCCGUAACGCUUGGUUUCCCACUAUAGCCUUCACGUAGACCUCAGGGUACCUCCCUUUAUCGCUCGGGAUCAAAUCUUGAGCCUCGAUGACGUUAACUCUCAAGUACCAAAGCUUGGGGGAGAGAUAGACUUUUGAGCGGAUGUUAGCAAGAGCGUCUGUUCCGCUCACUGUGGCUGCAUCCGAGUGCCAAGCCAUAUGCAAAUAAGAAUCUGAAGGGUUUGCCAUUGAUCUUUCUAAAGAGAUCAAUGUUGACUGGCCAUCUAUAGCAAGUGAAACCCAGAACUCAAAAAGGAAACACACAUAUAAAAUUCAGAAUCUAUAAAGAUAAAGAACAUAAAAAGUUGAUGAUGGUUUUUCUUUUACCUGUCAAACCAUUGCUUUAAGUCCUCUUCUGAUGGUUUGAGAUGAAGAUCAACUAAUGAUGAUUUUAAGAACUUGUGGAGGUAGAUUGUCAUCGAUUAUCCAGAUUUUGUCCCUUGCAAACCCAUGUUGAUCCAGUGAUCCACAAUCUACAUAAAAAGACAUACACACAAACAACUCAAUAAGAUCAUAAUCCAGAAAUCUAAUAGCUAGAGAAAGUAAGAAUCUAAUCUGGCCAUCGUUCAAUCUUAUAUAUAAAUCAAUCGUUAAAAAAUCGGAAAAGCUAAAAGUGUCAUACCGCCACCUCCACGGCCACUGUAUCCACCUCCACCACGGCCUCCUCCACCACGGCCUCCUCCACCGCCGCUUCCUCUAGACUGAGACUCGUUGACGGUGAUGGUACGUCCGUCGAGCUCCUUUCCGUUCAUCUCAUCAAUAACAUCCCUCAUCAUUUCUCAUCCGUGAAGGUCACGAAUCCGAAUCCCCUUGACCUUCCCGUCUCACGAUCGUUAAUGAUCUGUCAGACACCAAAUCAAAACAAAAUAUCAGCAAAAACAAUCUCACAAAAGCUUAAUAAUAAAAAAAGCAAUGACGAAACAAAGAUCGAAUCAAGUAACAGAGAAACACAGAUAGGAAUCAGAUCCGCCAAGGAUUGAGAAGAUGAAAGGAAAAAAUUGAUUUGAGGAAGAAAACAAAAAGAGAGAUCGUAAAUAAUAAAUUGACGUAAAAGGAUUUUUUUUGUAAUUUAUGAUGACAUGACAAUUUGAUAGGUUGUGAAUUUUUUUGCUGAGGUGGAUAGGCUCAAUGGAGCUCAUAUAUCCCUUUUAAUAUAGUAUAUAGAUAUGUAUCUAUAAAUUCUAAAUUUGUAAUCAAUAGUAAAAAUGUUUUGUAAACUAAUUUGGCAAGUGACUAGGUUGUAUAUCAACAAAACCUGAGUUAGAAUCGUGCGUCCUUGAAGUUUUUGUUUUUGUUUUUCUAAAGAGGGGAAACAUGUAAUUUUGGUAUCAUCUCUUCCCCUUUUCUAUAAUCUGCGUUUUCUGAAGUUCAAACAAUGGUUGCCUCCACUUUUUCCAGAUUUUGCACUCGUUUUUUUUUUUUUUGAACUAAAUUCACUCGUUUAUUCACCUAUUUUAUCAUUUUAAUUUAAACUUUAUAAAUCUAAGUUGUAUUCGAAAAGAAAGGUUGAGGGUUUAGCCACUACAAUCUUAACCAUGGCAGAUCGUAUGAAAAAAGUUGAUUGAGAAUAUGACUCUGGUAAUUAAGUAUGAAAUGAAAGGAGAUGCAUAGAAUUGAAUAUAUUAGAGGAAUGGGGAAACACAAAGAUUUUAGAAAGCUUUGUUCAAGAGAAUAAUUCAUAAAAAAAAUAAUUCAAUUUGUCUAACAUCAUAUUUUUUGUGUAAAGUUGGGUUAUCAGAAAAAGAAAUUUAAAAACAGAUUUGAGUUAGAGGGAACAUUAGCUUAGCAUCAAGAUAAAAUAGGGGUAUUAUGGUCAUAAAAUUUUUGACAAAAACUAUGUAAACACUAAGGAUCCGACUGGUGACAUUUUUGGAAACACGAGAAAUGAAUAGGAAAUGAACAUAUAGGAAUAAAAAAGAAUGCUUGUUCCUUAUCAAAUUUAAUAAGGAAUAUUUUUGUUCUAUUUCUCUACAAAAAAAAAGAAUAGAGAGGAACAAGAAGGAAAAACUAUUCUUUGUGAAUGGUGAUUUUAUUUUGGAAUGAUAAGGAAUUCAGCGUUCCCUUUCGUUCCUUGUUCACCAUUCAAAUCCUAAAUGUGUAUAUACCUAAUUAUGCUAUAAUAUUUGUGUGUGAAGUGCAAAUACUUUAUUAAAAUUUGCGCCUUGCGCGGAAUAAAUAUUAUAUAUAAAAAUCAUUUUAUAUAUUAUAUAUUUUAUGUAUUAUAAAAUAAUAUUUUACUUAAUUAAUAACUUCUUUUAGGAUUCUGAGCCAAUUCACUCACAUUAAUUAAUAACUUCUUUUAGGAUUCUGAACCAAAUCAUUUUAUAUUUUACUUAACUAAUAACUUCUUUUAGGAUUCUGAGCCAAUUCACUCACAUUAAUAAUGUAUACUAUUUGAUAUAGUGUUUGCAGUAAAAGAAAUUAAAUUGUUAGGAAAAGUAACCAACCAACUUAUUCCAAGUUAAAUCAUUAUUAAUUACUAUACCAUAAUCCAGAAGAAAAAUAAAAUUAAAAGAAAAUAAUAAUAAGAUGGGCGCAGGGUCGAACUCGUCACCAAAAGUCCUAAUGUUGCAGCACUCAAACCGUUAAGCUAAUGUGACGUUAUAAAAUCUUGGCGCCCCGCAAAUUCUAUAAAGCUGUGGCGUUUAAAGCCAUUGCUUUAGGUGCUUUUAGGUGCUUUACCCCAGGGCCGGCAAUGCAUACACACACACGAGGAGCAAUAUCUACUAUCUAGUAAAAAUGUAUAAAGUAUUGAAUUACCAAAUUUACCAUAAGGUUUAUGCGUUGUUACCAAGUGAAACAUGUUUUAGUUGUUUAGUGUUCUUAAUGUAAAGUAAAAACAAUGUGCAUAUAACAUGUUUUGGAAGUGACAGAGAAAGCUUAGACAAGUUGAAAAUUAAACUAAAGAAAGUAAACAUAAUAACAUCACAACAAAAGAAAGUAGAAGAAAAUCAUAGAUUUGCACUUUUAGUAACAUCUCUCAGAAGAAUGUAAAAGUGCUAAGUAGCUGGAACAAUAACAAUAAAAUAGGUUGAGAUGAGUUUACUGGGUGUACAAUACAUCUUCCCAUGGGUGACGAUACAGUGGCUGCUUCAAUCUCUUCUGAUCAAAGGUGUGCCCUAUCAAACCAAUGGAGCGAGCAAGAACAAAGAGACCGUUGAGGUAACCAAUCAGAACAAUCUCAUCGAUCUCCUGUUUACUGAAUAUCCCACUUCCAGCUAGAAGGUCCAAAAAGAGAGAUCCAAUGGCUCCAUCAACGUUGAGUACGAGGUUGUUUGCCUUUGAGAGCGUGUAGCUUUCCACUGUUACUGCGUAUUCCAUGUACUUCACUGACGGGAAGUUAGACCUAGCAAAUUUCUGAAGCAGCUCCACUCUCUUGUCUCUGUUGUCUCUGCUCUUGAUCCUAUAAAGAAGAAGAGAACAUGUUUCAGACAAGAGAACCUGUGGGGAUGUUUCUUUAUUACAAUAAGUGAUGAUCUUUUUACCUGUGUCCGAUCCCAGGGACUCUGAUUCCCUUCUUCUUCAUUCCCUCAACAAACUCAUAAGGUGUGAGAUUCUGAAACAAGCAACCAAUUAGAGCUUAGAUUAAAGAACUUAUGUCACUUGUGGCAAAAGAGCCUUUUAAUUACUCUGUCACAUGCGUCCUUGAAGUAUCUAGCAGCGUCAUCAAUGGCUCCACCAAACCGAGGACCAAUGGUUAAUAAACCUGGUGCAAAGUUUUAACAGUCUUAAAGAUCAUUGCAGGGUUAAAAAAACUUAUGUGUUUGAGGUGUGGAAGAGAUGUUGACUGACCUGAGACAAGGCUUGAUACAAGGUCUUUCCCUGCUCUUGCUGUUACAAUGGUGUUGUGAGCCCCGGAGACGCAUGGACCAUGAUCAGCACACAGCAUAAUGCAUAUCUAACUCAAAAGUUGCAGAGACCAGAGUUAAUCUCACUACCCAAUAGUAUACUGAGAGAUAAUGGAUUCAAAAGCAAAGAGAGAAACCAAGAGACCUCAAUGAAUUUUGUACAGUAACGAGGAAGACUACGUUUGAACCAUAGCAGGGAAAUGACAUCACCCACUCCUAAGCCUUGUUCAAUGAUGGAAGACAUUGGAACACCAGCAUAGCAUGGCUCCUCCCCUGCAAAUUAAUAUAUGAAGGAACAUUUUGUUAUCAAGUGUUCUGUGCAACUCGUUUUCUAGUUUUUCAACUCAGUCGACUAUAUGGUUUUAGUGUCCAUUACAGUACCUCUGUCAUCAGAAAUGGUGGAGAUGAUGUGAGUAGGAGCCCGGACUUUCCCACUCUUAAUUGCCGAACUGAGAUCCUCAGGGAUCUGUGGAGGAGUCACUUCCUUGAUAGAAGAGACCUUUCCUUCUUCAACCUUUUAAGAGGAAUUGAAAUGAAGACAUAAGUUUGCAACAAAAGACAUAAGUUUACAACAAGGGCUCUCCUACCAGUUUCUCAAAAGUCUCUUUGAUUGCAGACUCCAGGGCUUCAAAUGAAGUGGGAACAAUAGCUCCAGCAUCCAUUAGAGCUUGAUUCUUGGCUUGUGCAGACUCCAUCUCGCCACCACUUUUAGCACCCUAUUCAUAACCAUCAUGUUCAAAUAAAUCUUUUGAUUUGAACAACAGACAAAGAGUCAUUUAAGUUAAGUGCCGCUUACAGCGUGACCAAACUGUACUUCAGACUUGAAGAGCCGUGCACAAGUCCCACUGACCCAAGCAACAACAGGUUUAUUCACUUUCCCUUGUUUCAAAGCCUCAACAAGAGAGUAUUCAUCUCUUCCUCCAAGCUCCCCAAGCACAACCAUCAUCUUUAUCUGCAAUAUAAGCUCUUGAAUUAAGUCAUCGUUGAACUCGAAGAGCUAAAUACAAGAUCCAUCCUGUAACAUGUUAUACCUGUGGGAUGUUAUUAAACCGCAGGAUGUGGUCAGAUAAAGUUGAUCCUGGGAACACGUCUCCACCAAUAGCAAUGCCUAUCAAUAACAUAAAAAAAACAGUCUCAAUAAUCUUUCUCACUGAUAGAUUACUUCACAUUUGCAUAAAACUCACCUUCGUAGAUCCCAUCAGUCACACGAGCAACAGUAUUGUACAUUUCAUUAGACAUUCCACCCUACCAGAAAAGAAAAGAGUGAUAAAUAAAAACUCUCAUGACAUACAUUGCAGUAAGCAUUAUAAAGUUCUGAAAGAUAAUCACAUACAGAUUUGGAGACAAAACCAACAGAUCCAGGUCUGUACAGCUUGCACUGGAUAAUGUUAUCAAUAGUUCCUGCAGUGUCACCAAUCUUAAAUGCUCCAGCUUGAAUACCUCCAACAGUAGCUGGUCCAAUCACAACCUGCAAACAAACACAAUCAGUCUCAGAAUAUGAGUUUGUAAUAACUGAAGCUAGUAAAGAUACAGACCUUGUUGUUUGCACGAGCAUAAGCAAUCAGGUGCUUGGUGUCCGAUUCUGGAACACCUUCCGCUAUAAUUGCCACAACUUUGAUAGUUGGUUGCUUCAAAGCAGCCAUGGAUGAAGCAGCAGCACUAUAUAAUAAGGAAAAACCAAUCAACAAAAGUAUCAGAAAGAGACAAUGGUUAAGUUUUGUUAAUACAAACCUCCUGAAAGAUGCGAAGUUGAUGAAUACAUCCGCAGUUGGAUGAGCAGCACAGGCUGCCUCAAUGCUGUAUAAAACAAAAACAAGUUCAAAACCAUAUAGUAAAGUUUCUCUCAGAUUCUAUAUGAUACUUACGAGGCGUGAACAGGGAUAGCGAUCUCCUCCUGUCCGAAGAAGAGUUUCUGAAACCCUUCAGAGCCAGGGUUGAUGAUUCCAGCAACAGAAGGCGUUUCACGUCCUGUAAAAAAGCAAAUGAUCUUAGAAUCUCAUAUUGAUCCAAACCAAACCAAACCACUGUAAAGUUUGUCAAUGUACCACAGAGGAAGUCGAAGUCGAGCAUUCGUUGAACAGGAAGCUGCUUGUAGUUGUAGAACAGAGCUUGUGUGGUCCGAGAAAACAGCUGUCCCGUUGCCAUUUUGGUACGAGAUCAAAAAGGGUAGCUGAGAAUCAAACAGAACAAUGAUCAAACACAAAGCAAUGCGUUAACUACAAUAAAGUGUUAAUCUUUUCAAUGUUGGAGACGCGAAUCGAACUCGGAACCUAGAGAAUACACAAUUCGUUAACGAAUCUAACGUUGAAAGAAAAGAAAACAUAAACUUUAUGCAAUCUCCUCGGAAAUAUCGAAACUUUGGUAUCGAAACUUCAAGACAGAUCUAAUGAAAGCUUAGGAGAAGAGAGGAUAACAAACCUUAGUCACGACCCGAGUCGAGUUAGUUAGUUAGGAGAAGCUAAAAAAUGGUGGGAGGAAAAGGAAUGGUAGAGAGGAGAGACCAUUCUUAAGCUCUCUCAUCGAUCAUGUGGCCUCCUAUUGGUUGGUUUAGGUAGUUAGAUCACAACUUCUCUACCCAAUUUUGAUUUUUUUUUUUUUUUUUUUUUUUUUAAAAAACUAAUGACCAGCUGGUACGGACUGAUUAGUAACAGUAAUUACAAAAUUAAUGACUACAUUUGUUUAUUAGUUACACAGAACAGAAAUAUAGGUUUUUUGUCCUUUUAAGAUGUGAUGAUGAUCGUUAUAAUUAAGCGUGGCUUGCUAGCUUGCUGUCGGUAGUACAUGGCUGUUUCGUUCUUGUCGUUAAGACUAAGCAACGGUUAAUACUAAGCAACGUUAAGAUGAAGACUAAGUGACGUUUGAUUCAAGUUUCUUUUAUGUUGAGAUUAUUAUAUGUUAAGCAUUAUCUUUUCAAAGAAUUCAAAAACAAUGUUCAAUUUGAACUGCAUGCACACACUUGUUGCCAUCAUUCCAUUAAUCCAUCUCAUCUAGAAUCAAAAAUCUUUUUUUUUUUGAUAAGUGAUCGAAAAUCUUUUGCCUUCAUCUCUCUCUCUCUCUCUCUCUCUCGAAAACUAAUUCGACUCAGAAAAUGUAAAUAGAGCAUUGAAACCGAGGAAGAACAAUAGAAGGUAACACAAUUGAGAUUGAACGUAUCUUGAUAUGAAACAUCUUUGGUUAGAACUAAUCAAAAAUUCCACUAUGAACUUUGAAGAUGUUAUCUAUUGUAUCAUUUAACGUUGCAAAGAGAGAGUGUGAGAAUAAUGAUUGUAUGUUGUAUAAAUAAACCAAGCUGUGGACCGUGGUAAUGUGAUGGUAAGAGAAAAGAUUUAGAGUAAGGCCUAAAUCCGUAAAUGAUAGAUUCGAAUUCUGAUAGGAACUAAAUUUUUACUAUUUAAUCAGAUGAAGAUGUGAUCAUGCUCCGGUCAGACUAAUCGUUAGUUUUUUUUUUUUUUUGAGGAAGGGUUUCGUUAGUUUUGUUUCCUUGGGGGAUUAGUUGUAACAAUUACCAAGUCUGUAUGUUGUUGAGUCUAACUCUAACCAAUAAUCCAUCUUGACUUACGUAUGAUAAAGAGCUAUAUUAUCAUGUGUUAUAACAAUUUUAAUUUCAUAUUACUUUCGCCCGGACCAAGACAAUAUCCCUUGAAUCCUUGAUACCUAUACAAAUGAUCAGGGAAAUGCUUAUCAGUAGGUAACAAAAAUAAUUUGACCAGUAUUAAGCUUAAGCAUUAGUGUGACUGACAUAGUAUAACUGAAUGUUAACAUAAUUAGAAAACAUCCACCAAUUUAAAUGGUUUCUCAUAAUCUGAUAAAACCAAUUACAAACUAUACUAAUCCAAAACAUCCAUGGGCCUAGAAACAAAUCCAAAACCUCGGCCUUGGUUAUAGUAAAACAGAAGCAAUAAAACAAAAUAAAGUGUGGCUGCUGGGAUUCGAGCCCAGGUCUCCACGGCCACAACGUGGAAUUCUCACCACUAAACUACAGCCACUUUUGUUUACUUGGUUCUUCUAUUAAUCAUGCCAGGUGAGCGAACCAUACAAUUAAAAGCCUCUGAAAAAGAAAUCAAAACGCAGUGUUUUGGGGGUCAAGGUUCUUCUUUCUCUGUGUGCGACUCCACAAAAAAUCUUUAGCCUUCUGCCAUGACUAGUAGCAGAGAAAGCUUCACGCUUCUUAUUAGAUUCUGAUUCUCUUUCACAAACCCUAAUCGAAUUUCUCGAAAUCUGGAUUCAAACCGUCUCUUCUCCUUCCUCCCCUAUCCAAACGAAGCUGAAAGCUUUCGUCGACUCUCUAAACAGAGAACAAACACUUCAAUAGGUUCAUUUUUUUUUUAAUUUACAUUUUAUAUUCCCUUUUUUUUUGGAAGCUGUUGUAGCAUAGAGGAACUGUUGCUGGGGUUGUGUAUGUGAUGUGUGUCAAUCUUAAUCCUGUUAAUUGCAAUGUUUUAAUCGGAUUUGCGUUUGGAUUAUUAUUAUUAUUACUAUUGGUGGUUAGAGAUUGACCAAUUCAAAUUUAGGGUUUUGUUUUAAUGUUGCAGAUACAAUAAUGUGUUAUAGGUUUGGAGUUUCUUAAUCUUGGACACUGGUGCCAGAAUCAUCCUUUUGAAUCGACAAAGAUAGCAUUUUUAAACAUCAGUAGUUCAAUACAAUGAUGUUGUAGAUAGAUUAUCAACCAUACUCGUACAAGGAUGAUAUUAAAAAGGAACUAACUUGGUUAAGGAUGUUUAAGUAUGCUUAAAGCUUAGAGAUGCAUAGCGUCAUCUGUAGUUUUCAAGAGAGUGGAAGUAAUAGAAAAUCGCUAAGGAUCGUGUUCUUCUCUUAUUGGCUGGAAGUAUUAAUCUUCUUAAUCUUUUUUUUUUCUGUCUUUUCAUGUUUUUCUUUUGCGUUGACAGGGUCUAAUGGCUCUUAGGAAAAAUACUCCGAAAGCUGAUUCGGUCUCUCUCCCUAUGAAGCCUUUGAAUUUUUCCAGAAAGUUGCCAGGGAAUGACCCAGAUAUUGCUCAAGAUGUUGUGCGGACUGACAUUGAUUUGGACCAGCGGGAAGUUUACUUUUUGAUGCUCCACUUACUGUCCUCUGGGCCUUGCCAAAGAACCUAUGCACUGUUGCGACAUGAACUUCUUGAACACGAGCUUCUUCCUAGAAGAUAUCAUGCUUGGUACUCGAGGAGUGGAUUGCCUAGCGGGGAUGAGAAUGAUGAUGGAAACUCCUUUCCUUUAAACUAUGCUGAGUUGGCUAAGAGGUAACUACUUGAGCUGCUCUCACUGAUUGUUUUUUAUAUGAAUUUUUAUGUGAAGAAGUUAAUUGUUGGACUGGAUUAAAGUUUAUUCCCACCAGAGAUUUUUUAACGGUUCAUGGCAUUAUAUGUGCACUUUCAGGUAUUCUCACGUAAAAAGAGAUCACUUGGUGGAGCUUCUGAAGCAGUUGGUCUUUGUUUCAAGUAGGCGUACACCCUCACGAGGGCUUGGUGAUGGAAAUAAACUAGUUACAGCUGGUGUCCCAACGCUUUUAGGGACUGGAUCGUUCUCCCUUUUGAGCUGUAGGUGAUUGCUAAAAAAAAUUUUUUCUUAUUGGCGAGUUUAGUUUUGUCUUUUUGCUCACGAUGGGCACACACCACACAUUUAUAUUAGACACAAGCUAUAAUAAACCAAUUUCUCUUAGAAGUUACUUAGGACUUUAUUUUGUAUUUGCUAAGUUUUUUUUCAAAAGCUUGGCUCGCUAAAGCUGCCUUGUUUGGUUUUGCAGACGACAAGGACAUAGUUGGAAGUGAUCUCAAACCACCACCUAUAGGGAUGCGUUGGCCUCAUAUGCAUGCUGAUCAGGUGCGUGGUUUAAGUUUGAGAGAAAUUGGUGGUGGUUUUGCCAGACAUCAUCGAGCCCCAUCAAUUCGUGCAGCAUGCUAUGUCAUUGUAAAACCAUCUACAAUGGUACAAAAGAUGCAGAACAUCAAGAGGCUACGUGGGCACAGAAAUGCUGUGUACUGUGGUAAGUUAUUUACUUGUUCUGGGGUGAAUCUUAAUAUUAUGUUUCGUUUUUAAAUAAUUUAAUAAUCAUUUGGAUGAUCUGCAUACCUAUAUCAAUAUGCUGCAGCUAUACUUGACCGCUCAGGAAGGUAUGUAAUCACUGGUUCAGAUGAUCGCCUUGUAAAAGUAUGGUCAAUGGAAACUGCAUACUGCCUGGCCAGCUGUCGAGGGCAUGAAGUGAGUUCCAAGUACUCUAUAAGAAUAUUAUAAUCCUGUUACUGUAUUCUUAAGUGGUGCUUAUAAUACGUGUGUUUUGGUGCAUAUGAAAGGGUGACAUAACUGAUCUUGCUGUGAAUUCGAACAACACUUUCAUAGCAUCCGCUUCAAAUGAUUGUGUGAUCCGUGUUGUAAGUUUCUUGUAUCUCCUAUGUUUAUGUUUCCACUAUGCCAUACAUUACCCUCCUUGAUGAGUUCACUCAUCUGGAUUUUUCUAGUGGAGAUUGCCAGAUGGGUUACCAGUUUCGGUACUUCGUGGACAUAUUGGAGCUAUUACUGCUAUUGCAUUUAGUCCCAGACCUGGAUCCCCGUACCAACUUCUUUCGUAAGGAUUUUUCUCAAGUUGUACCUUUUGCCAUCAUGUGUACGCUAUCUGGGGCGUUAUUUUUGCUCGUUCUUUCGAAGAAUAUUUGAGAAUUAUUAUGUUUCGUUAGUUGUUUUCAUUGGUUGACACCAUGCUAUUAAUUAUGUGGAUUUUCAGUUUAUUGCCUAUGUAGUAUGGCUUUAGAAUUUUUGAUUUAAUUAACCUUUUGGUCACAAAGCUGGAAAGUUAAAUGUACUCCGAUUCAUUCUCUUCUUUAGAUGGAAUUUACGAUGUUGACUUUUUAUUGUGCUGUGAAAUCUAUCUCUACUAUGUCAUGACUCAUGUUUUUGUUUUGUAUUGAGAUUUUAUUUGCUUAUCUGGAUACUGUUUUAUUCUAUUAUCUUUAUAAGCCGUUUGAUCCCUUAAAUAUCUGCAGAUCGUCGGAUGAUGGUACAUGCAGGAUAUGGGAUGCUCGGGGUGCCCAAUUUGCUCCGCGGAUAUAUAUCCCUAGGCCUCCUAGUCCUGAUGGUGAUUGCUCUACGUUCUUAGUUAUUUGCUUUUUGCUUUGAUCUACUGGAAGCUGUAGGACUGACUAUGGAAACCUAUUCCAGGGAAGAACAAUGGCCCUUCUUCUAGUGACGCUCAGCAGAGUCACCAAAUUUUUUCCUGCGCAUUCAAUGCCAGUGGAUCUGUCUUUGUCACUGGUAGCUCUGACACUCUUGCCAGAGUAUACUCGGUACUGAUAAAUGUCCAAUCCACACUUUCUGACAAAAUUUAUAGGGUUCACUUAAUUACAAAAGGUGUUUCCUUGGUCAUAGGUUUGGAGUGCUAGUAGGAUCAGUAAUGAUGACCCAGAGCAGCCAAAUCAUGAGAUGGAUGUUUUGGCUGGACAUGAGAAUGAUGUUAAUUAUGUUCAGUUCAGGUGAACCAUUCACUUUUGAAAUUACAUUUCUUAUGAGAUCCUAAAUAUCUUAUCUUAGCCCUUUGUUGUGGUGCUUCCCAGUGGUUGUGCUGCAGGAUCUAAAUUUGCCGACUACUCAAAAGACGAUAGUGUUCCAAAAUUUAAGAGCUCCUGGUGUGUAAUGACAGCUGCAGUUAGAUAAUUUUGCAAUUACUGUUAAUAUUCACCUUUUCCAAUGUUCUAUUUUGUGUGUUGACAUUCAAUGACACAUCUAUUUUCUAGGUUCUGUCAUGAUAACAUAGUUACAUGCUCUCGUGAUGGUAGUGCAAUCAUUUGGAUCCCAAGAUCUCGGAGAUCACAUGUAAUAUUCACCGAUUUCACCUAAUUCAAUUCAUUUUCAUCAGAGCAGAAACUCAGAUCUUUAUUUAUGUUUUCCAGGGAAAAAGCUGCCGAUGGACACGAGCAUAUCAUCUCAAGGUUCCACCUCCGCCCAUGCCUCCUCAACCCCCUAGAGGUGGGCCACGUCAAAGGAUCCUGCCUACUCCCCGUGGGGUUAACAUGAUUGCUUGGAGUCUGGAUAAUCGUUUUGUUCUUGCCGCUAUCAUGGGUAACACUUUCUUGACACGCUUGAUGGCUUAGAGUUUAUCCAGGACGACUUUAUAGCGCUCAACUCUUGCUAACUAGAAUCACUUUCUAUGUUAAAGAUUGUAGAAUAUGCGUGUGGAAUGCCUCUGAUGGUAGCUUGGUACAUUCUUUAACUGGCCAUACAGCAUCUGUGAGUGCUUGAUCCCUUUUAUAUUUCUCUUCAUUCAUGGAUUUGGUUGACUACCUUAAGGGAGUUUCCGGAAUUGCUAAAACUGUUGACCUCUGUACUACAAAGCAAGAAAAAGGAAAAAAAAUUCGCUGAUCAUGCCUAUAAAAUUAAUCACAAAAAUCAUUCUUCUUCUAAGCAGACUAUGUAUUAUUUCACCAUAAGAUAAUUUUUUUUUUUUUAUGUUUUUAUGAAAACACUCCUAACUAUGCCUAAUGCCAUUUAUGCCUCGUUAUAUUUUUUUGCUGGUUCCUGUUUUAGUUUUCGAGGCAUGAUUUCCUCUUAGUACCUUGUAUUACUGUUAUUGACAUGAUGUACUUAUUGUUUGUAGACAUAUGUUAUGGACGUCCAUCCUUUCAAUCCUCGGAUAGCUAUGAGUGCUGGCUAUGAUGGAAAAACAAUAGUGUGGGAUGUAAGUUUUACUUUCUGCAUUGUCUAAGUGUGGUAUGUAAGUUUUACGGAAAACAAUAUUGCUGCGCGUCUUCUUCUUUUUUUUUUUUUUUUUUUUUUUUUUUUUUUUUGCGCGUCUUCUUCUUAUCUACCAAAACCUUUUGUUCUCUUCUUCUAGAUAUGGGAAGGAAAACCUAUCCACACAUACGAUAUUUCACACUUCAAGUUGGUCGAUGGGAAGUUUUCACCGUAAGCAAAUAGUACCUUUUCCGUACUCGUUAUGCUCCUAGUACUUCUGAUUGCUAAUCUUUAUCUUCAUAAUGUAGAGAUGGAACGUCAAUAAUACUUUCAGAUGAUGUAGGGCAACUGUACGUAUUAAGCACAGGCCAAGGGGAUUCUCAAAAGGACGCUAAAUAUGAUCAGGUACUAUAUAACUUCAGUUGCAGAGAAAGCUUCAUUAAUGUACUUCUACUAACUACAUUUUUGAUAGAUAUACUAGAUAGGAUUUUAUCAGGAUUAAGUUUGUUGGUGCUUUGAGAGACCGACAUAUCUCCUGAUUCUCUUGCUCAGAGAGAUCAGAAAUAACCUUUUCGAUAUAAACAUUCAAUAAUCCUUAAUACACGCUAAAGAUCUCUUCAUAAGAAAAGCCUAGAUAAUACUGUAGGAAUAUAUCUCUGAACAUCUAUAGAUUCAUACUAAAUAUUAUAGAGAUAUCUUAAUUCUAGCUGCUCCACUUUAACUCCGCUAAACAAGUCGGCAUUUACCUGUCUAAUGCUAAAAUGAAUUUUCCUUGUAAUUUCUCUGUGCAUUUUGCAGUUUUUCCUGGGGGAUUACCGGCCAUUAAUUCAGGACAUAUAUGGGAAUGUCCUUGACCAGGUAAAUAGUUCAUCUUUUUACCCUUCUUGUGAUUCUGCUUCAUAACCAUUUAUGUAAUUCUGCUCGUUAGUGUACUCACUAAUUGGCAUUUGGAACUUUGAUUCAGGAAUCUCAGCUUCCACCUUAUCGCCGAAAUAUGGAGGACCCUCUUUGUGAUUCAGGUUUUACCUUCUUUUACUAUGAUCAAAAGUUCUUUGUGGAUCCUUCUACUCAGGAUGGGCAUAUUAUUCACUCUUAUCUUUCUGAAUUCUAGCGAUGAUUCCAUAUGAAGAGCCAUAUCAGACCAUGUUUCAGAAACGGCGACUUGGCGCCUUAGGCAAAGAAUGGCGACCAUCUUCUUUAAAGCUUGCUAUAGGGCCAGAUAUCACUUUAGAUCAAGAUUACCAAAUGCCACCUUUGGCAGAUCUAGACUUAGCUGAGCCGAUGCCAGAAUUUGUAGAUGUGAUGGAGUGGGAACCAGAAAUCGAUAUCUUAAGCGAUGGAAAUGACUCCGAAUACAAUGUGCCAGAAGAGGAUUCGUCUGGAAAAGAGCAAGAAUGUUUAAAUUCUUUAACUUCUAGCGAGUCAGGUUCCAGUUCUAGUGAAGGCGAUGAGGAUGGUGGUCAUCAGAAUAGCCGUAGAAGAUCCAAAAGGAGAAAACAUAAAACAGGAGUAAGUUUUGUAAUAUUGCUUUGAUCUUUUGUGCCUAAAGAUGCUACUUAUCUCUUUUUACCUCUUUACCAGGCUGAGAUCAUGACUUCUUCGGGUAGGCGUUUUAGAAAGAGAAACUUUGAUGAGCUUGAAGGUGCUACAAACAAGAACAAACGUACCAGGAAAUCUAGGAGUGGUCGUAAAAAAUCCAAAAGGAAAUCUUCAAAAUCUAAAUCGUCCAGACCUAGGCGAGCGGCUGCACAAAAUGCACUCUCUUGGUUUUCUAAGAUUACAGGUACAUCUAAAGAUGCAGAAGAGGAAGAAGAUAUCUCUGAAUUGAGUGAGUCAUCAGAAAGUGAAUCGACAACAGAGGAUUCAGGCACUGGGGAUAGUGAACUUGAUGUCGCUUUGGUAAAUGGGCAUGACAAGCAAUCAAAGGGGAAAGAUAUUCUCGUAUGUGAUUCAGACAAUGGGGCUCAACAGUGUGAUGUUAGCGAAACUCAACCUGCUGAACGAAGGAGAUUGGUUGUUAGGUUUCCUGUUAAGAGUUCAGAUAAGCUUUCCUUGCUGGAGAACCUACCUGGAACAUCUUCCUAUGCUCCAACUCCAACUUUAGGGAAUGGCUGUGCUGAAGACUCAAGGGUUUCUGGGAACUUUGAAGUUUCCACAAAUCACUUAGAUGCAAGCAAAGUAAAAUGGGGAAUGGUUAAGGCUCGUACAUCAAAGCGAAUGAGAACUGAAUCAAUGUCAUCGCAUGGACUUAUGGGCUCUGAGCCAGAUGGAGAAGAAAAUAAUCUUAGCAAAGAGGCAGAUCACCAUGAUAAUGGUGUUACAGCACCUAAUUGUUUGGAAUUAAGAACAGAUAUCGAUGGAAUUGCAGUUGACACUGACACGGUGAUUUCUAAUGGUUUGCCAAAUGGUGAAGAACGAUGCCUAAGAGUGGAUGGGUCGCCAAGUCGAGUGGCUGAUGAGGGUGCCUCUAACUGUUCUCAGGAUGUAACAGGUCGCUUGCAUGAUCUAAAAGAUAGCCUUCCACCUAUCUCUAGGACGUUGAGGAUACGCUCCAAGAGGGUUUCAAGGGCUCCUGAUACAUCUUUGAAGCAAGAAGUAAAAUCUUCAUCUAUAAAUCAAGAGAAUGGUGGCUCUGACGCGUUAAAUGAUGGUUCUGCAAACACUAAAUUGGAUUUGGCAUUGGACAACCAAAAGGAUGGUUUGGUUGGAACAGAGCUACCUCUGACAAAUGAUUGUGUGCAUGAAUCAAAACCGCUGACCAGUGACCCUGUCUCAGUUGAUGUUCCUGUGUCACAUCCUAAACGGAUGUUUGAUUAUGUCUAUAGACGAAAGAAGUCACGAAAGCAGGAGAAUAACUCAGACCGGGGUGCUACUCUGACUCAAGAAACAAGUCCAGGUUCGUGUAGUCAGGAUCAAAGUAGUGGUGCUAAUACCCACGAAGGUGUCCCUAAUGGGCUCCAUGAGACCGAGUCAAAUGGUUUGGAGAAGCCGGAAAGCAGUUUGACACACAUCCGAGAUAAACUAAGUGAUUCACAUGGAAACCAAAACUCUCAAGAAGAAUGUAUAUCAACUUCUGGGGCAACACUUCGGUCGAGAUCCACAAGGAAUAGAAAGUCUACUUAUCCUUUUAGUGAAAGUAAACCUGUUGAGACAAAGAAGCUUCAGCAGUCGAUAGAAAAGGUAUCUUGGUUAACAUUAUCGACACAUGAAGAGGGUUCUCGUUAUAUCCCACAAAAGGGAGAUGAGGUUGCUUAUUUGCGACAGGUAAUCUUAUCUGUUAGUCUCGUUUAAUCAACCUCUGGUAUCAAUUUUUUAACCUGUGGCUGUUACUCGUACCUUUCAGGGGCAUCAAGAAUACUUGAACUUCAGCUCCCUGAGGGAAGUGGCUCCUUGGACUUCAAUAAAGGCAGGAAAUAUAAAGGCGGUGGAGAUUUGUAAAGUGGAAAGUCUCGAAUACGCAACACUACCUGGUUCUGGGGAUAGCUGCUGCAAAAUGAUACUUAAAGUCAUCGACCCCAACUCCGAAGUAUUCGACAAAACUUUCAAGCUGACAUUGCCUGAGGUGGUGAGCUUUCCAGAUUUUCUCGUGGAAAGGAGUCGGUAUGAAGCAGCGAUACAGAGGAACUGGACUUUCAGGGAUAAGUGUAAGGUUUGGUGGAGAGACGAAGGCGAAGAAGAUGGUAAUUGGUGGGAAGGACGGAUUCUAGCUGUGAAGGCCAAGUCACCUGAUUUUCCUGAUAGUCCGUGGGAGAGGUACACAGUUAGAUACAAGAAUGAUCCGACUGAGACGCAUCUUCACAGUCCGUGGGAGCUUUUUGAUGCUGAUACCAAGUGGGAGCAGCCUCACAUGGAUGAUGAGAAACGAAACCGUCUGCUCUUGGCCUUAACAAAGUUGGAGACUUCUGAUAAAAGAACCAAGGUUUGUUCUUCUAAUCAAUUUUAAUAUCUCUUGCCUCUUGGUAUUCAAGGAAUUGGUAGGCGGUGGUUAGGCAUCUUAUAGAAGAUUAUUGUCUAGGCGGACACUUAGAUCGAUUUUUGAAUGUCUAGAAUGAUUUUAUAAAAAAUCGUUUCGUUCUGAUUUGCCAACUAGGUGGACACUGGUUUUUAGAACACUGGUUGAGACUAUCCUAGCCUCUAAGCAUAGGCAUGUUUACGUUAGUUAGGAGGUUAUAGUUAGUCCACUCUAAGUAGAUUAAGAGGCAAGAACAUAGCAAUAUGACAUAAACUUUACUUAAUCGUUUCAGGAUUCUUAUGGCCUGCAAAAACUGAAGCAGACCGUGGGAAGUUCGAGCUACACCAACAGGUAAAGUUUCUUCAACACUGGAAGAAGAGGAUUAUAAUAGCGAUGAAGCUCACACGGUUUUGUUAUAUGGAUUCAUGUGCAGGUUCCCAGUUCCUUUGUCGAUUGAAGUAAUCAGAUCAAGGCUUGAGAACAACUAUUACCGGAGUGUGGAAGCAUUAAGACACGACGUAGAAGUUAUGUUGUCCAAUGCGGAAACUUUCUUUGGUCGAAAUAAAAGCGUAGCAGCCAAAAUCUCGCGUCUCUCUAAAUGGUUCGACCGCACGCUACCUUCUUUGUAGCAUAUCUUAUUUCAUAGUAUGUAGAUAAAGUAUUAAUUUCCGCUCGUACCUCAUAGUUCUAAUGAAUGAAAGAUAAUUUUAGGAUUUUUUUCGUUUUAGAGAUUUUUAGGUUUAGGGUUAGUUUUGGAGAGAAUUGUUUUCAUUGCAAGCAAAGAUAGAUUUGGAGAGAGUCAACAACAUUUAAUGCUUUGUAAAACAGAGAACCAUCUUACCUUGAAUAAUCCAACCAAGUUUCAGUAUGAUUUUCUUUUCUGCUUAAUAGUACGAAAAUGUGAACAAAAAUUGGACACUACAUGCAGCAAAAGGACACAGAAAAGUUAUAUGUAAAUUUUGUCUAUUAUCUACUCCUAAUAGAUGAUGGAUAAAAAAGAUAAUACUGCACAAAAGUUGGUGGAAUAUUGAGUAAAAACUUUAUAAAAUGUCUUUAACUGUGAUUUUAUUAAUUUAAACCUAUCUUUCGGCCAAAAUAUUAUUAACGAGGUUCAAAAAAGAAAUAUGUAACGUUUUUAUCAGUGUAACUUUAUAGAUGGAAAUAUCAUCAAAUAACCGUAUUUUAAGCAUUUUUCGCAUAAAUAUGUUUUAGUAGAGAUCAUGCUUUUUUUAUAAAUAUAGAGAUCAUGCUUUUAGUAUGUAAUAACUGAGUGAGCAUGAACAACAAAUAUUCGAAAAUUAUGUUUUAAUGUGGUAAUUACCUUACGAGUGCAACAUCUAUAUUCAUCAGUUCAUCAACUUUUAAGUCACUACCAUACGAGACAAUAUUCUUAUCGACCUAUACUAGAAAUCAGCAAAUUACCAUGUCUCCGUCAUGGACACGUUUGGCAAUCACUUGUAUCAUUUUUGUUUCCCUUUUUUAUCAGCACCAAUGUAAGCAUAUAGACAUAUAUAUAUAUUAUAUAGCAAUAAUAUGAUCAUCAUCGUUAUUGUGAUCAUUAACAUCAUAUAUUCAUUACCUUUUCUGAAUAAUCUAAUUAGCUUUUUAUCUUUGUAGGUGAAAAUGUGGAUGGUUAUGAGCAGAACAAGCUAUUUAUACCACCGUGCAUUGGUUUACAUCGCCAUCACAUUUCCUUUAGACCCGAUAGUUAUUGCUGCGACGGAAAGAAUAAGUUCUGUUCACCGAUUAAAGAAGAAUGUUGGCGUCAAUGUGCGAUCCUUAAUCCGCGACCUUCUUCUUCUAAGAAUUAACAAUCUCUUCAAGUGUGUUUCAUAUACAUGAAUUUCUUGUAACUUUCUAUUUGAUUUUCUCUCUCAAAUUAUCAUAUAUUAUAAUAUAACACGAGUAUGUGACUCCAAAAAUUUAAUGUAAGAAAGUGACAAUAAAAGUGUUCACAAUUGCUGGAUUUUUUUGGAUUUAAUUAGUGAGAGAUUUUUAGGUUUAGCUUAGGUUAGUUGGAGAGAAGAUAUUUCAUUACAAGGAGAGGGAGAUAGAUUGGAGAGGUCAGCAACAUUUGAUGCUUUGUAAAACAGAGAACCAUCUUCCGUUGAAUGAUCCAACCAAAUUUCAGUCUGAUUUUAUUUUCUGCUUAGUACGGAAAAUUUGGGGAAAAUUGUUUGAAAAUAGUCUAUAAAACUGUUUGAUCCACAGCAGUUUGUAUAUUGUCUUUGCCGUAUUCAAGAGUUUAUCUUCAAACCCUAGAGCUUAUCCGCAAACCCUUAUUCUCUUCUCUUAUAUAAUAAUUUAUUAAUUUUAGAAACCAAGUAUGAAAUAUUAGCUUCUCUUUUUUUUUUACUACAAUAGUUUUCUAUUGAUCUCCUCUUCGCGGCUUUAACUUGUCUAGUUGUCGGUUAUUUCUUGUCUUAAGUUAUCCAUAACUCUCUUCUCCUCUCUCACGCUGUAUCAUUUCUUAACAUCAUAUGAUCGCAUCAAAUAUUUAUUUUCUACGUUUAAGUUCUAUGAUGGCUGACAUUGGAGGGAAAAACACCUCAAAGAGAAGCAUCACAAGUAAAUCUGAAGGAGGAGUAGUAUUAAGACAUUAAUGCUUUUUUUGCAUUGGUGUUACUUCUUUGUUAACACUUCCCAGUUGCAAGAUCUUAAUUACUUUUUUUUAGUUGUUUUUAGUUUUGAACAUAAAGUCCUACACUUUACAUGUUUCUAACAAUUCACAUGGCAUCAUCAAACAAUACAAGUCCUAGAUAAAAAUCUACACUAAAACGAUAUUCCAAGCAAUAUGAACGUAAAGUUUAAGUAACUCUUUGAUAAAUCAUGCACAUACGAUACGACAACCACAUGGUGCUAGCUUUCCAUUGCUAGAGCUGUAAACUGGGCGAGCCCAUGUCCAUUAGCCCAUAUCCAUUUGUCCAUUCAUUGUUUGUGGACAGCAAAGUGACCAUGUCCAUUAAGAACCAUGUCCAUUAAAGACCAUACCCACUAACACCCAUAUUUUUAUGGGCUGGCAUGGGAUCCAUAAUGACCAUAUAAGAAAAUUUUAAAUUUUAAUUUAUAAACCUACAAUUAUAUAUAAAAGUUCAUAAAAUUAAAAUUCAUCCAUAAAUUCAAAAGUACAACAAUACAUAAUUUCAUAAAUACAACAAUUACGGUUUUGGCGGGAAAAAUUGAUUUUGCGGUUUUAGCGGAAAAACUUGAUUUUACGGUUUUGAUGGAAAAACUCGAUUUUGCAGUUUUGACGGAAAAACUCGAUUUUGCAGUUUUGGCGGAAAACUCGAUUUUCUGAUUUUGGCAGAGAAACUCGAUUUCGGUUUUGCCAUGGGGUCUAUAAUGACCAUAUAAGAAAAUUUUAAUUUAUAAGCCUACAAUUACAUAUACAAGUUCAUAAAAUUAAAAUUUAUCCAUAAAUUCAUAAGUACAAUAAUACAUAAGUUCAUAAGUACAACAAUUUCGGUUUUGGUGAGAAAAAUUGAUUUUGCGGUUUUGGCAGGAAAACUCGAUUUUCUGGUUUUGGCGGGAAAAUUCGAUUUUGCGUUUUGCAGAAAAAUUCAAUUUUGCGGUUCUGGCGGAAAAACUCGAUUUUCUGGUUCUGACGGGAAAAUUUGAUAUUAAAAUUUAGCAAAAAAAUCGAUUUUAUGAGUUUAGCGGAAAAACUUAAAUUUUAGAAAUCUUAGGUUUUGUGACCACUGGACAGUCCACGUCCAUAAAGCCCAAAACCAUUAAAUACCAUUUUUUUAAUGGUUUUCCACAUUUUGUCCAAUAAAACCAAUGGGAAAAAUGGGUUUGUCCAUAUUAAGCCCAUUUGUAUAUGGACAUGGGCAACCAUUGGACGGCCCACCCAUUUGACACCUCUAUCCAUUGCCAUGGCGUUUUGUGAGACUCAAGCCCUUAAUCCCCAUGGAUCGUUACUAAACCAAGCUAUCUAAUAAAUGAUGGGUAAGAAAUAUAAUACUACACAAAAAGUUGAUCAAAUAUUGAGUAAGAACUUUAUAAAUUAAUGUCAACUAUGAUUAUUAUAAAUAAUUUGUAUGUAACUUUUUUAUCACAAUGUCAUCAGUUAACCGUAUUUUAAAUGCGACUUUUUCGCAUAAAUUUGUUUUAGUAGAGAUCAUGCUUUUAGUAUGGAUAACUGAAUAUGAGCGUGAAAUAAAAAUACACAAAAAUAUGAAUCAGUUCUUCAAGUCUUAAGUCACUAACAUACAUAUAUAUAUAUAUCUUCAUCAACACAUUUUGCAAUCCCUUGUAUCAUUUUUGUUUCCCAUUUUGGUCUACACAAAUGUAAACAUACACUGAUACACACGCAUACUGUUGACCGUUAAUAUUUUCAUAGCAAUAAUAUGAUCAUCAUUAUUGUAACCAUCAUCAUUAUAUCCUUCAUAACUUUUUCUGAAUAGUAUGAUUAACUAAAUAACUUUACAUUUUUUAGGUGAAAAUGUAAAUAACUUCAUCUUUUGCAUUGCUUCAAAAUUGUAGUCUUCCUCUGUUUUUAUCUUUUUUUGGCUUAGGAAGGCUGGCCUGCUUAAACUUUUUGUAUCAACAAACUCUCUCAUUUUCUAAUGAAAUUCACAUAGCAAAAAAAAAAAAGAUAUUUCUACCACCGUGCAUUGGAUUACAUUUCCGUAUUAGCUUUCACCAAGUUGUUAUUGCUGGGUCGGUAAAAAUAAGUUCUUACAAAGAAGAAUGUUGGCAUCAAUAUACGAUCCUUAAUCCUCCACAUUCUUCAAAGAAUUAACAAACUCUCUUCACGUGUAUUUCAUAUGCAUGAGUUUGUUGUAAAUUUUUAUUUGAUUUUCUUUUUCUCAAAUUAUCAUACUAAAGUAUAGCACGGGUAUGUGACUCCACAAACUUAAGUGACAAUAAAAGUGUAUAAGCGUAAUCAUCGAGAGAAACUUGUCAAGAAAGACAUUUUAGUUACAUUAAAGUAAGAAGCGAAGAUUCAAGAAACAAAUUCUUAAACCAAACACUGACUAGUCAUGGAAGUUUAGGGUGGCCGGAAGAUUUUCCGGUGAGAUUUUCCGGGGGCUUAGAGAAUUUAGAAGGGUUGUGUUUAGUGAACCAAGUAGUGUACAGAAACUGCUUGUGAGGACCAACAUGGUUACAUAUUAGCUUCAGCUUCUGUCUUUCUCUCAUCCACCUUAGUAUUAUCUUCAUGUGCCUCUUGCUCGUUAACCCUCUUAAUCCCACUUCCUGUUCAAAUAAUGAUCAGAUGAAAGCUAACUCUGUAAUGAAUAUAAUUAAUGUUACUUGGAAGCAAAACAGCAACUACUCCAGUUCUUGACCUAAUAAUUUCUCCAAAGAAAACAUCUUGUGAUUUAAAAAGAGUAUACCUUGACACGAUCCCAAGUUUCAGCGAUGGUGAGAGGUCCAUGUUCCUUCAAAACAUCAAAGAUCACUCGGGUGAUCGUCUGGGUUUGCUCCGGUGGUGUGUUCAGCUCGAUGGGUUUCAUCUUAGGUUUAGGUUUCGUCGCGAAUUGCCUUAUCAACAAUCCAACUACAUUUUGAUUGCUUAUGUUCCAAGGCACCACGUUCCGCAACAUGCUCAGAUACUUUGCAGCUAUAAAAACAAGAACACUUGUUAACUCAAAUCACUAUCACGACAGAUUCAUGUUAACACAAAAUCGAAACCUUUAAUUUAUUUUUCCUGAGAAUAACAGAAAUGAAGAAACAAACCGGUUAUUUAUCAAAUUUUUGAAGUUGUGAGUCUCGGCUAGACAUUUGAUCGAACAGGUUAUGUGCGUUACGAGCUUUGUAAUGUAUACAAGGCCACAAGGAUUACAAAAAUUAGAGAGCGAAAACUCACACGAUGGAGAGAAAGUGGAAGCCGAAGCAGCCGAGUUUCUAGAGACUGAGACUUGGGAGAGAGCUUGGACUCUCUGUAAUAGCCAAGCAAACGUUACUACUAACAACGUAAUGCAAUUACAUACGUAAUGUAAGAAGCAUCAUUUACGUAUAUUUAUAAAAGAGCCCCUCUUGUUACUCAUAAUUUACAAUGUUCACCCAAAUUUGGAUCUGUUACCAAAAAUCCCUGAUCGAUCUCUGGAGUUAACAUGAAUCGUGAUUGAUACAUUUACACAGUAGCCCCUGACUUUACUCAAAAUUUCAAACUUUCACUCAAAUUUGUAACUUCCACAAAAAGAGCCCCUUAUCGAUCUCUAGAGUUAACAUUAAUCAUGAUCGAUACAUUUACGGUGGAAAUUUACACAAUAGCCCCUGACUUUACUCUAAAUUUCAGACUUUCACUCAAAAUUUGUAACUUUCACAAAAUAGUCCAGUUGACAUGAUUAAUAAUUUUAUGGUGGAACUUUUCUUGUGGGGUUUACAACUUUCUCUAAAGAGCUAUUGAAACUAAAAGAGAUUCUCAAAUCCAUGAGUGUGUGAUACAACACAAAGCCAUGAACGGCUGAGAAAUGAAAAGCAGUGUGAGUUACUUCAUGUAGCUCACUCAAUUCAACGACGUUUGCUGUGCCUCUUGCUCUUCUUCUUUCUACUGCUUCUUCUGUCAUCAUCCGACUCCGAGUCAGAACCUGAUUCUGAAUCAGAUGACUCCUCCUCAGAUGAAGAAGAACAAGAGCUGUAUCUUCUCCUUCUCCUCCUUUCCUUCCUCUGCUUUGGCUUCUUCUUCUUGCUCGUCCUCUUACUCCUCCUCCUCCUCCUCUCCUCCUCUGACUCAGACGACGAACUGUACUCCGAAUCACUCUCCCCAGACGACUCAGACCCAUCACUACUUUCAAACACAGAUGCUUCACUAUCACUACCAGAAUCAGACUUCGACCUCUGCUUCCUCUUAGCCCUCCUCUCACCUUCUCCUUUCCCAUUCGCUACCUCUAUCUUCCCAUCAUCGCCACCACCAUCAAGAUCAUCAACAGAAGGCUUCGUCCUCAGUUUAGGAUUCUUAAGCUGCUGAGUCCUCGACGGUCUCGACACAUAAACCCUCUCGUUCUUACACUCAUAAGUCCAGUGCCCCGUCUGAAAACACUUCUGACACUGAGAACCGCCUCCUCCAACAACAGCAGAAGCUGACACAGACUUGUUGUCUUUCCUCUCCCCAAGCCUAACGGCUUUCUCGGUACUCAUCAAGUACAUCUGCCUCUUGGCUUCCCGUUUCUCCUGCCAUCGGCUAGGACCUUCUUCCUUUUGCCCGUAAGCGUUGACGUUACGAGCAGCUGCGGUUGCUGCUCGCUCGGCUUGAGUACGGCUAAGACCUUUGGCGGCGGUGAGUGCAGCGGCUUUGAUUCUGUCGGCUGCAACCUGUGAUUUCUCCUCCUUUGCAUCGGACAUGAUUAUUGAAUCCUCUGCAAUCAAAUUCAAACACAAAGUGAAUUUAGUAUAAUCCUUAAGCAGGAGGAGCCUUUCAAAAUUAGGGUUUCUACUUCCAUGUAAGUAAACUGGGUUUUGAUUAUCUAGAACAUAUGAAUAAACUUGGAUUCGUGAAUUCUACUAAGACUUAACGAUAAUAGAGCGGGAGACAAUUAGGUUAAUCGAUCUAUUAGUUUCAAAUUCAAGAUCUACACAAGCCUUAAUUUGGAAAAGAAUAAGAAGGAGAACUUACAAUUAGAAACGGGAGGACGAGGAGGAAGAUCGAAGCAGCUUUUGCUUGGGAGAGAUUAAUGAAGAGGAUGAGCGAUUUUGAGAGGCGCGAGAGUAAAAAGGCGACGGCGCUCUCAAAGGCUCAAAGCAGAGGGAGGAAGACGAAGAAACAGACUUAAGUAUUGGGCCCAAAUACUCUUUUCUAUUUUUCAAAAACUUAAAAAUAGAAAACAGAAUAAUAGUCUAAUUUAUAAAUUCUGAAUUGUUUUUAGAAGAAGAUAUUAUUAUUAAUUUAUGUCUUGAUUAAAUCAUUUAUUCUAACAAAUCUAUUUUCUUUUUAUGAAGUUGUAUAUUUUAAAUUUCAAUUUAAGACUUAAUUUUCAGUAAAAACAUGCUUGAUCAUGUAUUUUGAGGUAAAUGAAAAAAAGACAAUUGUUAAUAAUAGCACAUUUUAAAGUUUAUGUCUCAAAAAUGGCAUUAGAAGAAGAAAGUCACAAAAAUGAUAUUCAUUAAAGGGUAAAAUAUCCCUAAUACCAUUGGUUUAAAUUAAAUAAACAAACAAAAAUAAAUAAAAAUAAAUAAAAUAAAAAAAAGAAAUUUUUUUUUAUAGUUUUCAGAUUAUAUGAUUUUAGAUUCGAAAUUUUUAUAAUAUCUUUUUUUCAAAAAAAAUUUCAAAAUUUUUUUUUAUUUUUUUCAAAUUUUCUUUUUAUAAUUUAAAAAUACUUUUUGAAACUGUUUUUAAAAUUUUUAUUUUUUAUUUUAGUAUUUGUUUUUUAUAAAUUUUUAAACCUUAAUUCCAAAACCUCGCCCCUUAAAUCUAAACCGUAAUGUUUUGAUUAAUUAACCAAAGAGUAUAAGUGUAUAUUUACCUCUUUAAUGAAACCUAUUUUUGUGACUUUGAAACUUGAGUGCUACUUUGGGAACAAAAACUUGGUUUUGGUUUGAUGCUAUCCUAGUCUUUUUCUCAAUGAUCGAAAAAUCCAUCACCUAACUAAAAUAGCAAAAUAGUUCACUUGUGAAGCACAGCUACAAGUAACAAAACAUCAUAUGGAUUUGCAUUUUCCAAAAAAUGCAAUUCCUAAGUCUUGCUUGUUGACACAGCAUAGAAUAAUCUUCAGAAACCAACAUAUAUCUAUAAUCUGUUGUGGGGCUAUAUACAGUUUCUCUCAUACUAUCCCUUCCUCCUCACCUAAAUCUAUUUCUCAUCAGUUUGGACUCUGCUUUUAUCUCAACUCCACAGAGAGAGAGAGAGAGAGAUACACCAAAAUCCUAUCAUUGUCGAGAAUGUUAACCAUUUACAUUUCUCUUGAUGUUUCUGAAAGUGUCAAUGCACGAUUCAUCAUCUCCUCCUAGCUUUCCUUUUUCUCAUCUACACUAUUGUUGUUGUCUUCACUGCUUCUAGCGUUCUCAGGUUCUUUAGCUUCACCGCCAUCUCUCUCUGUGGAGAUCUUGUUUCCUUCAAUUGUUGGACAGAGCUUCGGUUUUUUCUUACACUCAUCUUGCUCAUCUUCUCUGCAACGGCAUCUCUUCUCCCUUCCCUUCACUGAGUCUUCUGUCUGUUUCUGUGUUUUAUUGUCUUCAUCAUCAUCUUCGUCAUCCUCAUAAUCAAGCACGCGUUCAGACCUAUGUCAUUAAUAGAAAUCAGCACUCAAAUCCGUUAACCCUCUACUUGUUGCAUUGUGACACACCUUCUAUAGAGAGAGGGUAGAGAGAGAAAAAUACCUCAAAGGAGAAGAACUUGCAGCUUCUCCAUUGGAACUAUGGGGAUUAGCUUCUUCUUUCUGUGUACUAGAAUCAAAAGCUGACUUCUCUCCAUCGCUGUUAGUAUACAACGUAUGUGAGAAAAGGUCAAGAGAAAAACAAAACAAAAAAUCGAUUAAUGUUUUGAACACUCUAGGGGAUGCAUGCACCUGUUUCCUCUCAUGUCGACUGGAUCAGUGUUGCUCUUUGGUCCCAAACUUUCUAUGCACUGAAGACACAUUACAUUGUUAGAACAAAGACUACUGUAGGAAAAUUUCCAAAGUGGAAGUUGGAUCGAAGAAUGAUAAUACCUGCUCAUUUUUUAAAGCCUGGAUGGAGGUCCGGUGCUCAAAUGGAGCCAGCUGGUCCCAAAAUGUAUCAACUACGUAUUUGAGCAACACAGUUGCCUUUGCCUGCACACAAAAAAAACUGUGAUAUGUACGGAGGAACACCACUAAGAAACAAAUUGAGAAGAGGAUGAAAAUAGAUACCUUGCGUAUGUGCUCAAGAAGCGCCAAGAUAGAAGAAAUCAGCAAAUCGUCAUGAUUACCACCGGCAACAAAAACAUCUAUGAUCGGUUUCAGCAAGUUUUUCUUUACAACGUAACUCUGGACACUCUCAUCCUGAAGUAGAACAAUACUUUUUUUAGAACUUGCAUACCCAUCAUAGUCGUCCCAGAAGCUUUUGUAGCGCCAUUAUAGAAACUGAUUUCAUCCAGUUUUCUAUAACAUGACAUGUGAAACUGAACUACAACUUGCCAACGUAAUUUUACGAGAAUCAAAAAAUUUAAUACAAAGAAGAACAUCUGAGCCUCAGUUUUCAACUAAAACAGAUAACCAAAUUUCAUCCUGUCAGAUUCAUUUUCAUAUAAGUAUAACAAAAAAUGCUGACCGAAGACUACUUACAAGGACAGAGAGGAGAGUGCGGAAAAAUCGAACAGCCGCAGCCACUAUGGAUUUCUCCUUUCUUCGUGUGAGAAACAAAACCUUUUCUGUCGCAUUUUGAAGGAGAAAACUGCAUGUGGCAGACAAGAGAAGUAAAUGCACAUGAAUACUAGAUAGCUACUGUAGUGUAGGUAAAACAGUAAAAUGGUAAUCAUCAUAAAAAGGUUACGUUGUCCUUGAUGGAUCCUGCUGAACGCAAAAGCACAGCAAUUCACAAAUGUUCAGUAGGCUGCUAACUCUUCCGGGUGUACUUUCAGAUGUAUCGCCAGGCUUUUCAGGACAUGAGGUAGUAAUGAAAUUAACUAACUCAGGUAUAUGCUUCUCACAGAAAAUAUCCAUAAUAUUCGCUCCCUGCAAACAAUGAUAAAAAGUUACCAAAGAAUUAUGUUUAAUAGAAGGCAAGAUGUCUUGCAGAUAAAGAAAGAAAGAAAGAAAGAAUAAUAAAGUAUGCACCUGAGCUCCAGCAGAUAAGGCCCUUGAAGCCAAUAAAAUUCGAAAAAUUUCUAGCAUCUUAACACCAAAAUCUUCCAUCAAUCCCUUAACCUAUCACAGAUAAUGAGAACCAAUUAUUUUCUAAUAUAGAAAGAAACAGUGAACAGCCUCGCAGCCGAAAACAAAAACAAUCCAAAAGAGAACAGACUUUAAGAAAAAAUUACCAGGAGACCAAGGAGGGGAGUUUCCGGUUUAACAAGAUAGGAGCGUAAGAGUUUGGGAUCUGCAGUCAAGAAAAUGAGAAGGAUAUCUGCCCUGCAUCCAUUAUACAACAAUAGAGCUGGAAAUUAUUUACCGAGGGGAUAAUUAGCUAUCAAGUAUAAUUAAUUAGCUAGAGGUGAUUAUAUACGAUGCGUGUUGCGUGUCUGGAAGCUGCAAGACUUCUCCUAUUACGUCAAAAAUUCCUUUAUCUAUAAGUUCCCUACACACAUGAUUAAGUAGACAGAAAUCUCAAAAGCGUGAAGUUAUAAUCAUAGAAUUGUAAUGCAAUAGCUGCUACACACAUGAUCAAUUUCAGAAGACUAAUUCUCAGUACCAAUAGAUUUAGUUUCCGAAAAGUACAUACUUAAAGAGCCGUAGCUUCAGCUCCAUCUCAAGGCUCUUGCUUAGACUGCAAAACUCGUGCAAGAAAUGUACCUAUAUUUUGAAAGAAAAAAAAUACAUCAGUCUAACUCACCCAAGAAACAAUUUGGUUUUGAUGCUAUAUCAAGAUCAUCUACUAUCAGGCUAGACAAGAACGGCUCUAGUUUCUCGACAGCUACAUCACUGUUUACCCAAAAUACAAUUUCCUUCAACAGAUUUUUGCUACAGCUAAUGCCUACAUAGCCGAAUAGGUGUAGAGACACAAAGGUUUCUAACUAACAAAACCUUUUUCAUACAAUAAUCCAUAAAUCUUUAAAAAUAUAGAAACUUAAGAAAGCGACGCCCUCAUGAUGCCAGGACAUACCAAAUCACUCUUAGAUUCCACAGAUGUGGAAGGUGACCGUAACCUUGCAAAUAACUCUUGAAAGAAGUUGCUGUCAUCCUUCAGCAAUGUAACAAUCUGAAAAAUAUGGGGGUGCAUAAUAGCAGUUCUGAUACUUUAUUAUAUGCAUUCUGUUACAUAUUAAAUUAGAUAAUGUUUAUUUGGAUGACUUACAGCAGCUUUGUUUGCAUUGAUUAUCGAAUCUAGGCUUGUAGCUGUAGCAUCAUCUACUACUCUACUCAAAAUAACAUCCUGUAAGAAAUGAGAGAAAUGAGACAUUUUCUGAAGAAUAAAAUGUUUUCAGAAGAGUUCAUGGGACUGAACCUUCAGAUAACCAAUUCUGUAUGUUUGGUGUAUCUUCGACAGGACCAUGGGAUUCUUAAUUGGUAUAGCCUGCCAACAAUAAUGGGAUUUAAUAAUGUUUUCAAGUCUCAGUUUUUUUUCAAAUCAUUUGCAAGGUUAUGGUCACGAAUAACAUACGAGAACAUUGUAUUACCUCCUUAAAAACAACAUGCGUUGUCACAUCAUUCCGGUAAUGUAGAGACUGCGGAGCAUCGGGAUCAUCUGUGAGGAGAAACAUAGGUAAUAAGUUAAUUAGAGAAAACAGCAAGAAAGCUGUAAUAUUGUAUUAAGAAAACAUACAAGGUCCCCUUCGUAGUCAGUGAAAAUUAAGAAAAUUAAAGUUCGACCAGAAGCAUUAAGCUUACACUCAAGGCUACCAAUAACUUUCAUGAUUAGGCUAUCCCCUAAGAUUUUCUCCAGGAUCUGAUGACUGUUGAGAGAAACUGCAUAAGAAUAGGAAAAAAAAUGCUGCUUAUUAUUACAUAAAAGUUAGUAAUUCGAAUGAGAAAGAAAUGAUGUUGAGAUGUAUGCGAAUCCUAACUGAUGCCCUUGACAAUGUUGAACAUCAUGUGAAGGCAAUCAAGUUUUUCCAAGUCCUCACACAUUUCAAAUACAUUCAUCAAAUUGUCAAAGAACUUAACCUGCAUCGAGUAUCAGGAAAGAAAGAAGGUUAAGCAAAAUAUCUUACCAAAAAAAACGUAGAGCUUAGGAAGGCACAAAAUACUUACAUCCUUCAACAUAAGUCCGGCUAACCGCAUCUGACCUUUAAUGCCACUUUCAGUAACAAUCUGCAGGGAAGACGGAAACAAAAUACUUGAAAUUAUCGACAAAGUAGAGACCUAGAAUGCCAAUUCGGGACAUUCAUGGUACUGCUUAACACAAGAAACUUCCACAGAUAGAAAACACACACUGACGGUAUAGUUAAGGAUGAUAACAUACAAUUGUAGGCAUCCGAUAGGUAAUCAAGGGAAAAAAUAAAUAAAGUCUCAACCCUUACAGUAGAUAUUACAAUUAGGGCUGUUUUGUUGCAGUUAUCAACACCAAUGAGAAAUGUAAAGAAGAGCAAAGCAUCUUAACUGACCACAAUACAAAGAAAUCACAAGAUGAGUAUUAUCUUAGAACCUCGAGUAUUUGGGGAAGAUUAGAAAUAUCGACAUCAGGGAGCUCCCUCAGCUCAGUGCUCACUGUUCAAGCAAAGAUGAUAUUAUUGUCAAGCACAAAAUUCGUGACAGAUUCAUAAAAAUAUACAGUGUUCCUUUAUUUAUUUCCAAAUACUUUAAAGUCCAAAUUUUGACAGAUGGUGCACAAAAUCUGAUAACUCUAUGCAGGUGAACCUCUUGAACUACUAUUACAGAAAAAAUGCAAACUUCAAACUCAGACUUAUGACACAUUUAACAGAAUACAUAUGAGAAAAUGAGAAAGCAUGUGAUAAGAAGAAAAUCAGACUAGUACAAGAGUUGAACAAAUACUACACAUACGGGCAGGAAAAACUCUUACUGUUAAGAGAACUGAAAUGUAGAUUCCGUUGCAUAGUGCAUAUAUGAUUCCUGAAUACGAUGAAGCACCAUUUUUGCAGUCAAUAGAAUGAUCUCCAAAAUGGAAGCUCGUCCAAAAGGAAAUUCACUUACCAUAUAUGAGAGCAUCCCGCAGUCUCUUGAAAGCUCAAAGCCAAUUCUGUUGAGCCCUCUGGCUCUCUCCAUGAGAUAAUAGUGUCUGUACAUUGACACAGAUAUCACUUAUCCAAACUCAAGGAAUAGUUAAUAAAAAAACAUAAACGGCUACCUUCUUGCUUCCUGUAGAUAUCAUCAGUGCUGAUCCGGUGAACGAGCAACGUCUCAUGAUCAUCUUCAUCAACCACAUAUAGACCAAGUUCUUCUGAUCUCUGCAUUAUAUAUCAUUUCCAUUAAGCUACAAGUCUCUACACUUCAGAAUCCUGAGAGCAGGGGAGAUAUAGAAGAAACCUCCACAUAGUCCAAACUGAUGAGUCCAGUUCCUCGAUCAUCCCAUUUACCAUCUUGGUCCAAGCAAUAAACCUUCACUCUCUGAACAAUAGGGAACAAGUAUGAGAUUGGUACUGUAAAUGUGAGCCUAUGAAGCUUAUAGACUGUUCUAUGUACAUUCAAUAGCGAAUCUAAACUUCUCAAUGCACAUUUGCUAUCAGUUAUAGUCUAUAGUACACUAGCCAAUCUUAUGUACUUCUUCUGAAUGCGAAUUUGCUAUCAGUUAUAGUCAACAGAACGCAAAUCCAGUGAAAAUCAUCUUCGAGAUUCUCAGAUUCAGAAUCGAAAUCGCUGCGUAACUACGACACGAACCAAAUCGCAAUCGCUGCGUUACUACGGUACAACUAAGAAUCGAAGAACCAAGAAAACUUAUAGUCACGAAUCUACGAGCACACACUCGAAUCUCAUUUUCUCAGUUAUCUCUCUUCCGCGCAGGCUAACGAGCAAAAAGAAAGAAAGAAAGAAAGAAAGAGAGCGCACCUGCGUCGAACUAGUGUUGGAUUGCGCGUCUCCCGGGGCGGCCAUAGCUACCUUUUCCCCCCGCCGUAGAUCUCGAAUCGAGACGGUGAAGUCAGUACGGUGGCGAAAUUAAGGGUUCUUGAGAGUAUAAGAGGGAGUAGUAGAGGAGAAGCGGGAGAUGAAGUUUGUUGAGGAGGUGACGAGCGAGAGAGAAAAUCAACAGAAGAAACUUGUAACGGCCUGUUGACUAAACGUUGACCAGAGAAAGCUUAUUGAUAUUUCUUCUCUCUCUAGUUUCUCUCUCCUCACUUGUAAUUGUAUGGAAUCGAUUGUGUUUUCUUUUUUCUUUCGUCUAUUAUUGUUCCGUUCCUGCGCACAAGCUUCUUCCUAACGCAGUGAAGAAAAUAAAGAAGGAAACAAAAUUAAGCAAAAUAUUUGUAUACAUAUGCAUCGAUUUUAAAUUCUUAUAUAUAUCAACUAUCUUUGAUUACGUGAAAUUAUAUUGUCUGCAUAAUUAAGGGAUGACAUAGGUUUAGGUUAAGAAUUAUUGUCUGCGCACACCUUGCACGGAAUAAAUAUUAUAUUUACUAUUUUUAUGUAUUAUAUAUUUUUAUCAUAUUUUUAAAAUAAUAUAAUAAAUACAUAUUGAAUAAUUAAAAAUCAGUAACUACUACAUAUAUAACUAAAUUGGUGUAAACAAAUAAAUAAAUUUUAUAAAUCCAAACAAUCACCUUUUUAUUUUAUAUAAUAUAUAAUUAAAUUUAAAUAACAUUAAAAUAUAUAUAGUGUAUUUUUUUAAAUUGAAAUAUAUUAAAUGAUGCUUUCUACUCAGAUAAUUUUUUGAUAAUUAGUAUAUUUUUAUAAAUAAAAAUUUAAAUAACUCAUAACAAAUUUUUCAUUGUGUGAUUAAUAGUUAUAGUAAUUUAUAAAUUUUUAAAAAAUUAAAGGCUAAGUUUAAAAUUUAAAUAUUAAGUUGUCAAUAUUUUUUAAAAGCUUUUACCAAAAAAUAAUUUUCAAAGCAAAUUUUGCAAUUAAAAUAUUUAUGUAUUUUAAUAUGGUAUAUAGUUUAAUUUAAAUGAUAUUAGUAUAUAUAUAUAUAUGUCUUUUACACUUAAUAUUUAUUAAAUGAAAUUUCUUACUUAUAUGAUUUUGUAAUCAUUUGUAUUUUAUCAUAACAAAAAUUUAAACCAUAUAUCAUAAAAAUUUGAAAGUGCGAUUUUUAACAGUUUUACUAAUUUACUGUUGUUUAAAAAAAAAUCAAAAUAUAACAUAUACAAAAAAUCUAAUUUUUAUUAUAUGGUUAAUGUAGUUGUUUAUUUAUUUUGUUAAUUUAAACUUAAAAAAUAUGAUAGAGAAUACACUAAUUUAUAUCAAAUCUUAUUUAUUUAGAAUAAUUUAUAUAUAUAUAUAUAUAUAUACUUUAGCUAUAUUAGGAAAUUCUGCAAUUUUUAUUUAAGAAAAGAAUGAAAAACAUUCCAAGCCAACAACGAGGUAUAUGUCCAGAAGACAUCGACCUCAAUGAAUAACUAUUGAUCCAUCAACUAGACAUGAUCGAAGAACGACGAGAAAAGGCGGUAGUACGUGUACAAAAUUACCAACAAGCCGCGGCACGUUACUACGACUCCAAUGUAAGAAACCGCGUCUUUUCCGUAGGAUACGGCUACGGGUGACAUGGUUUCGUUCGCGACGAUUUCAUGAGCAGAAUCCGAGGAGCUCUCUUCAGACGGCGUGUCGGGCCUGCCAAGAUAACUUGGAUGCGGCGACGGUUGGCCUGUUGCUCAUCUUUGGGGGUUGCGUCGCGAUCAUGAGCGGCCGCAGCAUCAUCGGUACCUUGGCUUUUGUGGGAGGCGUCAUGUUCGACUGUCGAUGAGUCUUCUUCCCCUCUUUCUUUUCCUAGUUUUUGUCGUUUUUGGUAUUUCUCCUCGUGGGCGGCUCGACUUUGACGGUUCCGGUUUUGAAACAAGUGAAAAGAAGGAGGUGGAACCGCUCCGGCGGCCGUUGAGGGAUCUUCCUCGGUUGAGUGGUCCCAAACAUUCCAGCCUUUUUCGCGCACAACCACAACCGAAUCUGGGAGCUCCUCUUCGUUGACAACAUAGAGGAACUUCUUAUGUUUGCCUUUAUCGCUGGAGGAGUGUUGACGUGGCUCUAGACGGGUGUCGCAACUCUUGGCUGGAGCUGGCUUGGUUACGUUCUAAAUUCCGAGAAUAGUUCGGGUAUCCUCCUCCAUUUUGAUGAAAUUACGAGAUAGAGGUCGUCGCGGAAUUUAGAGUGGACAAUGAGUGUGUUUCGUAGGGCUUCGAUCGCGACGUCGUCGGGGACGUUGACCGCUGAAACGAGGAGUUUAAACUUUUCCAUGAAGUCGCACAACGUCUGUCCUUGGGUUUGUAAGAGUUUCUAGAGAUCGGAGGCCGUCGCGCCUUGUCGUGAGAACAUUAUGUAAUGCUUGAGGAAGUCGGCGGAGAGGUCGUGGAAACUGUCGACGGAGUUCUCGGGGAGUCUGGAAAACCAGGUUAGGACCGCGCCGUAGAGACUUUCAAUGACGUACAGAAACCUGCCUCCCUCUAAUGCUCGGUGAGAUUCGCGCAUCCCAUCGCGAUGUUGAACACCGUCAUAUGGUCGCUUGGGAGGCGGAAUUUCUCGAACUUGAGGCGGAGUUGCUGAUGCGUUGUGUGAAUGGGGUUUUAAGCGUUGCACUGAGAAUGCUGUCGAUUAGCGGGGCCGAGCUCGUGACGUGGUGUAGUUUAUAGUGGAUAUUCUGCAGGGAGAGCUUCAGCUCGGCGAUCUCGCGGACGGUCGCCGGGUCCGCGUUGCUCUGGCUUCGUGCAUCAUCGCCAGGUGCAUUGUCUGCUGGGUGCUCGUCUUCGCGAGUUACACGGUCUGUGUUAAAGAGCUGCUUUUGGAUGCUAGUAGCACCAGUUGGGGGUCCUAGGGCCGUGACGAUGGCGGCCAGUUGCUCGUUUGUCGCUUUCUGUGCUUCCUCGUGCUGGAUGAAGCGUGCAAUGACUGUACUCAUGUACUCGGUCAUGUUUGGUCCCGCGGCCGCGGGAGUUGGCUCUGGGUCGUCGCUGGAGGCUGAACUGCUGAGAGUCAUGCCGAUUUGUUAACGAUGUUUUGUUCCGCCCCACGGUGGGCGUCAAUUGUUUGAACCGAGUUUGGUCGAAACUCGUAAGAGAGAGAUGAAACUCAUCGGUGGGUUAGUUCAAAGGCAUUUUUUAUUGAUCGGUAGACAAGACGUGUUACAAAAGAGGAAAGUUUGGUCAGAAAUAAGUUGAAGCUCAGAGAGCGAGGGCCGGAAAAUUACAAGAUGGCAAGAAUAUGAAGAGUCAAAACCCUCGAUCUAGCCGUCAAGUGAAUAUGUGGAAAAUGUUCGGAUCCCCUCUUUGGUUCCUUUCGCUCUCCUUUUAUAAGCCAGUCCUGGCCUCCCUCCCAUUUGACCUAAUGGGCAUGUUGCCCCCAGGCCGGUAGUCGGGCCAAAAUAUCUCGCUCAGUAGAGCUGAGUAAAGGCUUAAUCUCUUGACGAGGUCAGGUUGGUAUCCAGGACAGGCGGCUCUUCGGUGGGAUUAGCUGACAGAGCCGAGCUCCUAGGCUGGCUUGCUGGGCCGAUUCUCCAUUUCCUCGGGCCUUAUGAAUGGGCAUGAUCUAGCCUAUACAACACCCACGCUGCACCACUGUUCUGAGAAAAGUCCACCCAAAAGGAAGCCACAUUGCAUUUGACUAAUCCCAUAGUCCAUAGGAGGUUUCUGCCAUCUAUUAGGAGAUCCCACUUCUCCAGAUGGUGGUAUGAACCCUCAUCAUUUUGUAACUACAUAUUCAACGCGCAUCAUUCUCGUGUGGAAGCUUUUUACUUUAGCCCAUCAGCUGAUAAAGUUCAGCCACACAUAAUUCAGAGAAAAGCCAUCAAGAAACAAAACAAAGCCCAAGUCUUCCUCGCCACUUCACAAUGGAAUAAGACGUGACAGAUAGUUUCAGUGUAUAGCCCAUACCUAGUACAGGUCGGAACCAACAUAAUACCCUGAGAUCUUAGACCAUUUUUGACUGCCAAAGCUCCAGACAGAUCCCUCCACAUGAAAUGUCUUAUUUUAGGAGAUGUUUUAGUUUUCCAUAGAUCUUUCCGUUGGAGGAAGGCUUGGUUCCGAAGGAGAUUGCUGUAAUUGCAGCACUUCAGCCAGCUUAUAUCUAGGCCUAGAAAUAUGAGUCUUUACCCGCGAAGACCGGUCCGUUUGAGCCGUAGCGGGGCGGGUCGAACAAUUUAGAAAAAUCGAUUCGCGGAUGCGGAUGCGGAUGCGGAUCCUGAGCAUUUUAUGCAGGGUGGGUGCGGGUUGGUGGAUUUUGAAACGCGGGUACCCGCCAACCCGCAAUUUUUUUUUUAAUUUUUUUAAAAUAUUUUUUUUGUAAAAAUGUUUAUUUUUUAAAGAAAAUAUGGAAAUUUUAAAAAAUAAUAAUCAAAAUAUUUUAAAAUAUUUAAAAUUUGAAUUAUGAAUAUAUUAUUUAUAUAAUAUUUUGCAAAAAAAAAAAUAUUUUUUAAAAUGAAAAUAUAAUCCGCGGGUCCCGUGGGUGCAAAAUUAAUCGGGGCGGGUACGGUUACAAAUUUAUUUGUUUGCGGGUUGUGCGUAUCAGAUAUAUUGACAAAAAAAACUUUGUAACCCGCGGGUUGAUGGAUCAGUAGGGCGGGUUUGACCCGCAACCCAGCCCUACUUUUAACCACUUUUCGCAUAUAUUGUUUUGUUAACUAUUAAAUCAAUAAACAUGUAGUAAAUGUUAAAAGCGUGUCCUACUUGGAUGACGUAUGUUCGAUCCCACGGGGGCGAUAUUCAUCCAUCUCCUUUGCUUAACUUGCACUCUCGGCUGUUUCUCGAUCACAACAACGACAGCAUCGUAUUUUUUGUUUUUUCAACUUACAUCUAAGCAAGUCCCCAACUAAAUUGUGUGGUUUUCCCACCCCCUUUAAUGUUUUUGUUCAUGUUCUUUUGCAAGGCUGUGGAUCAGUGAUAUGAUCAAAUUAAUGACUAGCAAUUAUUUUGCAACGAUAAAAGACAACGGGCACAUUAUCAUGACAAGGAUUGCACAACAUAACUUAAGUCGUGAUCAAGCAUAAAAAGGUACAAAAAAAAAGAAAAAGAGAGGAAAUAGAUAGUGGUGGUAACUUAGGUGGUGGAUACAGCUUUGCGUGAGCUCUUCUUCUUCUUCUUCUUCUUUAGAAAAGCUUUGGGCUUGUGCAUCUUUGAACUUGAUCGGAGAUGCUUACCUAUGCGUAGUAGUGCAAGAAAAAAAAACAUACUGUGAGCGACAACAACGACCUGUACACAAACAAUAUUGAUAAUUAAAACAAAUAGACGACACCUUGAUGAGGCUUGGAGGUGCUACUAACGAUAUCAGACGACAACUUUUCCUGUCAUACAUAAAUGGUGCUGUAAUUAAUAAUCAAAUUAUUCUCAACCAAAAAAAAAACAAAAAAGAGAGGGAAAAGAGAGAGAGAGUAGAUUGUAUAACCUGUAUAUCAAUUUGGGAGACAAGAGUGGUCUGAUCCUGAUCAGAAGAUCCCUUUAGACUCUUAUCGGACUGGAUUAUUUGCAUACAGGUAGAACAACGUAGCAACGAGACUUGAGAACCUAGUGUUUUCUUCAUCCCGACCAAACUGUAUAAGAUUCGCAACAACAACCAUACAUAAUGUUAACAACAAAUACCAACAAUAUAUUACUGAGAGAAUAAUCAAAUUUACAAAUAAGACACCUCGGUGAUGGCGUCUGAGGCUUCGAGGUGCUAGCAACAACAUCAGACGACGACUUUUCCUGUUACAUAUCAUAUAAGUUGUUGUGAUUAAUAAUCAAACUAAUGGAUUUUCUCGACCAAACAAAAGAGAUAGAACCUGAAUAUCAAUUCCUGAGACAAGAGUGGUCUGAUCCUGUUCAGUUCCCUUCAGACUCUUAUCUGAUUGGAUCUCCACCGAGACUUGAGAUCCUUCACGUAGUUCGGCCAAUCUGAGCGCCAACAAAAACCAUCACCCACCAUUCACAUAGAUCUAUAUAUACUGCUAACUAAUUAAAUAAUAAGUAUCAAAAAUAAACGGACACCUCUUUUGUUGGAAGAGGUUGUGUUUGCGUACGGGAGGUCGGUAUGGACGAGGUUCUGUAAACGAAUUGGGUUCACAACGCAUUACCAUGCGGCAAAGACCUCUAGCCAUGACUAACUCUGCCUCCUAAACAAACUGACGAAGUCGGAAACCCUAGAUCAAAAUUUAUAUAUAUAUAUAUACACAAGAAUUUGGGCCUAUUCCAUGGUUUAUAUUCUUUAACUCCAAAUCUGGCCCACAGGUUUGGGCCUAUAAUUUGUUUAAUGCCCAAGCUUGCUUCAUUAUGAUUAAACGAACUGAAUUUAAAUCAUUCCAAUACCAAAAUCAAAAUAUUUGUUACACAAACAAAGGAAGAAGAAGAUGGAAAGCUUUCUCUCCCACCGGAAACUCCACCACCAGUUGGUAUUUGAUCUGAUCUAUAGUUGGUGGGAAAAGGGAGAUCCAACUGUUGGAAUUUAAACAAGUUGUUUUAACAAUUUAUAUAUAUAUAUAUAUAUACUAGGGUAAACCCGCCCUACGGGCGGGCAGGACAGGCGAAUAAACAAAAUAAUAAUACAAAUUUAUUUAAAAUCUCUAAUUUUUUUUUUUAAAUACCAUGUUCAUAAUUAUUUUACAACCAUUUUAUCUAUAUAUUUUAAAUUUUAUUUUAGAAAUUAAUAUUUUAUGUAUAUCAAUUACUAUGGUUAAAAUUGUUUGAUGUUAUAAUAUUCAACCUUAUAUUAUGCCGCGAUUAACUAUAUUUCAUAAUAUAAUGUUCAAAUAUAUUCUUAGAAUACUCUUUUAUUCUUCGGAUAUAUUGAGUCGAGUGAAAAGACAUUUUAAUAUUAGUCCAUUGUAUUUGUGCAAUAAUGCUAAUGAAUACUGUCAAAAAAUUGAACAACAAUCAUCGAUUUGGAAAAGGUUAAAUAUACAUAUAGAGAAAAAAAUAAGUAUAUAACUACCUAAUAUUUAUUUCAAUAUAUAAGACUCAACAUAAAAUGUCAUACAUCCAAAGAUUAGACAAAGACAUGUGUGAAUAAACACACAAAUCUGAAUCCAGAUCUAGUCUAAUCAAACGGACCUAAACAAUCUAUAUCAUCAUCACAAGUGUUCAGUUUUGAGCAGUCUGGCAGAAAAUAAACUGAAGUAAAAUUAAUCAAACCAUCAGAAGAUUGUUGGAAACCGUUAAUCGUGUAUUCAUGGUUUGGUCAAAAGCUAAUAAGAGCAUGAUUAUCCCUAGAAAUUCAUUAGGUUUCUUAAUGAUUAUUUAAGUAUUAAAUUUUAGUUAAGGAAUUUAGUUAAGAAUCACCUAAUUUUCUUCCUCCAAUGGGAGUUUCUUAAUAAGGGGUUUCUUAAAAAAAAAAAAAUUAAAGAUAGGAUUGGAGAAAGAAUUCUCAACCAUUUGUGUGAUGUAGUUUUGAUUACCAUACAAAAACAAUUCUAAUACAAGCGUGUCUCAAGAACAGGGUCGUGCCUGAAUAUUAUGGGCCCUAAAGCAUUAAAAAAAUUUGGCCCUUAAAAUAUAAUAUUUUUGGAAAAAUGUCAAAAUUCCUAUAGUUCUGUUUGAACCCGGGGCUCUAGAGUAGUAAUGGGGACUGUUACCAACUAUGCUGUAGACAACUUUUACAAUAAAUUUGGCCCAUAAAACUAUUUAUCUAAUUUUUGGCCCCAAGCAGGUGCUUGAUUAUCCUCUAGUCAGGCACGGCCCUGCUCAAGAACACAAGAAUACAAGUUUUUAUUACCUCUCGAGCAGCUUGUACCGAGUGUCGUUCAAGUAAAACGACUGAGCGGUCUCCAUGAUCCAUUUCGCCUCCUCGUCAGUGAGUUUGCUUGUGAACACAACAUCACCUCGGAUAAACACCAAGUCUUUUGUCGCUCGAUGUAGAAGGUGCUAGUCAGGUAAGGAGCCGCUUGAGUUCCACCUUGAGCAAACAUUGUAACAUAACCAUUUCCUCUCCACAAUGGAAAUGGGUUGUAUCAAAUCCACCAUUUUCAUGUCAUAAGGCACAUGCUUCUCCUCCAUAGUCAACAACACCCUUUGGCAAAAAGGGCCUACCAACAAAAAUUAUGCAUAUACUCAAUUCGUGAAGUAAAAAAUAACCCUCGAGACUAGACUAGAAGCAAUCAAGUUUGCAUUUUUUAUAUUUCUAAAUUUGUUUUGAUAGUUUCAAAUUUCUAAACUAAGAAACAGUCUAAGCACAGUUUGACAAAAAAAAAAGAAACAGUCUCAGCACUAAUUAAGUUAACACACAAAAUGCUUUAAGUAUGUAUCUGCAAGGGAAAAUUAAGGAAAACAUGAAUAAAGAUUGCAGCUUUAUCAUCUACAUUUUAAAGUUGUUCGUCAAUAGAGAGAGAGAAAGAGAGCUAACAGUCUCCGAGCUUGUUGGGUGUAGUGAUGGAAGCUUUGACGCAGAUUUUGAGAGGAGCAGCCGCCAUAGCCAUCGUCCCGAACCGGGCGGUUCUUCUCGGCUUAAUCAAACCGCACCGCUUGAUAAAUCCUGCGCGACUGACCGACGCCGAUAAAACAACGGCGGUGCUUGGUUGAAACCUAAGGCUUAUUAGAGAGGGAGAGAGUGAUUUGGUAGCUGAAGAAACGAAAGGAGAGUGCUUUUGUUGUUAACUUAGGGAAAAUUGUAUCGUCCAGGGAGAGAAGUCAAAGGAGAUGGAGACGACGACAGAAGACGGAGAACACGAGAGAAACAGAAAAAAAAAAAUUGAGAUUUAGGAAAGAUUGACACGUGUUCUAAAAAACCCAUUCUAAAUCGGUUACAAAAGUCUCCUAUUAAGGAUCGACUACUCCCAUUUUAAUUAUUUUUGAUUUAAUUAAAUCCUUGAUUUUCUUAAAAACCCCACUUAAGGAUCUGGGAUAAGGAUCUGGGAUAAGAGUCCCUUCCUUUUUGUUUUUUUUUUCAAAUUGCCAAAACAAUCCAAUAACCCAUGCAGCUGGACAAUGGUGGACAAUUGGACACAGUCGAUAAAAGACGUAGUCUAAGACGGAAUACAUAAUGGAAAAAAGACUUGUAAAUUGCAGAGGUAAAAGAAAUCUCAUCCAAGUUCAAAACUUUUAUAAAAAAGAAGUAAACAACACAACCGAAGGAUAUUACUAAUGAAAUGAUCAAUAAUAGUAAUCAUGUGCGAACAAACUCAGAAGCCAAAAACUAAGUUAACUCUCUUCCUUUAAAUACUCAAAACAACAGUUUAAGAUGAUGAAGCCGCUGCCUUGUUCUUUGGCUUAGCUUCGGUACCUUCUCUGAUAUGGUCUUGAACCUGUGAGGCACAUUGCGAAGAUACCUAAUCGUUCCAGUUCCUGUAGUCUUUCUACGGAUUGCCUUCACACUCCAGUUGUAGGUCCUCUUGCGAGCGGCAGGGUAAGCACAGGUGGAGCAACAGCUCUUCUGGAUGUGGAAGCUGCAACGGCCACAUCUCACACAAAGAGUGUGACUCUUGUUCCUCCUCUUUCCGAAACUCCAUGUUCCCUUCGUCAUUUAAGCGGAUGCGCGUUAACAAAACUUUAACAAAAAUAUAAGGUAUAAUAUACUGCAAUCUAAAUCAGAGUUGUCAGCAAAAUCUAACACUUUUGAGAAAAAUGUAUAAAAGAAAAAUAAUACACAGGGGAGGGUGUCAAUAAACCGUAGGUAUGGCGACGGUGACAUAAACAAAACCGGUCUCUUCUGACCAACUAUCAUAUGUUGUGAGUACUGUCAAAAGAAUAUGUUCCCAAAAUUCUGUUUUUUUUUUGUGUUCCAAGAAAGAGAAUUAUGAGUAAUGGCUCUAAUAGCAAACCUCUGGACCAUCUGGAGUAUAAUAAGUUUGUUUAGACCAAGCUGUGGAUGUUUUCCAGCGAAUGCGGCCCCAUCUACCAAUUACAUUUUUUUUUGUGAAUCAGAAACAUUUCAUUAGAUUAGAUCAUAAUAAUUUAGGCACGGCAAACAAAACGUUAGGCUGAGGGUGGACUUUUCUGAAGAAUAAAUAAUAAGAAAUAAGAACCAAUAAAAAGCUUGGUCAUAGUAUUGGACGACUUGAUGCUGGGGAAGUUGCAUAGUUGAAUUUUAGAUCAAAUCAACAUAGGAGAGUCGGACAGUGACACCUGUUCGAAGCCAUAAGCUCGCCACCUUGUGAUUAAUCCUAACAAAUCUGAAAAGAGAAGGGAAGCUAUUUUUUUCCAUAUCACCGGAGUUACCUUAGCUAUAAGAAGAAGCAGAUGACUUUGGCGGUGGUGCUACAUCGACCGCUUUCAAGUAAGCUAGGAAGACAGAUGAGUUCGACAUUCUCCUAAAGGAAAGUUGUCUGAGUUGUAAUGGAUGAAAGGAUGAUGCUAAGGGAAUGAAGACUAACCUUUUUAUACACGGAGAAUCACCGACUGAAAGAGCAGGCAGGUGCAUUGAAUGAUGAAUCGUGGUAAGAGUGAGAUUUAGGAGUUAAGAUGGUCGUUAAUGACAACGACUAAAAGCAUCUCAGUCAUCCCGUAACGAUUCGAAUUCCCAAUACCACAAAAUAAAUACAGUCCAAAGGACAUAAACAACAAAUCGCUCAAGAGAUUUUUCGUAAGAAGUCGUCUCCCAUAACCUUCCAGAAUCUCCAUGGUCGUUUAUGAAAUCAGAACCUGAAGAACACGAAGAACCCUACAAAGCUAUGAAGCAAGUUGUCAAAGACGAAGAGGUGUUUAUUAGAUUUUAGAUAAUAGGUUCGACCAGUCGUUAUUAAAGAUUGGUGAGCCCAUUUAUAAGACUUGUAAAGCCCACAUAUAAAAGCCUAACACACUCGGGAAUUAAUGAAACGGAGCGUCUUGCUCGGAUAGACAGGUGUCGACUCCACAGCUUCCGAAUUGAUGACCUGGAAUCCGACGUGGACCCCCUAGGAGAAAAGGAAACCCUUCUUUAUAUAUAUAUAGAUAGAUAGAUAAAUAACUCCAUGCAUGCAACAACGAGAGAGAGAGAGAGAGAUUGAGAGAAAUAUAACUACUGCGUGGUAUAUCAAAUUUGUCAUUUAUUUUCAUUUUUCUUUAGUUUCAACAUCUUACAAGGGCUCCUUUUACAUUUUGGAGCCACAAGUUACAGUAUCUUUGGCAAUUGACACGAAAAUAAAAUUAAAAGAAAACACACACACACAUACAAAGAAGCGAUCCUUUUGGUGCCUAUUUACGGAUAAAAACCUUUCUUGAGUAAUAAAUUCACAAGAAAAUAACCUAUCUCUUUUUUUUUUUUACGAAUAAAGAGUUAAACCCAAAUAUAUUAAAGACACAGACCUAACUCCCGGGUAGGAGGUGAAAAUAACCUAUUUCUAUAGUAAAAUGUGAAUAAGAAGUUGUCCUUAUUUUAUAUGCAUCCGUCAGAGUUGCGGUUGGACCAAAAUAGUAUGUUUAAUGUGUAACUUAUGUUCACCCAUAUUGGUAUUCUCCUCAUUCCAUACUCCCCACUACACCAAGAUGCUUGCAAGCCUCAAUAUCGACUUGAACGGUGCGUUUUGACCCCCUGCCGUGACAUGAACCUUCUCAAACGCUACCAACUGCUUGUUCACACCCAAUCCUUUUAUCCCGUUCUCCGGCGGCUCGGCAAAGGCGAACACCGUGUGAGUUUCAUCAAAUUCACCGGUGUUUGACACUUCAACGUGGAGAGGAAUUUUUGGAAACGUUUCACAGUUGGCAUGAGACACUUUGAUAAUUGAGCUAGUGGGUUUUGAGCCAAACUGUGAGUGAAGGUAGUGUAACUUAAACCGAACCCAAAUGGAAACACCACUGGACCUUUGUAGAAACUGAAAGUCCUUCCUGGGUAGUUUCCAGAUGCUCUCAUUGCCAUUAUUGUAAUU
rnacentral:lncRNA from 1 species